CUAUCUCGUCCGGUUCUAACUCAAUAACGUGGUUCGGGUCUUUCACAUAUUUACGAAGUACAGAUAUGUGAAACACAUUAUGAACACGAGACAUACUUGGAGGUAACGCGAGUCUAUAGGCUACAUUUCCUACUCGGUCAAGAAUUUGAAAUGGACCAAUAAAUCGUGGAUUGAGCUUUCCUCUCUUCCCAAAUCUUGUAACUCCCUUCCAUGGAGCAACUCGCAACAAUACAUGAUCCCCUAUACUAAAUUCCACGUCCUUUCGAUGAAGAUCCGCAUAACUCUUUUGUCGAUCUUGUGCCGUUUGUAUACGUUGUCGAAUCAUUUGGAUCUUUUCGGUAGUCAUACGUACUAACUCGGGUCCCAACAAUGUUGCUUCACCCACCUCAUCCCAACAUAUUGGAGAGCGACACUUUCGUCCAUAUAAUGCUUCGAAUGGGGCCACACCUAUACUUGCCUGAUAACUGUUGUUGUAGGAGAAUUCCACCAAUGGUAAAUACUUAUCCCAACUGCCCUUGAAGUCUAGGACACAGAGUCUUAAUAAAUCUUCAAGAGUUUGAAUAGUCCUCUCUGAUUGUCCGUCCGUUUGAGGAUGGUAUGCCGAACUGAAUCUUAAAUCCGUACCCAUAGCUUUUUGCAAGCUAACCCAAAAUCUUGAAGUGAAUCUUGGGUCACGAUCCGAAACUAUGGAUACUGGCAUGCCAUGCAAUCUCACAAUCUCAUUUACGUACAUUUGAGCAAGACGUUCAAGGGAAUAAGUCUCCCGUAUCGGCAAGAAAUGAGCAGACUUGGUUAAUCUAUCAACAAUAACCCAAAUAGCAUUUAUGCCUUGAGAAACCGUGGGAAGACCCGUAACGAAAUCCAUGGUAAUGUGUUCCCACUUCCAUUUCGGAAUCUCAAGUGGUUGCAAUGGUCCCUUAGGCACUUGAUGCUCCGCCUUUACACGUUGACAAGUUAAACAUGUUGAGAUAAACUUUGCAAUCUCUCUCUUCAUAUUGUUCCACCAAAAUGUAUGUCGAAGAUCACGAUACAUUUUAGUACUUCCCGGAUGGAUUGCAAAUGGUGUAUUGUGUGCCUCCAUCAUAAUCUUGUACUUCAAAUCAGAAUCGUUAGGAACACAAAGUCUGGAGUGGACUCGAAGUAUUCCUUCUUCAUCAAUUCUCGCUUCCGGAAUAGCUCCUUCUUGUACUUUCUUCUUCAUAUGCAUCAGCUCCGGGUCGGUGGCUUGAGCAACCUUAACUUUUUCUAUUAAAGUUGGCUCUAUGCGUAUACUUGACAUCAUCGCACUCGUUCCUGCAUAUGAUCUUCUACUCAACGCGUCAGCUACCACGUUCGCUUUUCCAGGAUGGUAUUGAAUAGUGUGGUCGUAGUCUUUCAAUAGCUCGAGCCAACGUCGCUGCCGCAUGUUAAGUUCUUUUUGAGUGAAGAAAUAUUUAAGGCUUUUAUGGUCUGAAUAUAUCUCCACUUUCUCCCCAUAUAGAUAGUGCCUCCAGAUCUUUAGCGCGAAAACGACUGCUGCCAACUCUAGAUCAUGAGUAGGAUAAUUCCUCUCAUAUUCUUUAAGUUGUCGCGAGGCAUAGGCUAUGACUUUCCCACGUUGCAUGAGAACACAUCCUAACCCUUUGCCCGAAGCAUCGCUGUAGAUAACAAAUCCAUCCGAACCAGAUGGUAUUGUUAGAACAGGUGCCGAAAUAAGUCUCCUUUUAAGCUCUUGGAAACUCUUCUCGCACUCUUCGCUCCAAACGAAUUUUGUAUCCUUCCGAGUUAGAUGAGUUAACGGAGUAGCGAUUCGAGAAAACCCUUCCACGAAUCUCCGAUAAUAACCAGCUAAGCCCAAAAAGCUACGUACUUCAGUCACCGACUUCGGUUGCUCCCAACUUUGUAUUGCUUCAAUCUUCGCCGGGUCAACAGAUACUCCAUGUUUUGACACCACGUGCCCAAGGAAUGCUACUUCCUCAAGCCAGAACUCGCAUUUCUUCAACUUGGCAUAUAGCUUGUUUUCACGAAGCCUUUGGAGUACCAGCUUCAAAUGGUGCUCAUGAUCUUCACGACUUUUGGAAUAUAUGAGGAUGUCAUCAAUAAAGACAACAACGAACUGAUCCAAAUAUUCCUUGAAUACUCGGUUCAUCAUAUCCAUGAAAGCCGCAGGAGCAUUAGUCAAUCCAAAAGACAUGACUAAGAAUUCAUAAUGCCCGUACCGAGUUCUAAAGGCAGUCUUUGGAAUAUCCUCAGUUCUAAUCUUCAGCUGAUGAUAUCCAGAACGAAGAUCGAUUUUUGAAAAGAAUUGUGCUCCUUGCAACUGGUCAAACAAGUCAUCAAUACGAGGUAGAGGAUACCUAUUCUUGAUGGUGACAUGGUUCAAUUCCCGAUAGUCAAUACAAAGUCGCAUACUCCCGUCUUUCUUCUUUACGAAUAAAACAGGAGCACCCCAAGGAGAUGUACUAGGACGAAUGAAACCGAUGUCCAACAACUCCUGUAGUUGGACCUUUAACUCCUGAAGUUCAAUAGGAGCCAUUCGAUAUGGGGUUUUAGAAAUGGGCUUUGUACCAGGUUCAAGAUCAAUAAAGAAUUCAACUUCACGUUCUGGGGGUAGACCGGGAAGUUCUUCAGGAAAUACGUCAGGAAAGUCAAUAACAACAGGAAUAUUAUUCAAAUUUGACGUGUCUUUAUUCAAAUCCAUAACAUGGGCUAAGAAAGCUUGACAUCCGUUUUUCAAUAAACGAAUAGCUUUAUGAUUAGAUAUGACAGUGAUUGAUUUUAAUGGUUUAGUUGCUUGAAUUCGUACAACAGGUUGGUUAGGAAUAUGAAAACUAACAACCUUACGAAAACAAUCAAUUUUGGCAUGAUGAGUAGUUAACCAAUCAAUCCCUAAAAUCACAUCAAAAGCAAGUAUCUUUAAAGAGAUAAGGUCAACAGGUAAGGUGAUGGUGCCAACUUGAAUCAAACAAGAUUUAUAAACAGUGGAUGUGAUGAAAGUUUCUCCUAACGGAGUUUCCACAGAUAGGUCAAAGUCUAAUUUCUCCGGAGUCAAGUUUAAACGUUGAGCACAAGCAGGAGAGAUAAAUGAAUGGGUAGCACCGGUAUCUAGUAAAGUAUAAACUUCACAAGAAUUUAUAAAUAGCUUACCCGUGAUCACCUCGUUUGGGUUCCUCGCAUUUUGACCAGUCACAACAAACGCUCUUCCAGGAACCGUUGACUUUGACUUUUCUGGGACAGUCUUUUGAGUCACCGUCCCCGCUGAACUAGGUUUCGCUACCGUGCAAUCUCGAGCGAUAUGUCCUUCCUUUCCACAAUUAUAGCAUACCUGGAACUGUUGUGGGCAGUUUGGACUGAUAUGUCCCUCUUUCCCGCAUUUAUAGCAUAUGACCGGUGGUCGUUCUCCUCCCUUGGAACCAGUUGCUGCUGGCACUGUCGUCUUCACAUGGUCGUUGUUGAAUCUCCUCUUUUUAAAAUCUCCUCCUGACUCGCUUCUUCUAUUUUCAUGGCCAUGAUUACCACCAGAGUGGUUACCAUUUUUGUCCGUCUUUUUCUUUCUCCACUGGUUAUUGUUGUUUUGUUGACUGCUAUCUCCGGUAUGAUCCUGAUUGUGGUACCUCGGUUGACCGUACUCGUUAUCUCGCUCUAACAAUUGAGCCCUGUUAACAACAUCUGAAUAGAGAGAAAAUUUAUGAGAGAUGAGAUACUGACGUAUGCCGGGUUUCAAACCUCUCAGAAACAUCCGCGUCAUACGUUCCUCAUUCUCCACCAAAUGAGGUGCAAACCUGGAUAACUCUGCAAACUUCGCCUCGUACUGAGACACCGUCAUGUUGUUCUGCUCCAGUCUAAUAAACUCCACUUCCUUCAUAUGACGAACACUUUCAGGAAAGUAUUUGUCAUUAAAUAGUUUCUGAAACGUCUCCCAAGACAUGCUGAGUGCGGCUGGAUGGGUACGCUUCACAGACUCCCACCAGUAGUCUGCCUCGCCACGGAACAUAAAGGUGGCGAAUGGAACCUUCUGUUCCUCCGUGCAUCCCAAGACAUCGAAUAUCUUGGUAAUUUGCUUGACCCAUGUUUCCGCCAUGAUCGGAUCUGGCUUUCCCUUAAAUUCUGGUGGUCCCAACUCUUUGAACUGCUUGGCUGUGACAACCCGUGAAUUGCUAUCAUUUCCUCCUGUAUUUUGAACACGAGUCUCCCUCGUCUGAUUUUGCAUGAACUGCAAAAAGCUUCUAAACAUCCCCUCGUUCAUCAUCUGCUCAGUGGUGUUGUUCACAGGAGGAACAUUGCCAGCCUGUUGCACGUUCUCCUCGUUGGUGAGUACAGGCGUCUCCACGGUCUCAUUUCCACUGUUAAUAUUCUCAGUCGACAUUCUCAAAUACUGUCAUAAAACAAGGGUUAAUUAAGGAAAUCAAUAUAUCACAUAAUAUCCCUAUAUACUGACCAACUAACAAAUAAGCUUAGGUAGGACACACUAGCGAAGGAUUUACUCGUCUCUCCCCUCCUAGUUCUAUUCCCCGAUCUCCGCCAGAGAUCAUAUCCCUAAGCUCUGAUACCAACUGUGACGCCCCCAAAAUAGGUAUACAUCACCCAUUCUGAGUUGUCAAUACAUGGUACAGAAACAACUACAACUUUAUUAUUACAACAGUAAAACUGUGAGUUUGAAUACAAAUAUUAUCUUCUAGACAAUAUCUAUACUCAAAUAAAUCCUCAUCACAUUUAUUGAUACAUUAUUUUACAAAAAUGGUGAGGACUACUAAACAACUCUCUCUAGAACCUUCAUUCCAUACCCCGACUCGUACUCGCUAUAUUCUCGCCUCCUGAGAAGAAAAAUGGAACAAAAAGGAAAAGGGUGAGCUCAACUAGCCCAGUAAAGAAUAUUAUGACUAAGAUAAUAUACAACAAAUUAUCGUUAGUCUUCAACAGGGAAAAAUCUAAUAGAAUACAAUAGACAACAAGUUUUAAAUCAAUAUUCGCAGCGGAAAUAAUAAUUCAUUAGAAGAGUUAAGUAGAGAAUGCAAACUACUAUCUUCUAUGUAUGAAUUUAAAAGUUCAUCGUCUAUCUUUUAUCCCUGUAACAUCAAUCAAUAUAUAUCUGGAAUCAAAUAUUCAUCUUUGCACUACAGGCCAAAGAUAUUCAUCAGUUGGUCAUGUUCAUCUAAACACCUGUUCAUCUUUGCACUACGGGCCAAAGAUAUUCAUCAGAAAUCAUUCAUCUUUGCACUACAGGCCAAAGAUAUUCAAUAAUAUCAUCAUUUAAGACUGAGGAUGAUAAAAAAUUUUUUUUUUAAAGAAACGAAUCCAGUGAAACAAAAUGACAAGGAUUAAGGAUUAAGGAUUCGUACUUUGUUUUAUCCACGUCCAAAAAUACCUCAAAAAUAAUCAUAGUGGUGUAAAAUUCAAGAAUGAUCAAAACAUGGAUACAAUCAAAGCUAGUAUCCACAAUAGAUAUUUUGGACGAAAAGAAAAAUUUUCAUUUUUCGAUGAAUAGUGCCGUAUUCGUGAAUAGUACCGUAUACGUGAAUAGUGCCGUAUACGUGAAUAGUAACUCCGACACCAAAAGUUCCAAAUUUGAUAAAAACUUCAGAUCAAUAUUUCAGCAUAAUGAUAUUGAAGAAAUAAUAUCAUUACGAAAAAAAAUAAUAUCCCUUACCUCGGAAAGACAGUACUUCUAACUGGAAUACUGGAUAUAGGCUAUAACUUGAACUUUCACCGUAUAGCAAUACUCAAAGUAUACUCAAAAUACUCACAAGAAUACGCUCGAUAAUAUAGAGAGAGAAAACUUCAGUUUCUGGUGUGAUUUUCAAUUCUAACCUAAGCACCUAUUUAUAGGAAAUUGCUUAGAACACCAAAGCAGAAAAUUUAAUAUAAUAUUAAUAUAUAUAAAAAUAUUAUACGUAUUCCUUGAAAUCUUAAUCUCAGCAAUUCACACAUGCCAACCUUCUAGAAAAAAAUAAAAAAAACGUUUUUCUAAUUUAAAAUAUUUUAAACUUCCAAAAAUCAAUUAUUUCGGAGCUUCGGAACUUCAAUAAUUCAUAAUAAAUAGCCCUUUUAUCAGAAAAUUCGAAUCUCGCGAGUUUUUAUAGGAAAUUCAAUUCUCUACAACUUUGCAGAAGAAAGUUUUUCCAAAUUCCAAACAGAAAUUGACCGAAAUCCACAAACGGGCGAUUUUAGAGGCUAUAAUCAAAUUUCAGUCAAUAAAUGGGGUCCACCGACAUGUUUAACAUGUUUUAAACAUUUAUUGCAACAAAAAUACUCUUCCUCCUCGUAUACUCAUAUAUCCCACAUUCGUUGUAAAAAUAUCACCAUUAUUAUAUUAUUAAAAUAUAAUAAUAUAUAUAUUUAAAUGAAUUAUUUUAUCAGAAAAAGAUAAAAUUUCAAUUUUCAACAAUUGUCACAUUAAAAAUUUUCUCCAUCUAUAUCCACAUAAAAUCAAUAUUUUCCUCAUCAUAUGAAUCAAUAAUUAAUUAUUCACAAAUAAUAUUACAGAAUCACAAUAUUGACAACCAGGCAGUUCCCAGGAAAGAGGGGGCUUUCCAAUAAGAAUUUCUCCUUACUGGCGCGCAAUUAGGUGACCAAACCUCUCCUUAGACAGAACUUUCUAGACAUUGCCAAUAAUGUUAUCUAAUAAUAUUAUUCAGAUAAUAUGAAUUAUUGCUUCGAUAAUGAAAAAUACUGUGUAAUGACAAUUAUUGAAACAACAGCAAUAUAAAAUAUCAACGCAGCAAUUAUUGAAUCAAUAAAAUAAAAUACUGAACAGUAAUUACUGUAACCAUUAUUGAGUAGUGCCUUCUUACGUAAGAGUCAAUAAUUGGUGCAAUACCGUGUGCUACUGUGCAACAACGCGUAUUACUGUGUUUUAACCACCGGGUAUUCCAACAGUGUAAACGGUAACAACUACGCCGUUAUUUUUAAACAACUUAUAUUUGUCGUUUUCUUCCUCCAAUCGCUUUCCGUUAUGGGGCCCACACAUGGCUGCGCCGUCGUACGAAUAUUCCCCGACAGUACGAAUAUUCCACGACCAAACGAAUAUUCCCCGACAACAAUGAAUAUUUUAUAACCACUUGCUUAUUUUGAAAUAUUUGCGUAUUUUACCCAUAACUAUCCACAUUAAUCACAUCAACCCUUACUAUUUCAAAAUAAUAAUUAGAGGAAAUUAAAUUUCAUUUAUUAAUUAUAUGGGGUCUUACAUUUGCUGUAAAUUCACUUAGUCAUAUAGUGAGUUUAGUAUUUGUGAUGAUUGCAUGAAUUCUAUCAAUUGUGGAUUUCGUAUAAAUUGGGCAUAGUUCAUUGAAAAAUGGUUGUGUUUCACUUUUAUGCUCUCGACUAGCUUUCCGUAUUUAAUAAGUAACAUAACACGAGGCAUACAUUUUAGAUGAAGCAUUAGAUGAUAUUAGAAUCCCAUAUCUUUCUAAUUUGAUUACAUCCUUUUAAUAAUAUUUAUUUAUUGUGUUGAUAAUUAAUUUAGAUAUAAAUUCAUUUAUUGAUUGAUAGUUUGAACAUAUAGAAAUAGUGAUUAAGUUGGUGCAUGAUAAUUUAGAUUUAUUACCCUUCUCCGCUAAUCAAUACUUUUCUUACUAUGUACUACUUGUUGACCCAUGUAUACUUACAUGAGUUAGAAUCCAUUUUGUUAAACCAAAAAAGGAGGCAACAGUUCGGCAAUUUCUUCUUUGUCACUUAGAUCCCAGGCUUCCUUAGCUACUAGAACUUUGAUGGUAAGUAGUUUUGGACAAUCCUUUUUGUAGUGUCCAGGCUGGUUGCAUUCAAAACAUGUGUUUGAAUUUUCAUUGGAGUUGACAUUUUUGAAGUUGCUGUUGUUUACUUUGAAAUUUCCUCCUUGUGCUUUUGGCUUGAAUAUUUGUUUGCUUUUGAAGUUGUUAUUUAUUUUCAUAAAGUUUUUGUCAUAUUUUUUAGCUUUGUUUUGAAUCACUCUCCUGAGUUUUCUGGAUAAUGGAGAAACUUCAUUAUUAUCUAGACUCAUGAGUUCUUCAUCUAGUUCUUCAUCAUCACUUUAUUGAUUUACAUGUAGAGUUUUGAAAGCAAUUCCUUUCUUCUUAAGAUUUGUGUCUGAUCCUGCUUUUUCGACUAGCAUGUCGACUUAAUGGGCACGAAGAUUUCCAAUAAGGCUGUCAAGAGGAUAUGUAGCUAGAUCUUAUAUUUCCUUGAUUGCUAUAACCUUCAUUUUCCAAAUAGAUGGAAGGGCUUUAAGAAUUCUUUUCUUUUUCUCAUUAGUUGUGUAUUCCUUCCCUAGUUAUUCUAGUUCAACAAUGAUUCUAGGAAAACGUGUUUCCAUAUCAAUGAUCUUUUCACCUUCUUCAAGCUUGAAACUUUUAUAUUCUUGGAUUAGAUCAUCUUUUCUAGUUUCUUUGAUAUGAUCUUCAUAGGUUACAAUAAACUUUUCCCUAAUUUCUUUUGCAUUCUUGCAGUUGCUAACUCUUUUGUACUCUUUUUCAAUUAGAGCACUAGUUAACACCUUUUCAGCUCGUGAAGCUAUAUUCAUAGCCUCUUCAUCUUCAGUGGAGAACUCAUCAACAUUUUUUUUCAACGAUCUUUUCUCCUUCAAUUUUGGUUGGAACUUUUACACCUCGUUCUAUUGUAAACCAAACUUUAAUUCCUUGUGACUUAACAUAGAUUUUAAAUAUGUUCUUCCAGGUGACAAAGUUUGUUCCAUCAAAUAGUGGAGGUCUAGACAUUGACAGUCCUUCUCCGUAAACAGUAGCAUUGUAGGCUAUAGAUGAAUCUACUCUUAGGUAUGCCUGUAUUAACUCAACAAACAAGUUAAAGAGCACUGCUUUGAUACCAAUUGAAAGUUCAAUAAUAAUUUAGAAGGGGGAUUGAAUAGAUUAUUACAGAUUAAAAAUUUAUCUUAGGCCUUUUUGAAUUUUUAGAUAAUUAAUUUGUUAUUUUAUAAAUUAAUAUUCAAGUUAAUAAAAAGUCAAUCAUACAAUGCACAUAGAUUUUUUUGGUUCACAACAUACAUCUCGGGUAUGUUGCUACGUCCAGUCUCAAGCUCCUCUCUAUGACUUGAGAUCAUAUUACUUCUUGUAAUAAAAAAUCCUUCAAAAGGCGAAAAAGCCUUUACAAAGUUUUAUAGACAAACAUAAAACUAUUCUCAACUAACUAUCUUAGAUAGCAAGCUCCCAAUUUCCUCCUCAAGCUUAGUUGUAUCUUCCUUUUAAGUUUAGUUCUAUUCUAUGAUAUGCUCUUGAAACAACAGUCUUUUCCUCACCUCACAAGUACACUUGAGACCCAACUCCCAGCUGACCUCUCUAAGAUUGGUCUUGGUCGAAGAAUUAUUCGUCUUUCUCACAGGUACAUAAAAUAAACUAACUCUACCGUUUUCCCUUUUACAAAGUUUUUGACAAAGAUAUGCUUCUAAGAUAAGCAGAUAGUAAUUUGAGAUCAAGUACUUAUAUAUAUAAAAGUUCAAUAACCUUUAUAUAUGUAAAAUGUGCUUCUGUAUAAGCAGAUGUAUUUUUUAUGCUUAGUUAUAAAAGUUUAUAUAACGUUUAUACUUGUAAAAAUAUGCUUAUUGAUUAAGUAGAUAGAUUAAUUUAGGCUUAAAUCAAAAGAGCUUCUUUAUAGGCAGAUAUAGUUUUAAUGCAAGAUUAUAAAGAAUUAUUUAUUAAUCAUCAUAAUAAGGAGUGUGUUUCUAUGUAUUAAACAAAUUAUAACUUUAAUUUUCAAUAUUAUCCAACAAGUAUUCUAUGAAUGAAUUUAUGUUCAAAUACUUGUGAUUAGUUAAAGUAUCAAGUAUAAUGAAUAAAAUAGUUAAACAAUACUUGAUAUAAAAAAUAUAUUUGUUUAAAUCAAAGAAUAUAUAAUAAUAAAUUUUAUCUAUUAUAUGAAUAAUUAUAAAUAAGGCCACUUAGAAUUUUAAAGACCGUUUGAAUAAUUUACACAAUCAUUCGCUCAAGAGUGAAUAAAUUCAAAUUGUAUCAGUAUCUAAGUACUAACCAAAUUUAUAGUUUCCAAUCUGUAUUUAUAUAAAUAUUUUCGGUAGAUUACUUAGGAUUUAAAAUAUCUUUCGGAUAAUUCACACUCUUAUCGAAAUGUAUUUGUACCCCAUACUUUACGAUAUUUAUAUAAAUAACUUGUAUCUUAUAAAAGGCCACUUGGGACUUUGAGAAUUUGUUUGGUUAAUUCCCUCACUUAAGAGGCAUAUCUCCGAUAUAGUCUCGGUGUCUAAGUACUGACUUUUUAUAUGAUAAAUAGAUGAAAUAUAUAUAAGGUUUUGUGAAAAUCAAAGUAGCAAUCAAAUUGCAAAAAUUAACAGAAGCAAAGUAAAAUCAGAUUUUAAAAUUUUUCACAAACUAAUUACCCGGAUCAUCCUUUAUGCAUAUUAUUAAUUAAAACAAAGAACAAGAAGUUAUGGAAUCAUACCCUUGUAGAUACGAGCUUCCACAUGUACGAGUUCAACUCCUACUUCUCUGCGAUCUCCUUGAAUCUUCGGGUUAGAUUCCUUUCCUUUGAUCAAUGUUAGCCACCCAAGUGUAUGGCCUCUACAAGUGAUCCACCAAGGAAGAAGAAUUUUUAAAAAGAAGGGUGUAUUGGCUCAAACCCUAAUUUUUCCUUUCUCUAUAGAAAAAGAGGGCAUACUCUUUAACUAUUUUUGGAAUUAUGUAUAUCUGAUAUCUGAUAUAAGACUCAUCUUAUAAAGAUAUCAGGUAACCCUAUUUAAUUAAAAAAAUGUAUUAUUUAUUUAAUUAAACUCCUUUAAUUAAUUGGGCUCCCUAAUCUUAUUAGGGAUAAUUAAUUAAACUCCUUUAACUAGUUUUGCCUCCUAAUCCUAUUAGAAAUAAAUGGGAGUACUUAUAUUAAAUUAAUUCCUAAACUCUUUUAGAAAUUAAAAAUAAUAAUAAUUGCAAUAAUAUUAAUAAGACUCCUCUUAUUAAUUUAUAUUUAAUAUCUCCAAAAUAUUAAAUAAUAAAUAUUAACGUAUUUAAUUUAUUUUAUCACCAUAGAUUAAAUUAAAUAUACUUAACAUAUUAUUACGAUUAUGCCAUUAACUUCUUAAAUAAUUAUUCUUCAUUUUAUGAUGUGACCCUUUAGGUUCUUCAUAUUAAAUCGGUUAUGAAUAAAUCAAUUAGAACAAUUCUAAUCUUAUUUAAAUAAAUAAAUUAAACUAUUAAUUAAUUUAAAUAAAUAAUAUUUAUUCUACAAUAGGGAUAAGCCUCCCUAGCGAUCAACGACUUUCCAGAUAAUAUAAAUUUUAACAUUAAUUAUAAAAGAACCUGUGAGUAAAUAGUUACCGUACAAUUCAAUCCUUUCACCAUACAAUGUCUCAAUUAAAUAUAAGACAUGAAAUUAGUGUAAAGUCUUAUUUUAUAUAAUUAAAUGUAUUUCAAUUUCCAAAUGCACAACUUCGAAUAAAUGUAAAUUAGAAACUACUUUCUAAUUUCAUUUCAUUUUGGCCAAUGAUUCCUGGAUUAUCAUUUAUCGAAUCACAUAUGACAUUUCUCUUCUUUUACUAGAAGUGGUAGAUUCUAUAUUGAUCAUUCAUUAUCUCCAUAUAUAACUUAUUACACCCAAGUAUACCCUUUGAUAUACUCUAAGGGUCUUAAGGAAUAAGUUAAAAUAUAAUUCAUUAUACAUAAGUUAUUAUGAUGAUCUCAAGUCUAAGGAUCAUUUGUACUACUAUCACUACAGGAAUUCCUAUUGACAUGCAAGUAAAACUCCAUUAGGUAUUCCUUAGUGAGUCACGUUCAGUGAACUUAUUCUCCAAUAAACACCUACAUACUUGCUUUAGUGUCUCUACAUAAAUGAUCAUGAGAUCAAUCAUCCUCAUCCAAUGAGCAAGCAACGUAUGUACCAAUCUAUCCGGAUUCACUAAUUCCCUUUUUAGUAAUCCAUUGAUUGAGAACAUUUUAGUUUUAAGCUAUCUAAGAAUUUAGAUCUCAUUAGUAUAAUCUAAUCAUGAUUCUAAAAGCAUUGCUUAAAACUAUGGGUUUAUCACAUAUUAUUAAAACAGCGCCAAUAGAUAAUAAAUGCCUUUAAUAAAUAGUUCUUUUAUUAAUAAAUAAAUAAGAUUAAUUACAAAGUAUAUUCUUUAUCACCAUACAUGAUUGGCUUAUAUGCAUACUACUUUCAAUCUCUCACUUGCACUAAAGUCAAUCGACGUGGUAUCUCAUACCCAUCUUCUCUAAGUGACGAUCGAACUGUUGUUGUGUUAACACUUUAGUAAAUGGAUCUGCAAUAUUGUCUUGAGAGUCCACACACUCCAGGUUGACAUCUCCUCUUUCAAUGAUUUCUCUGAUCAAAUGAAAUCACCGCAACACGUGUUUGGAUUUCUGAUGAGACCUGAGUUCCUUAACAUGUGCAACAGCUCCGGUGUUGUCACAGAAUAAAGGUACUGUUCCUCUGAUGCUAGGAACCACAUCAAGUUUGUUAAUGAACUUCUUCAUCUAAAUAGCCUCCUUUGCAGCUUCACUUGCAGCUAUGUACUCUGCCUCUGUCACUGAAUCAACAACUAUUUGUUGUUUGGAACUCUUCCAACUCACUGCGCCACUAUUUAAGGUAAACACAUAUCCCGAUAUGGAUUUACUGUCACUUGGUUUGUUUAAAAAUAUGAGUCUGUAAAGCCCUCUAGUUUCAAUUUAGACCUACCGUAGACAAGAAACACAUCCUUAGUUCUUCUUAAGUACUUUAGAAUAUUUUUCACUGCCUUCCAGUGUUCUUCUCCUAGAUUCAACUGAUAUCUACUUGUUACACUAAGUGCAUGAGCGACAUCCGGUCUAGUACAUAUCAUACCGUAUAUGACAGAUCCUAUUGCUAAAGCAUAAGGAAUCUUACUCAUACGGUAUCACUCCUCAGGUGUCUUUGGGGCCUAUUUCUUAGAGAGAUGUAUUCCAUGACUCAUCGUCAUGAGACCUCUUUUGGAAUCCUCCAUGCUAAAUUUCUUUAACAUCGAGUUAAUGUACGUUUCUUGGGAUAAGCCAAGCAUCCUUUUAGAUCUAUCUCUAUAAAUCUUUAUUCCCAAAAUAUAGGAUGUUUCACCCAAGUUCUUCAUGGAAAAGUGUUUAGAUAACCAGAUUUUAAUCGAUUGUAGCAUAGGAAUAUCAUUCCCUAUCAAUAAUAUAUCAUUAACAUAUAAUACAAGGAAUGAAAUAGCACUCCUAUUAACCUUCUUGUACACACAUGGUUCAUCCUCAUUUUUGAUCAAAUCAAACUCUUUGAUUUUCUCAUCAAAACGGAUGUUCCACCUACUAAAAGCUUGCUUCAAUCCAUAAAUGGAUCGUUGUAGCUUACAAACUUGAUUUGUUUCAACCUUUAAAACAAAUCCCUCUGGCUGUGUCAUAUACACAUCCUCCUCAAGUUUUCCAUUGAGGAAGGCCGUUUUCACGUCCAUCUGCCAGAUCUUGUAGUCAUGCUAAGCUACAAUCGCAAGCAAAAUUCGAAUGGACUUAAGCAUCACUACUGGUGAGACAAUUUUGUCAUAGUCAACUCAUUGUCUUUGUUUAAAACCUUUUGUGACCAGUUGGGCCUUAUAAGUCUCUACCUUGCCGUCUGCUCCAAUCUUUCUUUUUAAAGACCCAUUUACACCCAAUAGGCUUAAUGCCUUCAGGUGGUGAAACCAAAGUCCACACUUGGUUUUCAUCCAUGGAGUCCAUCUCGAAUUUCAUGGCUUCUUGCCACUUCUCUAAGUCUUUACUACUCAUAGCCUGUUCGUAAUUCAAGGGAUCAUAAUCAUUUAUGAUGCAUACCUUAUAGUAAUCUUCUAUGAUGAAUCCAUACUUAUCAGGUAGCUUCGGUAGUCUUCCAGAUUUAUGAAUAGGGUGUGUUACAAUAGGUUUUUCCACUUGGUUAGGUACAUGACUUUGAUCCAUAGUAUUUGUGGUUCUUGAACUUCUUCAAGAUAUAUCUUACUCCUACUGUCCCCUUCAAGGAUAAACUCUUUUUCUAAGAAGGUAACAUGUUUCGCAACAAACACCUUUGAUCAGUUGGAUGAUAGAAAUAAUACCCUGAUGUUUCUUUAGGGUAUCCCACAAAUCUACACUUGUCGGAUUUAGUCUGUAGCUUAUCGUUUCCAAACUUUUUAACAUAAGCUGGACAACCCCAAGUCUUAACAUGCUUUAGAUUUGGUUUCCUCCCUGUCCAUAACUCAUAUGGGGUCUUGGGGAAAAAUUUUGUAGGUACCUUUUUAAAUAGGUAUGCAGUCAAUUCUAGGGCAUAUCCCCAGAAGGAAACUGGAAGAUCGAUAUAACUCAUCCUGGAUCGAACCAUGUCCAACAAUGUUCUAUUUCUUCUUUCAGAUACACCAUUGGGUUGUGGUGUCCCUGGUGGAGUCCAUUGUGAGAUUAUACCAUUUUCUUUAAGACAAUUGAGAAACUCACCACUUAAGUAUUCACCACCUCGAUCUGAUCGAAGAAUCUUAAUACUUUUGUCAGUUUGUUUCUCUACUUCACUUCUGAACUCUUUGAACUUUUCAAAUGAUUUAGAUUUAUAUUUCAUUAAAUACACAUAUCCAAAUCUUGAUUGAUCGUCAGUUAAUGUAAUAAAAUAAGAAUAUCCUCCUCGUGCAUUCGUUGUCAUAGGUCCACAUACAUCUGUGUGUACCAAUGCUAACAACUCUGUAAUUCUUUCUCCGUUUUCACUCAAAAGAGAUUUAGUCAUUUUUUUCCAUGAGACAAGAUUCACAAGUUGGAUAUGAUUCAUAAUCCGAUAGCUCUAGGAGCCCAUCUUUAUACAACUUGGAUAAUCUUGUUUCAUUAAUAUGACCAAGUCUAUAGUGCCACAUAUAAGUAUAAUUAAUAUCAACUCUUUUCCUUUUAUUAGUGUGUUCAAUUUGAAGUAUAUUUUCAUGCUAGUCAAGUAUAUAAAGUCCAUUUCGCAAAUAACCGACACCAUAUAAAACAUUAUUAUUAUAAAUAGAACAACUGUUGUUCUUUAUUAUAACUAGAUACAAACCCGCGCUUUGCGGCGAGAUUAAUCAUUUUGUUAAUAAUAAAUUUAUACAUGCAAUUAAUAAAUUAAAAUAUAAUAAGAAGAUGGUAGAUUGUUGUGUGAUUAUCAAAUUUUAAUAGCAUAUGUUAUAUAGUGUUGUAUAAAAAUUUUAUGUGCAAAUACAUAUCCAAGUAUAUAAUUAAUCUGAUCACUAAACCCCAGAACAUUACAUAACAGUUGUGUGUGUGUGUGUAUAUAUAUAUAUAUAUAUAUAUAUAUUAAUGUCUUGAUAAAAAUGUUUAUAAUGUAACCAAUAUGCUUAAAAUGGGUAACUCUUUCAUUCUAAAGCACUAACAAAUAUUUAGAAAGUGUCAUGCACAAUGCCAUCGAAUUGUUAUAUUGAUAUGAUUGCUAGUGGUAUAUUUAAAGUUUGUUACACAUUACACAAAUCUCACCAAGCCUCAAAUAUCUGACACAUGUACUUGAUGCAUUUUGAAGAGUCCAUGUCUCGUAUACGCUAAUUACUUGCACCAGAAUUCUAACAUCUAAACGAAAGGGAAAAAAAAUGAAAGAAUGUCUCAGUUUCGGUCCUCAGACAUGAAGGGAAAGCACAUGUUACAUGCCAAAACUGAAAAGCACGAGAAUUAAUAAUUAUAUUGGAUCUUCAUGUCAAACAAACACUAUGUCCAAAAACAUAGCAGUAUAGCACCGUGUCAUACAUAACACAAUGUUAUAGUUAAAGAACGAAUACAUAACUCAUUAGUUUUUUUUAUUUUCUAUUUUUGACAAUUAUAUAGGCACUCACAGUAUUACCAUAAUACAAAAAAAAAUAUUCAUGAUGAUGAAAAUGAUUUACCGGAUGCUAGUACUUAACAAAUCGUGCAAAGCCACAAUCCAUAUAAUAGAAUGCAAUAAAUGAAGAAGCCAUAAAUAUAAACACCAUGGGAUAUAGUCCACAAAAUGAAGCUAUAUCCCCUCCCAUUGAAUGCACUAUCCCAUAAUAUGAAGGUCUUCAUAUAACUCCUUUGCACUUUCAACAGUAUUUAGAAUUGUAGGGCGCAAAAUUUUGUUGUGCUAAGCAGAAUAAAAUCCAUGAUGCACCUGAAAUAAUGCAAGAAGCAUGCCAACAAAAAUUUAACUCUGCCAAGAACUGCAUACACCAAAUUCAUUGUCACAUUACCAUUGAACCAUAGGUACCAGGAUUAUCACAUUUAAGCUUCUUCCAGUUUAGGUCUUCAAUCCAGUUAUAUUUAUUGAAUGUGCAAUAUAUUCACACAAACAAAAAUUAGCACUUAAAUGAUCUUUUUAACAGUCGUUGCAAUCUUAUAAAUAUUUGCGACAGGAAUCUGGACAAUAGUGAAAUAUAAGAAUUUAGACAUACUUAAUAGUUGAUUUCAACAUUGCAUAAACUAUCAACCAAAUAAAUAAUUAUCUUUCCACAACUCUUUUAUAGGAAAUAGUAUUGCCCGAAAUAAAAAAGUCUCACACUUAGAUAAAAAUUCAUGUGUUUAUCAGAUUGAAAACUAACAGAACAUAAAGGAAUUUAGCUCCUAUAUUAAAUAAAAAUGAAAAGAAUUAGAGUAAAACACAUAUGAAAUGGACUUACAUAGAAUUUCAAAUACUGUCAUCCAAAAAGUAAAAGAUAAACCUAUUAUACUCUUAUUUAAAAGUUUUUCAAUGGUUAUACAUGAAUAUAUAUAUAUACAAACAAAAAAAUGAAAAUACAUAAAAACUAAACAAUUUUGUUGGGGGUAGUGUCGAGAGUUUGACGGUUUAUUUUUGUCUUUACAACUGGAAUUUGGCUCAAUCGAGAUAACUUUGUAAAUGCAAAUCAUAGAUUUACCUAAAAAGAUUCAAAUAGAUCAUAGUAAAAAUUUCAUGAGAUAUAAUAAUAAAAUAAUCAGGGUUUACACUAAUAAUGAGCAGCAAAAAGAUAAUAGCCAGAAACAGUCAAACCUUUAUACAUUAAAUUGUGAAAAACUUUCUGGAAAACUACAUUCUUUGUAGUAUUGUAUGUUUGUCCAUCUUUGUCACAAAUUAGUAUUUUUACUCCACUCUUGCUUGUAACUCUUGAUACUGCUACAUACAAUUGGUCAUGGCUAAAACUGGACGUGACAGAUACAGUCCAACAUGUGAGAGAGAUUGCCCCUGACUCUUAUUAAUUGUCAUGAAAAAGCAAACAACCAAAGGAAAUUGUCUUUGUUGGAAUUUAAAAGGUAAUCUAAUGUUUGACGGUGUUAAGACCAAGCGAGGUAUGAAAACUUUGUGUCCAAAAUUGCUGACUGAAAUUACUUUUGCUUCUAUCAGAUGUUUUCCCAAUUGAGUUACUAUUAAUCUCGUGACAUUGCACAAACCAAAUCACUGAUCUAUAUUUCGGAGCAACAUUACAGGAAUCCCAAUCUUCAACGUUAUCUUGUGGUUUGACAUUCCAGAAGAUGUAAUGCUAUUAAAAAAUUAUAGGGUGUAAAUGCCUUCAUAGCUGUUUGAGUUUUCAUCAACCUUACAUAGGACAUCUUAGAUAUGGUAUUUCAUAACCUGGCCAUAAAUACAUCACAUAUUCGUUCACCUUAUUUAUAGCAUCAAGUGUAGGAGCAAGGAUGGCUUGGUCUUUGAAAUAAAAGCCAUUGUCAAAUUUUUUUUAAUAAAUUAGGAUAUGUGAUAUCAACAAUUGCUGCAAGGGGAUUGAUCGGAUAUUUGAUAAGAAAAUUUGGAUAAAUAAUGGAGAGUAAUGAUAAUAGCUUAGUAAUGAUAAUAUCAUAAAGUAGUGAUUUUAGGAGAUAAUAAAUAAAUUAGAAAGUAUAAUAUCAGAACAGUUUACAUUAACAAAAUAGUUUAGAUUUGUAGUGAUUUAGAGGGUUAUACAUUUAAAAUAUUAAUUUGGGAUUAAAAAAAGUUGUGAUUUUAGUAGAUAAUAAUUAAUUUAGUAAUGAUAAUAUUAGAACAGUUAACAUUAUUAGAACAGUUUAGAUGUAUAGUGAUUGAGGGGAUUAUAAAAUCAAAAUAAUAAUGUAGGAUUAAAAAGUAAUGAUUUUAGAAGAUAAUAAUUACGUUAUGAUAAUAUAAAAAUCGUUUAGAUUGAAAAAGUAGUGAUUUAGUGGAUUAUAAAAUCAACAUAGUAACUUAUGAUUUAUAUUAUUUGUUAUUUUAAUUUUGUUUUAAAUGUUUUAAUUGUAUAAUAUUAUUUUGUAAUAUAAUUAUAAAUGGUAUAAUAUUAUGUUGUAAUAUAAUUAAAUUAGUAAUGAUAAUAUCUGCACAGUUUAGAUAGGUAGUGAUUUUAUUAUAUACGUGUAUUAUAAUAUUAUACCAUAUAUGUAUGAUAUAAUGUAUGGUAUAAUUAUGAAUGUUAUAAUAUUAGAAAAGUAAUUAUUUUAGGAUACAAUAAUUAUGUUUUAACAUAAUUAAAUUAGUAAUAGUUUAGAAAAGUAGUGGAUUUUAGGGGAUUAUAAAAUAAAAAUAUUAAUUUGGGAUUAAAAAAAUAGUGAUUUUAGGAUAUAAUAAUUAAAUUAAAAAGGAUAAUAUCAGAACAGUUGACAUUACUAAAACAAUUUAGAUUUGUAGUGAUUUAGUGGAUUAUAAAUUCAAAAUAUUAAUUUGGGAUUAAAAAAGUAGCGAUUUUAGGAGAUAAUAAUUAAUUUAGUAAUGCUAAUAUUAGAACAAUUAACAUUAUCAGAACAAUUUAGAUUUGUAGUGAUUUAGGGGAUUAUAAAAUCAAAAUAUUAAUUUGGGAUUAAAAAAUAGUGCUUUUAGGAGAUAAUAAUUAAAUUAGAAAUGAUAAUAUCAGAACAGUUGACAUUACCAAAACAAUUUAGAUUUGUAGUGAUUUAGUGGAUUAUAAAUUUAAAAUAUUAUUUUGGAAUUAAAAAAGUAGUGAUUUUAAAAGUUAAUAAUUAAUUUAGUAAUGAUAAUAUUAGAACAGUUAACAUUAUCAGAACAGUUUAGAUUUUGUAGUGAUUUAGGGGAUUAUAAAAUCAAAAUAAUAAUAAUAAUAUAAAAACCGUUUAGAUUGAGAAAAUAGUGAUUUAUGAGAUUAUAAAAUAAACAUAGUAAGUUAUGAUUGAUAUUAUUUGUUAUUUUAAUAUUGUUUUAAAUGUUUUAAACUGUAUAAUAUUAUGUUGUAAUAUAAUUAUAAAUGGUAUAAUAUUAUGCUGUAAUAUAAUUAAAUUAGUAAUGAUAAUAUCCGCACAGUUUAGAUAGGUAGUUAUUUUGUUAUAUACGUGUAUUAUAAUAUUAUACCAUACAUGUAUGAUAUAAUGUAUGGUAUAAUUAUGAAUGGUAUAAUAUUAGAAAAGUAGUAAUUUUAGGAUAUAAUUGUUUUAAAUGUUUUAAACAAUAUAAUAUUAUGUUGUAAUAUAAUUAUAAAUGGUAUAAUAUUAUGUUGUAAUAUAAUUAAAUUAGUGUGGGAUGCACAUUAAUUAAAUAGAACAUGUGUUACAAUGUGGGAAAAACACAUGUCAUUCAAUGGUGCUAUGUAGAUAACAGAUAAUAGAUAAUAAAUAAUAGAUAGAUUCCAUUCAAAAUCUUACCACAUCAGCACAACCUCAUAUGAACUCACGUAAAUUGUUCAUUCCAUUUUAAUAAAAUAAUUAAACUAAUUUGAAGUUUCAUGACAAAAUUAAUUAUACUUCUAGAAUCCCAUAAAAAAAAAACCCAGUUUAGAUUCUUUUACUAAUCAAUUAGUGAAAAUUACAAUUAAUUUGAUAAUGUAAUAGUUGAUUUCUUGAACUACUUUAAAAAAUAUUAGUUACUACAAAAUUAUUAUUUUAAAGAUAAAAAUAAAUAUUCACAUGAAUUUUAAAUUGAUUGAGUUUUUCAUAAAUUGGUUACGCAAAUAAAUUUUCAUAUCUUUAGAAUCAAUUAGCGUGGUUCAAAUAAUUGGAAGAAUUUUUGGAAGCUAAUAGAUUGAAGUUUUAAAAUGAAUAUGAAAAUAAUUUUUAAUUGCAUGGAACUAUAAAAAGUAGGUAAAAUAAAUAAAAGUCUACUAUUAAAGGAAAUUUACUUUUCAAAUAAUUAAAACUAUUUUUUCAUAAAAAACAAGUUGGCCCUAUCGUGUUUAAAUUGAUCUAAUCUGGUUGUUGCCUAAGAGAGUUAUCUAAUUAAUGGAUCCUAAAAUAAUGUGGUUGUUGAUAAUAUCCAUAAAAUAAGGUGAUCAGUAUAUAUAUCAAAGUAAUUGUUAAUGGUAUUUUUGUCAAGGGCAAUAAGAAGUAUUAAUUAGGAUGGACAUGUGUCAAUUUUAUAGAACGACAUAUGUCAAUUUAUUAUGCCAUGUACUAUGAUUUAGUAUAUAUAAUAGAUGUCAAAACCAUCCAUAUCCAAUACAGAUAUUGAAAUAAUGUUUCUAAUGAUAUUUGGAACAAAAUAACAAUUAUUUAAAUAAAUGAACUUGCCGGUAGGCAGUGCUAAACAAUAAGUCCCUACAGCUAAUGCAACAUGUUGACUUGGUCAUAUUCCAACCUUAGGUUUUGAUGAUGACUUUCCUAUUGUACUAAAACGUUUACUCAUGCAUUUACAAGAUAUUAAAAGAAUUCUUGAAGCUUUGAUUUAUUAAAGGAUUGAAGAUAUGAAGGCUUGAAGAAUUUCUUGAGUCAUUAGGAAAUAAAUGUAAGAUCUUAGCUUUAAUUAUUUCUCAAUUAAGGCUCUAAAAUUUGUAUUGCAUUGCAUCAUUAAUUAAUUAUGGAAUAAAUUAAAAUAAUUAAUUAAUUAAAGAUUAAUUAUGAAAAUAAAUAAUUAAGUUUUCAAAAUUAACGAGGUUCAAAUUAUUUGAUUAUCAUAUUUUGAAAAACUAAGUUUUUGAUAUCAUGUUGGUGGACAUUAGUUUUUGAAGCUGCUCAAUCCGAAUACUAAGUGGACCACUUAAUUAAUUCCUCCUUCCAUAAUUAAAGUUGGUUAUUAUUUAUGAAUAUCUUAUUUGGUUCCUUCCAUAUUAAACUAACAAUUAGUGAAUGGAAAAACAUGUAAUGCUUCCUAAUUGUUUUUGAAUUCAAACGGCUAUAGUUAUUGGGAAUUAUAGAAGUGAUUAAUUAUGAAAUAAAAUUAAUUAAGCUUUCAAAAUUAAUAACGAUCAAAUAUUAAUUAGAGUAAUUUUUGAAGCCUUCCCAUAAUUAAAGGAUUUAAUUUAAAAUAGAUUUUGAUAAAUCUAUAUCACAUAUGUUGAGAUUGAGUUAUUCAUUAUGUUUUUCAUGAUUUAUUAAUUGAUUGAGCUUUCUAUAAAAAUUGAUUAAGCAAAUCAAAUUUCAUAUCUUUAGAAUCAAUUAGCAUGGAUCAAAUAAUUGGUGUAAUUUUUGGAAAGCUAAUUAGUGAGGGAAAAUCUAAAUAAAUUGGGAUUUCAAAAUAAAUAUGAAAAUGUUUUUAAAUAUUGAUAUUUCUCAUAAUUGAUGGAGUUGGUUAGUAAAUGAGUUUUAAAAAUAUCAUUAUCUUUCAUAUCUCUAAUAAAGAUUGUUUCCAUAAAUCUUGGGAUAUAAAUUUUCCAUUAUUGGGUUUGCCAUAAUCAUGAAAGUAAUAUAUAAAUUAAUUGGGCUUUCAAAAUUAAUAUGGAAAGAUAUGCAUUAAAUGAAAAUAAUUAUGAAAGUGAUUAAUUUAUUAUUAAACAAAUUAAUUGGGCAUAUAAUUAAGGUUGAUUAAUGAGAUUCCAUAAUUAAAGAUAUUCUAAAAGUUUCUUCCUUAAGUUAAGCAGUGUGAUCUCAUCAUUUUAAUCGGAAGAAAUUUGUGUGGGAAUAAGUUGAAUAAAUUUUACUUAAUAAUAAAGCAUGCUUAAUUAAAUUCUACAUGACAGUGGGUGUAAGACCCCGAAUUUUAUAAAAUAAAAGUAUUUAAUUUUCUUAUAAUUAUUAUUCUAUUUAGUAAAUGGUUAAAUUAAUAAAAGGUAAAGUUAAGGGUGAUAUGUGAAAAUUUUACAAAGUAAGCAAGUUGCCAUAAAAUAUUUGUUUGGUCGGAAAAUAUUCUUUUUAUUGGGGAAUAUCCGUACGACGGUACAAUCAUUCAUGGACCCCACAACGGAAUAACUGUCGGAUUUAGAAAGCGACAUAAAUAACCUUUUAUAAAAAUAACGGCAAAACUUUUACCGUUAAACUGUUGAAAUAUCCGGUGAUAAAAAUAGUAAUACGCAUUGUUGCACAGUAGCACACGGUAUUGUACAAUAUCUUUGAUUAUUAAUGCUUACGUGAGAAGUCACUCAGUUUUAUUCAAUAAUUGCCACAGUAGCCGAUGCAUAGUAUCUCAUAUUAUUGAUUCAAUUAUUGUCACAGUAUCAUCUGCACCAUAUUUUAUAUUAUUAAAUCAAUAAUUGAGACGAUAAAGUUAUUUAUAUUAUUAUUUGCAUUAUUGACAAUGUCUAGAAAGUUCUGUCGAGGAAAGAGGUUUGGUCACCUAAUUGCGCGCCAAUAAGGAGAAGUCCUUAUAGGAAAGCCCCCUCUUUUCUGAGAAUGAUCUGGUUGUUAAUAUUGUGAGUUAUAAUAUUAAUGAUGAAUAAAUGUUAUUAAAAUAUGUUUAGUGAAGACAGGUGAAUUGAGAUAAAUAGAGGGGGUUUUUUAUAUGAAAUAUUUGUUAUAAAUUUGGCUUAUUAUAUGGACCCCCACUUACUCAUUUUUCAAAAUUAUCGGUAGAAAGUUAUUUCAGUUUUGUUUUAUUACUUAUAUAUAUAUAUAUAUAUAUAUAUAUAUAUUAUAUAAGUUUUUUUAUAUAAAAUAGAAUAUAUUAUAUUUUAUUAUAUGCAUAGUACAGCAUAGUAAAGUAAAAAAAAAAUUAAUCGGUGCGCCCGUGAAUUCGUUCGAAUCUUACUGUACAGUCCGUGAUUAUUUUUCUUAAAUAGUAUCCUGCCAUUCUCCUAUAAAUAGGAUGCUCAGUUUAGAAAUAAAAAUCACACCAGAAUCAGAGAAUUCUUCUUCUAUAAUAUUGAGCGCAUUUCUUUUGAGUUUAAGGAAGCUUUGAGUGUAAAAAACAGUACUAAUUUUCUUUAAGAAUAUCUCCGCUACACUAGUCAGAAUACUCUCCUUUUACGGUAAGGGGUAGUAUUUAUUUUAUAUUCGCUUACGAUAUUAUUUUUCGUAUUCGGAAGGAAUUUUGUUUUUUUCAAUAUUUGUAAGGAAUAUUAUUUUCGUUCAAUAUUUGUAAGGAAUUAUAUCUUUGUUCAAUAUUUGUAAGGAAUAUUAUUUUUGUUCAACAGUUGUAAGGGAUAUUAUUUUUGUUCAAUAUUCGUAAGAAAUAAUAUUUUCUUCCAUACUCUGUAGUAUGUAAGUAAUAUUAUUUCGUUUCAUAUUCCUAAUUCUACACUUAUGUUGAUAACUAUUGCUUCUAUACUCCUUGAAAUUAAUAGAAUAUCCUUGAAAUUUGCGCUUCAUCUAGUAUCGUUCCACUAAAAUAUUUUUCUGAACAUUCUUGUCAAGUUUUAAUCUUUUCAUGCCAGAGUACUAUUCACGAGGUACUAUUCAUGAAGUGCUAUUCACGAGGUACUAUUCACUCGGAUACUAUUCACCCAGGGUACUAUUCACGAAAAAAAUUAAUUUCUUUUCUGUCCAAAUUAUUUUUGAUACAUGAUUAUUAUUCUUGAAUUUUACUCCACAAAGAAGUUAUCAUGUUGACAAUUUGGACAUUUUUAAACUCUAGAUAAAUUAAAAGUCUUUAAUAUAUCUUCUUGAUUUCAUUUGAUUGAUGCUUAUAUCAUUGCCAUCAUCCUCAUGCUUAUAUUAUGAUGAAAGUCAUCUUUGGCCCGUAGUGCAUAGAUGGACUGUUGAUUGGUAUGAUUAUGACUAGGAAUUAUUUAUCGGUAUAAUCAUGACCUGUAAUAUUACAAAUAAUGUGGUAAAAGUCCUCAUUGGCCCGUAGUGCAUUGAUGGGUAGUUGUUUGGUAUGAUUAUGACCACUGGUGUUAAUAACAAAUAUCAUUGCCCCGUAGUGCAUGGAUAAUUUGUGGAUGUGAUAAUAACAAAUAUCAUUGGUCUGUAGUGCAUGGAUAAUUCAUGGAUGUGAUAGUAACGAAUAUCUUUGGCCCAUAGAGCAUGGAUAAUUCGAUGAUGUGGAUUAUUUAUUUUACAGACAAAUGAUGUGAUAAAAAUUCUCUUUAGCUUACGUGCAAAGAUAGAUUGUUGGUUAUUGGUUUUAUAAUUGUAUAUCUUUGGCUUACGUGCAAAGAUGAACUGUUGAUUAUUGGUUUUACAGUUGUAUAUCUUUAGCUUACGUGCAAAGAUGGACUAUUGAUUAUUGGUUUUAGAGUUGCAUAUCUUUGGCUUAUGUGCAAAGAUGGACUGUUGAUUAUUAAUUUUACAGUUGUAUAUCUUUGGCUUACAUGCAAAGAUGGACUGUUGAUUAUUGGUUUUACAGUUGUAUGUCUUUGGCUUGUAGUGCAAAGAUGGACUGUUGAUUUACCUGAUUAUAAAUAUGAAUUAUGAAUUUAAUUAUAAUCUUUGGUGGUUCAGGUGAAGACAGGUGAUCAGAGUUCUCUUUGUCUUGGGUACAAUAAAGAAAUGUUGAUGAAUAUUACAGGAAUGAAAUAUUAAUGAUGGAAUUUUAAAUUAGAGGAGAUAGUAGACAUUAUGUUCUACUUGACUCUUCUAAUGGAUUGUUGAUUUCGCUGCAAUUAUGGUUAAAAACUUUUAUUAUCUACCAUAUGUUCUAAAUAUCUGAUUUAGUACCGAUGAAGGCUAUUGAUAAGUUAAUUAUCUUAGUCAUAAUAUUUUUUACUGGGCUAUUUUUGCUCACCAUUUUUCUUCACAAUUCCUUUCAGGUAUUAAGAGUGUAGUUGGGUCGAGCGGGGAUAACAGGGAAAUAGUGUGAUGGUCCGAGAAUGUGGAAGUUUCCCAAUACAUUAUAAAACAUCAUGACAUGCAAUAUAUAAUUGUAUUAACGACCUAAGAUGGGUGUCGUAUAUUAUACGUCACUUAAUAAUUGAUUUUAGUGAACAAUAAUAGGGUGAUGAGAACCCAACUUUGAAAGCGUCAAAAUGCACUCCAUUAGAAUGAGGAGAACAUAAAUCUUCUCGUGCUCCUUUGGAGACUUGAAAUAUUUUCUGUUGUAUUUUAUAGGGCAUUGUAAUAAUUUGAGUAUGAAUAUUGACGCAUUAUAUACGUAACAAUAUUUGUAUUAAAACUCAAGCAUAUGUAUUGUCAUAUUUUGCACGACAAUUGUAUACAUGAAGUUUGUAUUUGAAUUCUAUACCGUGUAUCUGGCGACUCAAAAUGGGUUGUGUAUACCUAUUUUGGGGGCGUCAUAGUGGGUGACCAAAAUGGUGCAACAUUAAUAUGUUAACAAAAGCAGGAAUCUUGCUUACAUUACCUUAAUGAGUUAUUGAAUGAGUGGAUAUGAAAUAGGCCCAGGAUUAAUAAAUUAAUUCACAUCCCUUUUAGAAGUGGAUUUUAUUUAUAAAAAUCUUGAGUGGAUGGACUUCCUUAUCAAUGUGAUUCAUCUUUGACUAAGAGCAUGAUUAACGCCUUUUUGAUUCAUAAUCAAUUAAAUAAACUAAUAUCUCUCUUUAAUUGAUUCCAACAAACAUAAAGGUGAUUCACGGAAUCAAUUAACAACGGCUAUAUAACUUUAUUUCACUAUAUAAGGAUUAGCCAUGGCCUUGAGAGAAAUAACACAAGAAAUUAGAAUAUACAACAAGCAGAAUACUUAGAAUACUAUUCUGAAAAUGUACUUUCUUCACAUACAAUUCACAAGGAUUUUCAAUGUUUCUAAAUUGUGAAGAAUCGCUACAAGGUUGUUGUGCAUCAAGCUCUCAAUUAAUUUUAGCUUUUCUCUUUGCCCUUAAAUUGGUGAUAUCUUUAUCUUUCAUAUUGAUCAUUGUAUUUUAGUUGAGCCUUGAAUUGUUGAUAUAAUUAUUUCUUUGAUCAUAGUGUAUUUUGUUGUCAUAUCUUUGAUCAAUUCUCUAAACAUGUUGUAGACUAUGUUGUUAGUCUAAGGUUUCUAAUAUGGGUUAGAUUAGGGGUUUUACAAGAAAGUUCAAGGAAGCAUAGGUGCUUAAGGGUGCAUAUGUGCACGAGGAGCAAAGGUGCUCGGGGAGUAUAAGUACUGAAAGUUUGUGAAACUUGUCUAGUAAAGGGGUUUAAUUGUAAACAAAGUUAAUUAAUAAAGAGAGUCUCUAAUACUAGUUGGUAUUGGACGUGGAUUAGUGUGACGCCCCCAAAAUAGGUAUACAUAACCCAUUCUGAGUCACCAAAUACAUGGUACAGAAUACAAAUACAAACUUAAUUAUAUAACUGUUGUGUAACAUAAGUUGAGAGUAUUAAAACGAAUAGUGUCUUCUAGACAAUAUCCAAACUCAAAUGGAGUCCUCAUUACAAUUAUUAUCACACUAUUUUAUAAAAUACUGAGGACUACUACAGCCACCAUCUCGGACCGUCACUCCAUUCCCCGACUAGUCUCGGCUACGUUCUCAUUUCCUGAAGAGAACAAGGAAAGCAAAAGGGUGAGCUCAACUAGCCUAGUAAGAAAUAUUAUGACUAAGAUAAUGCAGAAUAAAUUAUCCUUAGCCUUCAACAAUGUUAAACUGAUAGAAUACAAUAAACAACAAGUUUAACUGCAGCGGAACAAUCAAUCCAUUAGAAGAGUCAAGUAGAACAUGAUAUCUACUGUCUUCUAUGAUUUAAAAACUUUAUCAUCAAUUUUAUCGCUGAGACUCAGCUCAAUAAAUAAUCCACAUCACUGAAUUAUCCAUGCACAAUGGGCCAAGGAUAUUCAUUAGUAUCACAUCCACGAAUUAUCCAUGCACUACGGGCCAAGAAUAUUCGUGUUAUCACCAAUGGUCAUGAUCAUGCCAAUAACUGUCCAUCAAUGCACUACGGGCUAAUGAGGACUUUUACCACAUCAUUUGUAACAUUACAGGUCAUGAUUAUACUGAUACAUAGUAAUAAUCAUACCAAUCAACUGUUCAUCAAUGCACUACGGGCCAAUGAAGAAUUUCAUCACAAUAUAACCAUGAUGAUGAUGACAAUGAUAUAAGAAUUUAAUUAAAUGAGAGCAAGGAUAAAUUUUAAAGAUUUAUAAAUUAAUUUAUCCAGAAAUCAAGAAUGCCCAAAUUGUUAACAUGAUACUACUUUGUAGAGUAAAAUUCAAGAAUAAUAUUGUAUCAAAAAUGAUUUGGACAGAAAAGAAAUUAAUUUUGUAUUGAAUAGUACCCUAGGUGAAUAGUACCCGAGUGAAUAGUACCCCAUGAAUAGUACUUCGGGAAUAGUACCCCGUGAAUAGUACCCCAGCAUAAAAAGAUUAAAAAUUAUCAAGAAUGUUCAAAAUAAUAUUUUCGUGAAAAGAUACUAGAUGAAGCGCAAAUUUCAAGGAUAUUCUACUAAUUUCAUGGAGUAUAAUAGCAAUACUUAACAAAAUUAGUGUCGAAUUCGAAAUCAAAAACGAAAUAAUAUUACUUACAUACUACAGAGUAUGGAAGAAAAUAUUAUUUCAUAUGAAUAUUGAACAAAAAUAAUAUCCCUUACCUUAAAAGGAGAGUACUUCUGACUAGUAGGGUGGUGAUAUAUUUGAAGAAAACUUGCACUGUUUUUUACACUCAAAGCUUCCUUAAACUUUAAAAAAAUACGCUCAAUAUUAUAGAAGAAGAAUUCUCUAAUUCUGGUGUGAUUUUUAUUUAUAAACUAAGCAUCCUAUUUAUAGGAGAAUGGCAGGAUACUAUUUGGACGCAAAGUAAGGAAAAAUCACGGGCGACUUCGACGAAAAAUUUUGAUUUCACUAUGCAGCACUAUGCAACACUAUGCAACACUAUACAAACAAUAAAAUAUAAUAUAUUGUAUUUUACUAUGCAGCACUAUGUGAUUCAUCUUUGACUAAGAGCAUGAUUAACGCCUUUUUAAUUCAUAAUCAAUUAAAUAAACUAAUAUAUCUCUUUAAUUUAUUCCAACAAACAUAGAGGUGAUUCACGGAAUCAAUUAACAACGGCUAUAUCACUUUAUUUCACUAUAUAAGGAUUAGCCAUGGCCUUGAGAGAAAUAACACAAGAAAUUAGAAUAUACAACAAGCAGAAUACUUCGAAUACUAUUUUGAAAAUGUACUUUCUUCACAUACAAUUCACAAGGGUUUUUAAAGUUUCUAAAUUGUGAAGAAUCGCUACAAGGUUUUUGUGCAUCAAGCUCUCAAUUAAUUUUUGCUUUUCUCUUUGCCCUUAAAUCGGUGAUAUAUUUAUCUUUCAUAUUGAUCAUUGUAUUUUAGUUGAGCCUUGAAUUGUUGAUAUAAUUAUUUCUUUGAUCAUAGUUUAUUUUGUUGUCAUAUCUUUGAUCAAUUCUCUAAACAUGUUGUAGACUAAGUUGUUAGUCUAAGGUUUCUAAUCUGGGUUAGAUUAGGGGUUUUACAAGCAAGUUCAAGGAAGCAUAGGUGCUUAAGGGUGCAUAGGUGCACGAGGAGCAAAGGUGCUCGGGGAGUAUAAGUACUCAAAGGUUGUGAAACUUGUCUUGUAAAGGAGUUUAAUUGUAAACAAAGUUUAUUAAUAAAGAGAGUCUCCAAUACUAGUUGGUAUUGGACGUGGAUUAGGCUACUAGAAUAGAGGAUAGGGGCUAAACCACGUAAAAAUUCCUUGUAUUCAUGUGUUUGAUUGUUUUACUUUAAUUGUUUAUUGCAUGCUUCAAUUUGAGUUGUAAUUUAUAAUCUUAGUACUUUAACAUAUAGUGUUCUUCUUUUUGAUUGAGUCAUAAACAUCUAAAUUAAGUUUAAACAAUUCAAGACUUGAAUUAAUAUUAAAAGAUUAAACAUAAAAAGUGUUUAGUGGUUGAUUUUCAUACACUGAUAAUCUAGUAAGUAUAAAUAUUCUAUCUAGCACUCUGCAUACUACACUAAUCAUUCUACAAGCAUAGAUAUUCAAUCCAGCAUCCUGUAUUGAUAAUCUGGGUUGGAUUGAAUAUCUGGUAAGCAUAAAUAUUCUAUCCAGCAUCCUGCAUUAUACUCUGAUCAUUCUACAAGCUUAGAUAUUUCAUCCAGCAUCCUGUAUUGAUAAUUUGGUAAGCAUAGAUAUUCAAUCCGGCAUCCUACAUUCAAUAUAAGAAAGUAUUUUUAAGUUGCAAAAGUUUGACAUCGUUUGUUCUCACACUUAUUCAACCUCCCCUUUCUAAGUGUGCCUACUUAAAAUUUCAUUUUGUAUCAGAGCUUGGCUCUAAUUAUCUUGGUCUUCAAGGUGACUUGUAGGGAAAGAUUCUAGCAUGACACAAUUUGGGAACAUCAUUUAAGAAGGUCAAUCAACUGUUAGACCUCUACUACUUCAUAGAGCUAAAAAUUACAACUUCUAGAAAUUUUGAAUGAGGAUAUUUCUUAAAAGAGACCCUUGUGAAUGGUGGGUCAUGGAGAAUGGUCCUGUUAUUCUAAGAAAAAAAUAUGGUACUCCAAAGACCUUAAUGGAAAUGGACUCAACUGAAACUCACAUGAUCUCCUAUGAUUCAAAAGCAAUGAACACACUCCUUAGUGGAUUGGUGCAAUUCGAAAUUGACAAAGUUUCCUCAUGCAACACGGCUAAAGAGAUUCUGGAUACUUUAAAAGUAAGCCAUGAAGGUACAUCGAAAGUAAGAGAAGUCAAGCUUAGUAUGAUCAUGCAUGAUUAUAAAAUGUUUAAGCUUGAAAAAGAUGAAACUAUCAAUGAGGCACAUGCAAGGUUCUUAGUACUAAUGAAUUCCUUGUAGCUUUAUGAUAAAUUAAUUCCACAAAGUGAGAUCAACCGUAAGUUACUUCGGGUUAUGCCCAAGAGGUUUGCUUCUAAAGUUACAACUCUUUAAGAUUCUCCUAAUAUUUCUUCUAUGAAUACAUUAACUCUAUUUAGUGAAUUAGAAGAAUUUGAACAUAAAUUAAGGGGAUAUGAUGAUGAGGAGGAUACUCCUCGAAAGAAGGUUUUAGCUCUUAUUGCAGUGGAUGAAGAGGAGCUAGAGGAUAAUUCUGAUGAGGAAAUUGCAAAACUUUCAAAAAGGCUCAAAGGGUUGUUACAAAGAAAGCUUAAGAGAAAGAGUGUUAUCACUUCAAACAAGUUCAAGGGAAAGCAAAAUGAAGACACUUUUUUUUGAAUGCGGACACCUAGGCCAUUUCAGAAAGGAUUGCUUCAAAAUAAUAAACAAAGGCAAACCAAGCUACAAAGAUAACAAAAGGAAAAAAGCAUUUAUUAAUUUGAGUGAUGAUGAGUCCGAAGUGGAAGUUAAUGCAAACAAAGAAAUAGCCCAAGUAUGCUUCAUGGGAGUUGGCAAUGAAUCAAGUGAUGAAUCGAGUGAGGUAACCAUUUCUGAUUAUAAUAUUUUGAAACAUGAAAAUGAAAAACUAAGAGAAAAGAAUGUAUAGUUAAAAGACUUAGUAAAUACUUUAUUGAAUGAGGUUGAUAUAUUAAUUGAUGAAAAGAAAAAAGUUGAACAAGAUACAUCAUCACAAGUAGAAAAUAUUUUAAUUACUAAAAAUGAUUUUUUAGAAUAUCAUAACAAAUUUCUUUCCAACAAGGUUAAUGAUUUAAAUAAUGAAGUUGAAAAAUUAAACAAAGAAAUAGCAAUGAGAGAUGUGUGUAUUAAUGCUUUUAAUGAUGAUUCUCAUAUUAAAAAUUCUUCAACGAAUGAACUACAAAAAGAAAUAAACUCACUAAAAUCAUCAUUGGCUAAAUUUGUCCAAGGGGAAGAAAACUUAUCUGUUAUGUUGGGUAAACAAAGACCUAGCUUUGAAAAACAAGGAAUUGGCUACAAUCCAACACAUAAAAAAAGUGAUGUAAAAUUUUUAAAAUAUAGAUCACAUUUAAAAUUAAAUUAUUGCUCUCCUUUCACUACUUGUAAAACAUGUGGCUUAAAGGGACAUUUAGAUUGUUCAUCAAAUAAAAGGAAUAUGAAAGUUAAAAGUGUGUGGAUUAAGAAAAGUGAUUUGUAUGUGACUAACCCAAAAGGACCCAAAAAGAUAUGGGUACCAAAAGGAUGAAUUGUUUUUAUAGGUACAUCUUAAAUCCAAAGGUCCUUUUUAAAAUAAAUAGAUUGAGUAAGCCAAAGAAGUAAACUGAAUUCGUCAGUAAGAAGAAACAACAGACUGGAUUCGACAAAUAGAAUAUAACAUCGUCUAAUUGUCUAUCCAGCAAACCGUAUUCUUAGAAAAGAAAGUUAAAAUGCCGAAAGCAGCGAAGUAUCUCAAAAGACAUCCACCUGAGAAUAUUAUUGAAGAUAUUACUCCCAAAUAUGAGUAUGAGAACUAUCCAAAUCAUGAUUACAAACUUAAACAAGUUCAAACAAGUUCCAAGGGCUUGUUAUAAGAGAUUAAGUAAGUAUCUCAUCUCAAAUGGAUUCAAUCAAGGUAAAAUCAAUUCUGCAUUAUUUAAGCAUGAAAAUAAAGAUACUAUCAUUAUGCAAAUAUAUGUAGACGAUAUAAUAUUUGGUGCUACUAAUGAGUUUCUUUGUGAGUUAUUUUCUAAGUGUAUGCAGAAGGAGUUCGACAUGCACUUAAUGAGAGAACUUAACUAUUUUUGUUUGGGACUCAAAAUAAAGAAAACAAAGGAUGACAUAUAUAUACAUCAAACCAAAUACACGAAAGAGUUGCUCAAAAGGUUUGAAUUUGAGAAAUCUAAAUCAAAGGCUACACUAAUGAGUACGUCAAUUAAAUUCACAUUAUAUAAUAAAGGUGUUGAAAAGAUUCUUAGACUCAUAUUUGACAACCAUUGUUAGUCCUUAAAAGCAACCAUGUUUCUUUCUAUGGGUAUACGUCAUUUUUCAAUGUCCUUCCUUUUUUUUUGAUUAAUGACAAAGGGGGAGAAAAAUCAUAUGUUAAUAUUUUUGAUUGAUAACAAAGGGGGAGAGAAAUUAUGAUAUGUUUUGUCUAAUCACGUUGAAACAGAUUGAGGUACAGGAUAAGUUCAUAUUGAAUUCUGUUGUUAUUCCAUUCUUUAUUAUUCUAUUGGAAUAUCCUGUCUGUGCGGAUUACGCAUGACCUGGUUCCAUUCUUUAUUAUUCUGUUGGAAUAACUUGUCUGUGCGGUCUAUCGCAUGCCUGGUGAAUUCUGUUCUUAUUCCAUUCUUUAUUAUUCUAUUGGAAUAUCCUGUCUGUGCGGAUUACGCAUGACCUGGUUCCGUUCUUUAUUAUUCUGUUGGGAAUAAUCUGUCUGUGCGGUCUAUCGCAUGCCUGGUGAAUUCUGUUGUUAUUCCAUUCUUUAUUAUUCUGUUGGAAUAACUUGUCUAUGUGGAUUACCGCAUACAUGGUGAAUGAUCCUUCGUAUUCAUUCUUUAUUAAAUUGUGAAAAUGAUCUGUCUACGUGGAUUACCGCAUGGCGGGUGAAAAUUCAUUUGUAGUUUCGUAUAUUCUAUUAUACUCGUCUGAGAUAUCAUUUCUUUUGUACUCAUUAUGGAAUAUCAUUUUCUUUGGUAUUUUUUUUGAGUUACUAUUCACGAGUUACUAUUCACCCGAUUACUAUUCACUCUAGUAUUAUUCACUCGAGUAUUCGGGGUACUUUUUGUGUCAGAGUACUAUUAACGGGUUACUAUUCACCUGAUUACUAUUCACUCUAGUAUUAUUCACUCGGGUAUUUGGGGCACUUUUUGUGUUGGGAUACUAUUCACAGGGUAGUAUUCCCGAAGUACUAUUCACGGGAUACUAUUCACCAGAAAAAUAUAUUUCUUUUCUAUCCAAAUUAUUUUUGGUACAUAAAUAUUAUUAUUGAAUUUUACUCUACAAAGCAGUAUCAUGUUGACAAUUUGGAUAUUUUUAAACUUUGGAUAAAUUUAAAGUCCUUAAUAUUUAUCCUUGAUUUCGUUUGAUUAAUGCUUAUAUCAUUGUCAUCAUCCUCAUGCUUAUAUUGUGAUGAAAUUCAUCUUUGGCUUACAUGCAUAGAUGGACUGUUGAUUAUUGGUUUUAUAGUUGUAUAUCUUUGGCUUACGUGCAAAGAUGGACAGGUGUAUGACAUGGUCAUAACCACUAGUGAUAAUAACGAAUAUUCUUGGCCCAUAGUGCAUUGAUAAUUUGAUGAUGUGAUUGGCAGGAUCAUGACCAUUAGUUAACAGUUGAAUGUCUUUGGCCGUCGUGCACUGACAGACAAUUGAUUGGCAUGAUCAUGACCAUUGGUUUUAUAGUUGAAUAUCUUUGGCCCGUAGUGCAAAGGUAGACAACUGAUUGGUAUGAUCAUUGUUAUUACAUUUGAAUAUCUUUAGCCUUUGGGGUAAGGAUAUUGAGUAAAUGCUCUAUUAAGCCUUUGUGGCAAGGAGAAACUGUUGAUUUACAUGAUUAUAAAUAUGAAUUAUCGAUUUAACUAUAAUCUUUGGUGGUUUCGGUGAAGACAGGUGAUGAUAGUUCUUUUUGUCUUGGGUAUAACAAAGAACUGUUGAUGAGUAUUACAGGAAUGAAAUAUUAACGAUGGACUUUUAAUCUAGAGGAGAUAGUAAACAUUAUGUUCUACUUGACUCUUCUAAUGGAUUGCUUAUUCCGCUGCAGUUAAACUUGAUGUCUAUUAUAUUUUAUCAGUUUAACACUGUUGAAGGCUAAGGAUAAUUAAUUCUGCAUUAUCUUAGUCAUAAUAUUUCUUACUGGGCUAGUUGAGCUCACCCUUUUCUUUCACUGUUCUCUUCAGGAAAUGAGAAUAUAGUUGGGACGAGUCGGGGAAUGGAGUGAUGGUCCGAGAUGGUGGCUAUAGUAGUCCUCACUAUUUUUAUAAAAUAGUGUGAUAAUAAUUGUAAUGAGAACUUCAUUGAGAGUGGAUAUUGUCUAGAAGAUAAUAUUCUUGUUUAAACUCUCAGGUAUAUUUUGUCGUAUUUUACACGACUGUUGUAUAAUUAAGUUUGUAUUUAAAUUUAUGUAGUGUGAUAUCUGGCGACUCAAGAUGGGUGAUGUAUACCUGUUUUGGGGACGUCACAAAUAGGCCCAGGAUUAAUAAAUUGAUUCACAUCCCUUUUAGAAGUGGAUUUUAUUUAUAAGAAUCUUGAGUUAAUGGACUUCCUUAUCAAUGUGAUUCAUCUUUGACUAAAAGCAUGAUUAACGCCUUUUUGAUUCAUAAUCAAUUAAAUAAACUAAUAUCUCUUCAAUUGAUUCCAACAAACAUAAAGGUAAUUCACGAAAUCAAUUAACAAAUAUCACUUUAUUUCACUAUAUAAGGAUUAGCCAUGGCCUUGAGAGAAAUAACACAAGAAAUUAGAAUAUACAACAAGUAGAAUACUUAGAAUACUAUUCUGAAAAUGUACUUUCUUCACAUACAAUUCACAAGGGUUUUCAAAGUUUCUAAAUUAUGAAGAAUCGCUACAAGGUUGUUGUGCAUCAAGCUCUCAAUUAAUUUUAGCUUUUCUCUUUGCCCUUAAAUCGGUGAUAUCUUUAUCUUUCAUAUUGAUCAUUGUAUUUUAGUUGAGCCUUGAAUUGUUGAUAUAAUUAUUUCUUUGAUCAUAAUUUAUUUUGUUGUCAUAUCUUUGAUCAAUUCUCUAAACAUGUUGUAGACUAAGUUGUUAGUCUAAGGUUUUUAAUAUGGGUUAGAUUAGGGGUUUUACAAGCAAGAUCAAGGAAGCAUAGGUGCUUAAAGGUGCAUAGGUGCACGAGGAGCAAAGGUGCUUGGGGAGUAUAAGUACUCAAAGGUUGUGAAACUUGUCUAGUAAAGGGGUUUAAUUGUAAACAAAGUUAAUUAAUAAAGAGAGUCUCCAAUACUAGUUGGUAUUGGACGUGGAUUAGUGACGCCCCCAAAAUAGGUAUACAUAACCCAUUCCGAGUCACCAAAUACAUGGUACAGAAUACAAAUACAAACUUUAUUAUAUAACUGUCGUGUAACAUAAGCUGAGAGUUUUAAAAUGAAUAGUGUCUUCUAGAUAAUAUCCAAACUCAAAUGGAGUCCUCAUUACAAUUAUUAUCACACUAUUUUAUAAAAUAGUGAGGACUACUACAGCCACCAUCUCGGACCUUCACUCCAUUCCUCGACUAGUCCCGGCUACGUUCUCAUUUACUGAAGAGAACAAGGAAAGCAAAAGGGUGAGCUCAACUAGCCCAGUAAGAAACAUUAUGACUAAGAUAAUGCAGAAUAAAUUAUCCUUAGCCUUCAACAGUGUUAAACUGAUAUAAUACAAUAAACAACAAGUUUAACUGCAGCAGAACAAACAAUCCAAUAGAAGAGUCAAGUAGAACAUGAUAUCUACUCUCUUCUAUGAUUUAAAAACUUUAUCAUCAAUUUUAUUGCUGAGACUCAGCUCAAUAAAUAAUCCACAUCACUGAAUUAUUCAUGCACUACGGGCCAAGGAUAUUGUAGACACUCAAAAUUUUCUUUUCCUGUUACUAACUGUGCAGGAGGGCAAAAACAUCUUUUUCAUACUCCAGAGAUAAUCCUGGAGGACCACAACAUCAAUUCCAACCUCAGAGAUAACCCUGAGGAUAUUCAGAGUUAACAGCAUGACCAUCUCAGAGAUAACCCUGGGAAAAACCUGCUACAACUGUGCGAAAACCGGAGAUAACCCCGGAAGGGGAAAAAUGGUCAUUUUGCCAACUCAACUUCACUUCAAAUCAAUUACACUCAUGUCAAUUCAAAUUGAUUCAAAAUUAGUCCCAUAAGACUCAUAUCUUAACUUCGGAGCGAAGACUACGCGAAACAGCUCACCGGAUUGCCUGACGGGAACCCGGGAAUGCUAUUUCGAUCAUGGACCCAUCUUCCUGGAAUAAAAAAGGGCAAAUCCCAUGUCAUUGCGUAACUCUCGACAAAAGCAGUCCGAAGAUGGUCUUGUAGACCUCGUUCGGAUGCUCGGAUUGAAGUUCUGCAAGUUCGAGCAUACAUUACAUUGCACGAGUUCACGUACUUCGAGACGACGCGAUCCACGAAACCCCGGGCAGUUCGAGUAGCCGCAGGUGUAACAGAGGCUGCCGCGGGUAAACCUGCGGCAGUCAGUUCUAUAAAUAUGGGGCUUGGGCUAGCCAUUUUGAGAGAGGAAAUAACGAGGAAGCCCUGUCCAAUUGGCUUUGUACACCACAUAAACUGAGUGCUAUCUUAUUUCAAACAUUUUUGAGCUUAUAUUUUGUCAUAUUUUUACCGGCGGGAGCCGAAUAUUCAUCCAUAUAGAGUCAUAGAAGUCUACAUUGGCAGCCCACUGUAAGCCUUCUCACAUUCUAUAAAGCCUUCUUCUCAUAUUAGCACACACUGUUAUACACAUUGAGAAUCGUGUUGUGUGCGUUUGUCCGAACUUCGGUCUGUGGUUUUUAUUUCUGUCUGUAUAUAUAUACUUAUAUAUGUAUAUAUUUCAUAUAUGGACUAACAUUAUCGAGUUAUGCCUCGAUUGAGCCUAGACUUCGGUCUGGAGCGUUUAUUGCUUUAAUAUAUAUAUAUAUAUAUAUAUAUACAUAUAUAUAUAUAUAUAUAUACAUAUAUAUAUAUAUAUAUAUAUAUAUAUACUUAUAUAUAUAAUUGUUGUCAGACAUAUCUGAUGAGCCUGGAUUUUACAUCUGGAGCAUUUACUCGCUUUUAUAUAUAUAUAUAUACUUAUAUAUAUAAUUGUUGUCAGACAUAUCUAAUGAGCCUGGAUUUUACACCUGGUGCAUUUAUUCGCUUUUAUAUAUAUAUAUACUUAUAUAUAAUUGUUGUCGAACAUAUCCGAUGAGCCUGGAUUCACAUCUGGUGCGUUUACUACUUAUAUAUAUAUAUAUUUGUACAUAUAUAUAUUUACAUUUCUGUCAAGCCUGGAGUUUGCUUCGUGGCCUUUUACUUUAUUUACAUUUCGUCCUGCCUGGAGUUUACUUCGUGGCAGUUGAUCGCUUUUACAGCUUUAUUUACAUUUCGUCCUGCCUGGAGUUUACUUCGUGGCAGUUGAUCACUUUUACAGCUUUAUUUACAUUUCGUCCCACCUGGAGUUUACUUCGUGGUGGUUGAUUAUGUCCAUAUAUAUAUUUACCGCUUUUAUAUAUUUACAUUUCUGAUCCCCCAUGGAGUUUCUUCAUGGUGGUUGAUCAUGUCUUUAUAUAUAUAUUUACAGCUUUUAUAUAUAUAUAACUGCUUACUGCUUUCCAUACAAAUUGCAGUAUCAUGUAAGCCUAGGAAUCAUGUGAUCACAGGUUCAGUUUACUGAAUCUAGAUUCGGUUCCCAUGAUGGACAUUUUUCGGCUGUAAGCAGCCUGUACAUUAUUUUACAGUGUCUGAAUUUCCUUGGAUGGCUGUCAUGCCCAUGAGGAGUUCGGCAGUGCUGUAUAUUAUUUUCUCGAGAAUGCUUUGCAUCUCAAAAAUAAAAGCAAACAAGCCGAACAUUUAAUAAUAAAAUGGAAGUAUGAAAAAGUCUCAAUUCCUAUUGAGCACAGGGUUUGAAAAACCUCUUUUACAAAACUUCAUUGAUAUAUCUUCGUUAAAACUAAAUUUUUCUAUAAAAUUCAAACCUUGGGUAUAUAGGUGCGAACGAGGCCUCGCACUACUUUCAAAUAAUUGCACAUUGAUCCACACACACACAUACACACAUAUUCAUAUAAUAAUUUCUUUGAAAAGUGGCGGUCACCGUGGUAACACGGAUGUCGGGGGGUGCCUAACACCUUCCCUCCGCAUAAUCAAGCCCCCGAACCCAAAAUGAAUCUCGNNNNNNNNNNNNNNNNNNNNNNNNNNNNNNNNNNNNNNNNNNNNNNNNNNNNNNNNNNNNNNNNNNNNNNNNNNNNNNNNNNNNNNNNNNNNNNNNNNNNNNNNNNNNNNNNNNNNNNNNNNNNNNNNNNNNNNNNNNNNNNNNNNNNNNNNNNNNNNNNNNNNNNNNNNNNNNNNNNNNNNNNNNNNNNNNNNNNNNNNNNNNNNNNNNNNNNNNNNNNNNNNNNNNNNNNNNNNNNNNNNNNNNNNNNNNNNNNNNNNNNNNNNNNNNNNNNNNNNNNNNNNNNNNNNNNNNNNNNNNNNNNNNNNNNNNNNNNNNNNNNNNNNNNNNNNNNNNNNNNNNNNNNNNNNNNNNNNNNNNNNNNNNNNNNNNNNNNNNNNNNNNNNNNNNNNNNNNNNNNNNNNNNNNNNNNNNNNNNNNNNNNNNNNNNNNNNNNNNNNNNNNNNNNNNNNNNNNNNNNNNNNNNNNNNNNNNNNNNNNNNNNNNNNNNNNNNNNNNNNNNNNNNNNNNNNNNNNNNNNNNNNNNNNNNNNNNNNNNNNNNNNNNNNNNNNNNNNNNNNNNNNNNNNNNNNNNNNNNNNNNNNNNNNNNNNNNNNNNNNNNNNNNNNNNNNNNNNNNNNNNNNNNNNNNNNNNNNNNNNNNNNNNNNNNNNNNNNNNNNNNNNNNNNNNNNNNNNNNNNNNNNNNNNNNNNNNNNNNNNNNNNNNNNNNNNNNNNNNNNNNNNNNNNNNNNNNNNNNNNNNNNNNNNNNNNUUUUUGUAGGGAAGCAAUUGAUCCCGUUUACCGUUCAAAGACCAAAAGGGCAUUAAGGCCACAGUCAGAUAUGGAUAAAAGUGCUCAACCUGAUCCAACUUCUGUCUCUCGCAAAGAGUUCGAAAAAUUAAGCUAUCAAAUGACAGAGUUGGAUGUUAUGCUCAAAGAACUACACCAAUCUAUUCAGGGUCCACAAAUACCCAUCCACACAGAAUCCUCUGCACAUGGAGGAAUCCAGGGGCAAACAAUGCCUACUCAACCAGAGUCAUCCACACCAGGAGGCAAUCAGGGUAUUGGCAAAAAGAUGGAAACCCAGAUAUCUGAACCUCAUUCCAAUAAAGAAAUCACAAAUCUCAGGGAUGAUCGAGAAACUGGGAAUAUAAGAAAGAAAGUCCAACAAAUGGAGGAGACCAUCCGGUCAAUCAAAGGGACUUGAAAUUAUGGGAGUGUCACCUAUUCAGAUCUUUCCAUAUUCCCAGGGGCGCGCUAUCCUACCAAAUUCAAAGUCCCAGAGUUUGAAAAGUACAAUGGGGAAGGCGAUCCCUAUACGCACCUGAAAGUGUACAUUGGCGAACUAGGAUCUUAUGCUGAAGAUGAAAGCCUCAGAAUGCAGCUUUUCCAAAAGAGUCUCACUGGAGAGGCUAAAGCCUGGUAUGCCCGACUUGAUAAUGCCAAAAUCCACAACUGGGAAGAAUUGGCCCACGCCUUUCUAUCAGUACAAUUUUCAGUCACAAAUGGCACCUGAUCGAUACCAAGUGACUAAAGUAAAAAAGCAAAGUACUGAAUCUUUCCGAGAAUAUGCCCAAAGGUGGAGACAUCUAGCAGCGCAAGUCAUUCCAUCAAUGACAGAAGCUGAGAUGGUGAUGACGUUUAUUGAUAUCCAAGAGGCUCCGUACUACGAGAGGAUCCUAGCAGGCAUAGGAAAGCCAUUCUCAAAAAUGAUCAAACACGGCGAAAUGGCAGAGAUGGGCCUUAAAGUAGGCAAAAUUAAAGACUUCACUGCCUUGGAAGCAGUCACCAAGCAUAUACAGACGGGCAAGUAUGCAAGCGAUCCUAAGGGUGUACCCGAUAAAGGCAAUGAAGAUGUAUCCCCUGUUGUACAGGGGAAAGUUAGGAGACCAACCUACAGUCCCCCCAUUUGGAAAAUACAAGACAAUCUUCUAUCUCAACAACAGGCUGCGUUCAACCAAUACCCAGAUAGGAAAAGAAAAUUUGAAAGAACAGAAAAUCGGGUGUUCACUCCACUAGGCGAUUCCCUUGAACAUGUCUUGGCGAUAUUAAUGGAUCACAAGAAAAUUACCGAACUGGCUCCACCUCUAGAACUAGGGAGUAAAAGAUAUAAUCCAAGCCAAAGAUGUGCUUACCACUCAGGGUCUCCAGGACAUGAUACAGAAGAUUGUUGGUCCUUAAAGCAUAAAAUUCAAAAUCUGAUCGAAAGUGGUAGUAUUAUGGUUCAGCAACCUGAUCAACAGAAUGUCAACACCAACCUUACGUUGCAGCAUGAUACGGAAGAAGUAAAUAUGAUAGGGUCAGGAAGUACUGAAAUAUAUCCAAUUCGUAAGUGCAUACGAAGGAUAGAAGACUACCCCCAAAGGCACAGAGCAGAUGUCCUAAAAUGGGAAAACUCGGAGGAGGGUAUGAUAGUAAUGCAAAAGCUAGAGACAAUCCAGAACCAAGUAAAUCUGCUAGCUAAGCUGAUAGUGCGCCAACAUCAGGAUACGAGGCAUUUCUUCACUCAACUAUCAGAAGGACAAGAAAAGGGGGAUGAUAAAAUUGCUAGAAGACCUCGCCAAUGGAAAAAUCGCUUGGGGGAAUGCUAACUCUCAAAGAAGAAAGAUCAAACAACCUCCACAAGAGUCCGAAAAUUCACCCCUCUAAGCAAAUCCAAUGAAGAAAUGCUACACUUUUUGAUGAGUGAAGGAAGGAUUACUGAGUUGUUACCUCCUGUAAAUCCUAAGAUAAAGAGCUAUGAUUCCACCAAGAUAUGUCUCUACCAUUCUAACUCACUUGGACAUACGACUAAGGAAUGUUGGGCUUUGCGACAUAAAAUUCAGGAUCUCAUUGAAAAUGGAGAGCUGGAGAUAGAAAUUCCUAUGACCAAAAAAGACGAAAAGGCAAUAAAAAGCUUAAGAUGUCCACUUGAGACAGGCAGCUCAAGUGAGGUGAAGGCUAUGAGCGAUAAUCCUGGCAGAACACAAGAUGGAGCGAUCCUAAUGCAGGAAAUGAUAGAAGAGAUAAGGGAAUCCCCGAAGGAGGUUCCUCCGCCAACAUCCAACAUCCUGUGGUCCAAGGAUAACACUCACGUUCCUGAUUUUAUCACCUUGGAUGAUGCGGAGGAAAUACUAAUCCUUUCCAAGGAAGAGAAAGCAAAAAACAAAAGUUUCUUGCAAGAAAUGCAACAACAAUUCGAGGGAGAUUUCAUGGUCGAAUCCUCUCAAGCUCAGGAAAAGCGUGAGGGAACAGAUGAAGGAAAAGGUAGCGAGGUUGUCAGGAAACCAACCCAUUAAAGAAUCAAGAUUUCAUACCUUUUUACGAUGGGUCCAGCUCAAGCAUCCCUGAGGAAUGUACUGAACCAAGAAGCGAUCAAGUUAUGGCCAUAAGUGAAGACAGUCAAAACCAAGAGGUAACCUCUAUCACGAUCCUUGAAGGCGACACAACCACUGACAACUGGACUAUCAGGCCUAAAUUAGCCAAAAAGAUGUAGAUCCAGGGGAUAAAGUUACGAGUUCCAGAAGAUGUUGGGACGGUAUCACUUCCUUUGCAGUAUGCUUUUUAUUUUCCAUACAUGUAUAGCAAAAAAAAAAACAACAAAACAAAAAGAAAAAAAAAGAGAAAAAAAAAGAAAGAAAAAAAUCAAUCAAAAAUCAAGUCAUUCAGGUUUCAGCUCAUUAGGCUUGAACUACGAAAGACCUGAUCUCCCCACACUCACGGGAGUACGUAGGCAGCCAUUUAUAGUGCGGUCAAACCAAACCAAACACUUCCCAAACCAAACCCUUCCCAAACCAAACCAAACACUUCCCAAACCAAACCAAACACUUCCUAAACCAAACACUUCUAAAACAAACGCUUCUCAAACAAACACUUGUCAAACCGUUUAUCUUAUCAAGUAGGAACUACACAUACCUGAUCUUCCACACUCACAGGAUUAUGUAGGCAACCACCAGUGGUGCGGUCUGACCCUCAACAGAAAUGUCCAAAUCCAAACGUCGAUCCCAAGAACGACCCUCUAAGUCAGCAACCUAUGUGGAGAAGACCCAACAACACUGUAAUGUCAUUCCAUCAAAUCUGGCACAAAUCCCAGAAAGGAAGAAACAGCGAUAUGCCAAGACGACCAGCAGUGAGGACCUUCAAAGAUUCAACACCCUUAAUCGCGAGUCUUCAUCAAAUCAAAAGAAAAACAAGACCGAUUGCAAUAACAAGUCAGGAAUAAUGAUUGAAGGCAUCAAAACCCAAGUCCUGUACUUGUUCACCAUCCGGUACAGAGAAAAAGUCUCUUGUGAUCUCAGCAUCUUAUCAGCCCAUCUGUCAAAGCGACUAUCCCAGACAACAAGCAAGGUUGAGGCAAUUUCAAAAUCGACGACAACCCGAUAUUGCGACCACUAUAACAAGACUUGGACAAUUUCGAAAACAGCGACAACUCAACACUAGGGCAUUUAUCAAACAUCUUAAAGAGGAAAAUGCCCCAGUCAACACAAUCAGCAUGGUCCAUCAUCAUCAAAGCUUUCCUCACAAUCAGCUCACUAGCGAUUUGGAUAUUACUCACUUGCGACUUCAUCAACAAAGAGAGUUUUUUGUAUGAAUCCCCGACAUCAGUAUGCGAAAGGACUGGGGCAUUUUUUGAUUCCAGGAAAGUGAAGGAUUUUAAGGCAGGAUCAGGCCUCUCAUCAAAAGAAAGAAAACUCCUGAAAAGAAUCAUGGCGACAUUAGCUUGCCCCUACAAAUGAAGGGGAAAAUUCUCAACAAAGUUCUUAACUUAAGAGAAGAAGCCCAAUGACAAAGGGUCUGACGAAUGAAAUCUACACCAUCAAUUUGCGCCAAAUCAUCAUAAGCUGAGGCCUCUACACUAAAGUUCAAAGUUCGGUAGCGAAAGUACAAACUGCACCCCCUAGGGAUAUCAGCGGCAUUCAGAUCAUCAGUUCAGUCGGGUUGCGAAUCAAAUGUUCAAGGAAAUGGGGCACAAGCACUCAACAGCGAAAAGAAACUACAAAUCACCUCAAAAAGGGUGAAGCGCUACAUCAACAUACAUCUCUAUCCAGCGUAACAUCAGGCAGAAUCUAGCAAAACAAACCUUUGAAUAUUACUUUAGCAAAGGUAUCGGGAGAUCCGAUAUUCAAAACCAUUGGUAUCAAUUCAGUGCAACAUCAAGACAGUCCAGCAAUGAAAGCUUUGUAUACUACCGUUCGAGUGGGAACCAAAACAAUUGGGCGAUGUCAACUACCAGCAGGGUAAGAUCUGUUAUCAAACUACCAUCAGGGUAGACACCAUUGUAAACUACCAGUGUAUACAUCGGGAAGGUCUGGUGAUUUCAGAACUUCAUCCCCAUCAAAGAUGUGGAAAACAUCUCAACUUAUCUUCAUCAAACAAGCGUCAGCGAUUAAAUGCCAAACCAUUGGAGUCAACACCAGCAUAGGCAUCAGUAAUGAUCGGUAAAGGUAAAGCAAUUUGCGAAAAUAUUUUUAACAUGCAUCAUAACAUUCAUUACAUUACGAUUUUUGAUUUAUGAUCUGCGAUAUGCGAAAGGCGAUGUGUGAUUUGCGAAGUGCGAUUGGCCAAAUGCGAAGUGCGAAAUGCGAUGUGCGAACUACGAUUUGCAAAAACAUUUUUAACAUUCAUCAUCACAUUCACUACAUUGCGAUCUGCAUCAUUGAAAAUACAUUAUCAUGUUUCAAGUGUCUACUAAUCUUUAUCAUGUCCAUUCCAUUGCAUUGCGUGAACAUGAUAAAGAGAGGCAUCUGUAGACACUCGAAAUUUUCUUUUCUUGUUACUAACUGUGUAGGAGGGCAAAAGCAUCUAUUUCACACUCUAGAGAUAACCCUGGAGGACCACAACAUCAAUUCCAACCUUAGAGAUAACCCUGAGGAUAUUCAGAGUCAACAACAUGACCAUCUCAGAGAUAACCCUGGGAAAAACCUGCUACAACUGUGCAAAAACCGGAGAUAACCCCGGGAGGGGCAAAAUGGUUAUUUUGCCAACUCAAGUUCACUUCAAAUCAAGUACACUCAUGUCAAUUCAAAUUGAUUCAAAAUUAGUCCCACAAGACUCAUAUCUUAACUUCAGAGCGAAGACUACGCGAAACAGCUCACCGGAUUGCCUGACGGGAACCCGGGAAUGCUAUUUCGAUCAUGGACCCAUCUUCCUGGAAUCAAAAAGGGCAAAUCCCAUGUCAUUACGUAACUCUCGAAAAAAGCAGUCCGAAGAUGGUCUUGUAAACCUCGUUCGGAUGCUCGAAUUGAAGUUCUGCAAGUUCGAGCAGACAUUACAUUGCACGAGUGCACGUACUUCGAGACGACGCGAUCCACGAAACCCCGGGCAGUUCGAGUAGCCGCAGGUGUAACAGAGGCUGCCGCGGGUAAACCUGCGGCAGUCAGUUCUAUAAAUAUGGGGCUUGGGCUAGCCAUUUUGAGAGAGGAAAUAGCGAGGAAGCCCUGUCCAAUUGGCUUUGUACACCACAUAAACUGAGUGCUAUCUUAUUUCAAACAUUUUUUAGCUUAUAUUUUGUCAUAUUUUUACCGGUGGGAGCCGAAUAUUCAUCCAUAUAGAGUCAUAGAAGUCUACAUUGGCAGCCCACUGUAAGCCUUCAAACAUUCUAUAAAGCCUUCUUCUCAUAUUAACACACUGUUAUUCACAUUGAGAGUCGUGUUAUGUGCGUUUGCUUGGACUUCGGUCCGUGGUUUUCAUUUCUGUCUGUAUAUAUAUACUUAUAUAUGUAUAUAUUUCAUAUAUGGACUAACAUUAUCGAGUUAUGCCUCGAUUGAGCCUAGACUUCGGUCUGGAGCGUUUAUUGCUUUAAUAUAUAUACUUAUAUAUAUAUAUAUAUAAUUGUUGUCAGACAUAUCUGAUGAGCCUGGAUUUUACAUCUGGAGCAUUUACUCGCUUAUAUAUGUAUAUAUAUACUUAUAUAUAUAAUUGUUGUCAGACAUAUCUGAUGAGCUUGGAUUUUACAUCCGGAGCAUUUACUCGCUUUUAUAUAUAUAUAUAUAUAUAUAUAUAUAUAUAUACACUUAUAUAUAAUNNNNNNNNNNNNNNNNNNNNNNNNNNNNNNNNNNNNNNNNNNNNNNNNNNNNNNNNNNNNNNNNNNNNNNNNNNNNNNNNNNNNNNNNNNNNNNNNNNNNNNNNNNNNNNNNNNNNNNNNNNNNNNNNNNNNNNNNNNNNNNNNNNNNNNNNNNNNNNNNNNNNNNNNNNNNNNNNNNNNNNNNNNNNNNNNNNNNNNNNNNNNNNNNNNNNNNNNNNNNNNNNNNNNNNNNNNNNNNNNNNNNNNNNNNNNNNNNNNNNNNNNNNNNNNNNNNNNNNNNNNNNNNNNNNNNNNNNNNNNNNNNNNNNNNNNNNNNNNNNNNNNNNNNNNNNNNNNNNNNNNNNNNNNNNNNNNNNNNNNNNNNNNNNNNNNNNNNNNNNNNNNNNNNNNNNNNNNNNNNNNNNNNNNNNNNNNNNNNNNNNNNNNNNNNNNNNNNNNNNNNNNNNNNNNNNNNNNNNNNNNNNNNNNGUCCUGCCUGGAGUUUACUUCGUGGCAGUUGAUCGCUUUUACAGCUUUAUUUACAUUUCGUCCUGCCUGGAGUUUACUUCAUGGCAGUUGAUCGCUUUUACAACUUUAUUUAUAUUUUGUCCCACCUGGAGUUUACUUCGUGGUGGUUGAUCAUGUCCAUAUAUAUAUAUUUACCGCUUUUAUAUAUUUACAUUUCUGAUCCCCCAUGGAGUUUAUUCGUGGUGGUUGAUCAUGUCUUUAUAUAUAUAUUUACAGCUUUUAUAUAUAUGUAUAACUGCUUACUGCUUUCCAUACAAAUUGCAGUAUCAUGUGAGCCUAGGAAUCAUGUGAUCACAGGUUUAGUUGACUGAAUCUAGAUUCGGUUCCUAUGAUGGACAUUUCUUGGUUAUAAGCAGCCUGUACAUUAUUUUACCCUUGGAUGGCUGUCAUGCCCAUGAGGAGUUCGGCAGUGCUGUAUAUUAUUUUCUCGAGAAUGCUUCGCAUCUCAAAAAUAAAAGCAAACAAGCCGAACAUUUAAUAAUAAAAUGACAGUAUGAAAAGGUCUCAAUUCCUAUUAAGCACAGGGUUUGAAAAACCUCUUUUACAAAACUUCAUUGAUAUAUCUUGGUUAAAACUAAAUUUUUCUAUAAAUUUCAAACCUUGGGUAUAUAGGUGCGAACGAGGCCUCGCACUACUUUCAAAUAAUUGCACAUUGAUCCACACACACACACAUACACACACAUAUUCAUAUAAUAAUUUCUUUGAAAAGUGGCGGUCACCGUGGUAACACGGAUGUCGGGGGGUGCCAAACACCUUCCUUUCGCAUAAUCAAGCCCCCGAACCCAAAAUGAAUCUCGGUUUCAUAGACCCGUCUAUCAGUGUCAAAACACUGGGUCAAUGUGCAAACCUUUUCGGUUGCGUUGGUGCAACCAGUUAAAUACACCAACUGGUAACUCUUAAAGUUAAAUCGUCGACAUUAUACAUGUCAGACCUUUUUCACUUAUUUUUUCAAACAAAUCUCGCAUUAACAUGAGAACACCAAAGAACAAGUAACGAAAAGGGACACUCAAAAAUCCCGAUGUCGACAGAUAUUCAUUAGUAUCACAUCCACGAAUUAUUCAUGAACUAUGGGCCAAGGAUAUUCUUGUUAUCACCAAUGGUCAUGAUCACGCCAAUAACUGUCCAUCAAUGCACUACGGGCUAAUGAGGACUUUUAUCACAUCAUUUGUAACAUUACAGGUCAUGAUUAUACUGAUACAUAGUCAUAAUCAUACCAAUCAACUGUUCAUCAAUGCACUACGGGCCAAUGAAGAAUUUCAUCACAAUAUAACCAUGAUGAUGAUGACAAUGAUAUAAGAAUUUAAUUAAAUGAGAGCAAGGAUAAAUUUUAAAGAUUUAUAAAUCAAUUUAUCCAGAAAUCAAGAAUGCCCAAAUUGUCAACAUGAUACUGCUUUGUAGAGUAAAAUUCAAGAAUAAUAUUGUAUCAAAAAUGAUUUGGACAGAAAAGAAAUUAAUUUUGUAAUGAAUAGUACCCUAGGUGAAUAGUACCUGAGUGAAUAGUACCCCAUGAAUAGUACUUUAGGAAUAGUACCCCGUGAAUAGUACCCCAGCAUUAAAAGAUUAAAAAUUAUCAAGAAUGUUCAAAAUAAUAUUUUCGUGAAAAGAUACUAGAUGAAGCACAAAUUUUAAGGAUAUUCUACUAAUUUCACGGAGUAUAGAAGCAAUACUUAACAAAAUUAGUAUCGAAUUCGAAAUCAAAAACGAAAUAAUAUUACUUACAUACUACAGAGUAUGGAAGAAAAUAUUAUUUCAUACGAAUAUUGAACAAAAAUAAUAUCCCUUACCUUAAAAGUAGAGUACUUCUGACUAGUAGGGUGGUGAUAUUCUUGAAGAAAACUUGCACUAUUUUUUACACUCAAAACUUCCUUAAACUCUAAAGAAAUACGCUCAAUAUUAUAAAAGAAGAAUUCUCUAAUUCUGGUGUGAUUUUUAUUUAUAAACUAAGCAUUCUAUUUAUAGGAGAAUGGAAGGAUACUAUUUGGACGCAAACUAAGGAAAAAUCACGGGCGACUUUACGGGCGAUUUCGACGAAAAAUUUUGAUUUUACUAUGCAGCACUAUGCAACACUAUGCAACACUAUACAAACAAUAAAAUAUAAUAUAUUCUAUUUUACAUAAAAAAUAAAACUUAUUAUAUAAUAUAUAUAUAUAUAUAUAUAAUCACUAUAUGACCCAAAAUUUACAAUAUCAAUAAUACACUUACAAAGUGACUUAAAAUUCGUGGUUAUUACACGCCCAUUNNNNNNNNNNNNNNNNNNNNNNNNNNNNNNNNNNNNNNNNNNNNNNNNNNNNNNNNNNNNNNNNNNNNNNNNNNNNNNNNNNNNNNNNNNNNNNNNNNNNUAAUAUAUAUAUAUAAAACAAAAUUUGAGAUAACUUUCUCCCGACUAUUUUGAAAAAUGGGUAAGUAGGGGCCCAUAUAAUAAGAAAAAUUUAUAACAAAUACUUCAUAAAAUACCCCUCUAUUUAUCUCAAUUCACUUGGCUUCACAAAACAUAUUUUUACUAACAUUCAUCAUUAAUAUUAUAACUCACAAUAUUAACAACCAGAUCAUUCUCAGGAAAGAGGGGGCUUUCCGAUAAAGAUUUCUCCUUAUUGGCGCGCAAUUAGGUGAUCAAACCCCUUUCCUCGACAGAACUUUCUAGACAUCGUCAAUAAUACAAAUAAUAAUAUGAAUAACUUUGUCGUCUCAAUUAUUGAUUUAAUAAUAUAAAAUAUUGUACAGAUGAUACUGUGACAAUAAUUGAAUCAAUAAUGUGAGAUAUUAUGCAUCAAUUACUGUGGCAGUAAUUGAGUGACUUCUCAUGUAAGCAUCAAUAAUCAAAGAUAAUGUAUAAUACCGUGUGCUACUAUGCAACCACGCGUAUUACUAUACUUUUAUCAUCGGGUAUUUUAACAGUUAACGGUAAAACUUUCGCAGUUAUUUUUAUAAAAAGAUAUUUAUGUCAUUUUCUAACUCCGAUAGUAAUUUUGUUGUGGGGUCCACCAAUGAUUGUGUCGUCAUAUGAAUAUUUCCUGAUAAAAUGAAUAUUCCCCGACCAAUCGAAUAUUUUAUGACAACUUGCUUACUUUGUUAAAUUUGUAAAUAUUACCCAUAACUAUAACAUUAUAUCAAAUUCACACCUUAAUACUCAAAAUGAUAUUUAGAAAAAUUAAUCUUUAUUUAUAAAAGUUGGGAUCUUACAAUUAGGCUACUAGAAUAGAGGAUAGGGGCUGAACCACGUAAAACUUCCUUGUGUUCAUGUGCUUGAUUAUUUUACUUUAAUUGUUUAUUGCAUGCUUCAAUUUGAGUUGUAAUUUAUAAUCUUAAUACUUUAAUAUAUAGUGUUCUUCUUCUUGAUUGAGUCAUAAACUUCUAAAUUAAGUUUAAACAAUUCAAGACUUGAAUUGAUAUUAAAAGAUUAAACAUAAAAAGUGUUUAGUGGUUAAUUUUCAUACACUGAUAAUCUAGUAAGUAUAAAUAUUCUAUCUAGCAUUCUGCAUUCUACACUGAUCAUUCUACAGGCAUAGAUAUUCAAUCCAGCAUCCUGUAUUGAUAAUCUGGUAAGCAUAAAUAUUCUAUCUAGCAUCCUGCAUUAUACUCUGAUCACUCUGCAAGCUUAAAUAUUUAAUCCAUCAUCCUGUAUUGAUAAAUUUGGUAAGCAUAGAUAUAUAAUCCGGCAUACUGCAUUCAAUAUAAGAAAGUACUUUUAAGUUGCAAAAGUUUGACAUCGUUUGUUCCCAUACUUAUUCAACCCCCCUUCUAAGUAUGGCUACUUAAAAUUUCACAACAACCUUUGCUCCAUUUCCCACUCGUAGGAUGACAUCAUCAUUGCUCAGCUUUCUACUUCUGACCAGUCCGUGCAUAUUAUUACAUAUGUGAGAACCACAGCCGGUAUCCAAUACCCAAGUAGAAGAUUGACUUUUAGAAAAAUUAAUUUCAAUCAUAAACAAACCUUGAUUAGGAUUCGAUGUUUGUUCAAGCUUCUUCUGCUUUUGCUCCUUAAGAUAAUCCUUACAGUUCCUCUUCCAAUGACCCGACUUGUUGCAAUGGAAGAAAAUUCCUUAGCUAGUUGGAUCAGGUUUCUUUUGAACCUUUACUUUUGCCUUACCCUUAGCCUUCUUGGAUUUGUUCUUUUGAGAAGAUACCUUGGGCCUCUUCCUUUUCUUGGACGAAUCAUCCACCAGUAAGACAUGGUUCUUCUUGGAUGGGAAGUGACCUUCAGUAGUUUUAAACAUGUUAAGUAAUUCAGGCAAGCUGACAUCUAACUUAUUCAUGUGAAAAUUCACAACAAAUUGUGAGAAGGUGUCCAGGAGUGACUGCAAGACUAAAUCUUGACUCAAAUCUCCAUCCAUGACAAACCUAAGUUGUCCAAGACGUUCAAUCAGAUUGAUCAUCUUUAAGACAUAAGUCUCAACGGUAGUACCCUCGGUCAUCCAAGAUCGAAAGAGCUCCUUAGAUAUUUCAUAUCUAGCAGUCCUACUUUGCUCACCUUACAGCUCAUGCAGGUGCAGUAGCAUAGUAGGAGCAUCCAUGGUUUCAUGCUGACGCUGAAGCUCGUUACUCAUGGAUGUAAGCAUGAUGCAUUGAGUCACAGAUGCAUCAUCUUGCCAUUGUUUAAAAGUAGCAAUCUCUUCCUCAGAGGCUGUCUCUGCAACUUUUGUAGGGACGAGCAAAUUUAGGACACAAGAAAUCUUUUUAGCAGUGAGAACAAUUCUCAAAUUCUUUAAUCAGUCCGUGUAAUUCGGUUCGGUUAGUUUGUUAGCAUCAAUUAUGCUACGCAAUGAAAUUAGUGAGUGUGACAUUUUCAAAUUUCUGCAUGUGAAAAAACAACAAUUUAGCAAACAUUCAUUUAAUUAAUUUAUUUUACCAAAAUAAAUUAGGUCUUAUUUUAUAUUGGUAUCUCCCACUAUUUUCUUCAAACUAUAUUACCCUCAUCUAUAUAGUUCGGCAAAAUCUAAUUAAAGUUUUUGCUAGUGAGAAUAAGGAUCCCAUUUCAAAUAUAUAUAGUCUUGUGGUGACACAACAAACUAUAUAUAAAUAAAUAGGUAGACAACUCUUGUCAAUUAAAUCAUCAUGUAACUCCUUUUAUUUUGCCUCUUGGAUUAUUUUGAUCAAGUGGAGGCACAUUCGAAUCAAAAUUAUCUAAGUUAAGUCCAACCUAGCACUUUCAUAUAUUCAAAAAGGAAAAAUAUUGUCCUUGUGGUGACACAACAAAAUAAUAUUGUUCAAUUUUCUUUAUAAGCAUCAAAUGUGAUAAAUUAACAUCUUAAAUACUUAAUACUUGCCUUGUGGCUGUUAGGUUUGCAAUAUUCAUGAACGCAAUCAAAUUGCACAAAUAAGCAAAAACGUGUAAAAAUCAGAGUUUAAAAUUUUUACAAACCAUAUACCCGGAUCAUCCUUUAUGCACAAUUAUUAAUUAAACGAAAAAAGGAAGAACUAGAAUCAUAACCUUGAAGAUUCGAGCUUCCUCAGGUACAAGUUCACCUCCAAUCCUUUUCGCGUUCAACUUGAAUCCACCGAGUUUGGUUCCUUUCUUUGAUCAACGUUAGCCACCCAAGUGUUUGGCCUCUAGAGGUGAUCCACCAAGGAAGAAGAAAUAUUCAAGAAGAAGGGUGGUUGGCAAAACCCUAGUUUUUUUCUAUCUCUCAUAGAAAAGGCUGUACUUUCCCAACUAUUGGAAUUACGUAUUCUUUGAAAAUGUUAACCACCUCACCCAUAAUAAGACUUCUCUUAUUUAUAGUUGUAGGCAACCCUCCUUAACAAUUAAGGAAUUAAGUUUUAUUUUAAUUAAUUAAACUCCUUUAAUUAAUUAGGCUCCCAAUCUUAUUAGGAAUAAUUAAUUAAACUCUUUUAAUUAAUUAGCCUCUUAAUCUUAUUAGGAUAUAUGAGAGUACUUUCAUUAAUUAAUUUCCAACUCUUUAGAAAUUAAAAUAAUAAUAAUUGUAAUAAUAUUAAUAAGACUCUUAUUAAUUUAUAUAUUUAAUAUUUUAAAAUAUUAAAUAAUAAGUAUUAAGCUAUUUAAUUUAGUGUAUCACCAAAGAUUAAAUUAAAUACACUUAACAUAUUAUUACAAUUAUGUCAUUAACUUCUUAAAUAAUUAUUCUUCCUUUUAUGGUGUGACCCUUUAGGUUCUCCAUAUUAAACCGGUUGUGAAUAAAUCAAUUAGAACAAUUCUAAUCUUAUUUAAAUAAAUAAAUUAAACUAUUAAUUUAUUUAAAUAAAUAAUAUUUAUUCUACAAUAGGGAUAAGCCUCCCUAGCGAUCAACGACUUUCCAGAUAAUAUAGAUUUCAACAUUAAUCAUAAAAGAACCUUUGAGUAAAUAGUUACCGUACAAUUCAAUCCUUCCACCAUACAAUGUCCCAAUUAAAUAUAAGACAUGUAAUUACUGUCAAGUCUUAUUUUAUUUAAUUAUAUGUAUUUCGAUUCUUAAAUGCACAACUCCAAAUAAUGCAAAUUAGAAACUCAUUUCUAAUUUCUUUCUGCCUUGGCCAAGGACUACUAGGUUGCCAUUUAUCAAAUCACAUAGGACAUUUCUCUUCUUUUACCAGAAGCGGUAGAUUCUUUAUUGAUCAUACAUUAUCUCCAUGUACAACUUAUUAUACCCAAGCAUAUCCUUUGAUAUACCCUAAGGGUCUUAAGGAAUAAGUUAAAGUAUAACUCAUCAUACACAAGAUACUAUGAUGAUCUCAAGUCCACGGAUCACUUGUACUAAUAUCACUACAGGAAUUCUUAUUAACAGGCAAGUAAAACUCCAUUAGGUAUUCCUUAAUGAGCCACGUUCAGUGAACUUAUUCUCUAAUAAGCACCUACAUACUUGCUUUAGUGUCUCCACACAAAUGAUCAUGAGAUUAAUCAUCCUCAUCCAAUGAGCAAGCAACGUAUGUACCAAUCUAUCCGGAUUCACUAAUCCCCAAUUUAGAAAUCCAAUAAUUGGGAACUAUUUUAGUUUUAAGCUUUCUAAGAAUUUAGAUCUCAUUAGAAUGAUCAUCAUCAUUAUUCUAAAAUCAUUGCUUAAAACUAUGGGUUUAUCACAUAUUAUAAAAUAGCAUCAUGUAGAUAAUUAAAAGCCUUUAAUAAAUUAAUACUUUUUAUUAAUUAAUGAAUAAGAUUGUUACAAAGUAUAUGCUUUAUCAUCAAACAUGAUUGGCUUGUGUGCAUACCACUUUCAAUCUCCCACUUUCACUAAAGCCAAUCGUCAUGGUAUCUCAUACCCUUCUUCUCUAAGUGACGAUUAUCCUACUGUUGGAUAAGCUUUAGUUAAUGGAUAUGUAAUGUUGUUCUUGAGAGUCCACUAUCUCUAUAGUGAUUUCCCAUCUUUCAAUGAUUCCUAUAAUCAAAUGAAAUUUCCACAACACAUGUUUAGAUCCAAGAUGAGACUUAGGAACUUUUCCUAGUUCUGUAAUGAACUUUUCAUCUAAACAAUCAACUUGUAGCUUCAUUUAUAGCUAUAUACUUUGUCUUUAUCACUAAACCAACAACUCUUUGCUGUUUGGAAACUUUCCAAUUCACUGCACCACCAUUCAAGGUAACACUUUACCUUAAAAUGGAUUUUCUGUCGUCUUGGUCUGUUUGAAAGACUUGAGUCUGUUAAGCCUUCUAGUUUUAAUUCAGACACAUCAUGUACAUGAUCACAUCCUUAGUUCCAGUUAAGUACUUAAGAAGUUUUUCACUGACUCAUAGUGAACUUCUCCAGAAUAUGACUGAUUAACAUCAGGUCUCGUACAUUUCAUUGCAUACAUGAUAGUUACUCAUGCGAUCUCUCUUUUCAGGAGUCUAUGGGGACUAUUAAGAGAGAUACACUCCAUGGCUCAUCAACAUGAAACACCUCUUGGAGUUUACCAUGCUAAACGACUUUAGCAUCAAAUGAAUAUACGUUCCUUGGGUUAAGUCGAGCAUCCUCUUGAAUCUAUCUAUAUAGAUUUGUUUCUCCAAUUAAGAUACUCUUCCCAAAUCAUUCGUGGAGGAAUGUUUAGACAACUUUUUCUUUACUGAUUCUAGCAUUGGCAUGUCAUUCCUUAUCCAUAAUAUAUCAAAAUAUAAUACUAGGAAUGUCACGACGCUCCCACUGACCCUUUUGUACACACUAGGUUCAUUCUUAUUUCAGCCUGGAACAAAAGCUGAGGAAUAAGAUUAUCCAUUCCAUUAAGAUUCUAUGGUUCAUUCUUAAUUCACGCAUUGAGUGUGACACCCCCGAAUUUGAGUCCUCUUUCCCCGGUCCGGUCAUCACGAUAAAAUACAAACAUCCACCUCUAAAUAACAUACGAUAACUAAAAUACGGAAAAUAAUAAACGUACGUCGUUCAUUAAAAAGGUGUUACUAGUCCCAAGAUACGAUAACCUUAAUAUCAUCUUACAAGCAUACCCUAAAAUAUACAUUAGGGUUCAUAUUACAUAACAGUAAUUUAAACUAAGCGUAAGGUAAAGUCUGCUCCGUGCCACUAUUUUACAUCGUUCCUUUACCCUUGUCCUUCCCUGAGGUCUCGUACUUAGCUGCAAUAUAAUUCAUGAUAUAGCAAGGAUGAGCAACAAGUUUGCCCAUUAAGUUUAAUUACAAUAAUAAGGAUAUAUCAUGAUGAAUGGAAAAUAUCUGUCAAUGAAUUCAACGAUAUGAAUAUCUGAAGGAUUCAACAAUAUGAGUAUUGGAAGCAAAGAUAAUGAUUGCUUUUAGAAUAACUGCUAGUCAAGUAGACUUUGAACUAUAACACUCCAAUGGAAUCAAUAGCUAAUUUACUCUUUGGUUACUGGCUACAGAAUAAGUAGUUGAGGGGAUCAGCCUCACGUACACUAUGUAUAUGCAUAAUAUUUAAAUCUGUUCUUUGUAUCUUAUAUUAGAUACCUGGGGUACUCCCCUAUUAAAAGGGCUAUUCUUUCAGUCUAAGAAUCCUUACCAUCAAUUAGUUUGGAUAGCUUUUAUAAAAAUUCAUACUCUUGUCUGACCGAACAAAGGUUCAGACUCUAUCUAACAUAGUUCAAGAAUUAUAGAACUUUAAACGAUGUACAAGUCCAAGACUAUACAAACUCAAAUGCACUAAGUGCGAAUAUCAAUAAUAUCGAUGUGGAAUAAUUAUAAUUAAUUAAACCACUUAAUAGCAUGCUUGGAAAUAAAGUUCAAGCUUAAUUGAAUAACUUUCAAUUUAACAAUAGCUUGCUCAAUACAAUAUGAGAAGGAUAGGAAACUUUCACAAUAAAAGUAUGGUUCAAGGAACUUGCACAAUCAAAGAGUGAAGUUCAAGGAAACUUGCUCAAUAAUAAUUUGAGUAAGAAUUAAGAAACUUUCCUAUUUGCUCAACCACAAUAUAAUACUAGCUUUAACUAACUUGCGUUGAAACGACCUAACAUUAACAAGUCGGUCUUUCCAAUUAGUAUGUGUAAACUAGUAUGAGUCUACACUUACAAGAAUCAAGUCAUCACAUAGCAUGCUUCUCAACACAUUAUAUGGCAUAUUGGUCAUACAUUACAAGGUAAAGUAAUCUUACAAGCAUGCCUUGAAACUUCAAACCAAAAAUAGAAUCUUGGUAAGACUGCAGAACGGCGCAGCUGCGCCUGGUCUAGGCUUAGGGACGGCGCAACUGUGCAGUUCCGUGGCCAGACCAGGGUUGAGCUUUGCUCUUCUGACUUCAGUCCAACUCUAACAUACGUACAUGCUAGAGUUUCAUAUAUAACACGUGACCAUACUUGAAUUCAUUACAACAAGUUUAACUUACAAUUUAUAUGUCAUUAAAACAUAAAAAAGGGCAUGUAAUCAUCGUGCUUUACAAUUCUUGUCAUAUGUCAACAUAGAGAUCACUUAAUCUAUUAAUACACAUGCUCAUGAUGUUCAUAUUGUUUAUUCACAACUAACAUUGUUUAACACUUCAAAUCAUGCUCUAAACUUAUGUUCGGUUUAGUUAUCAUCAUGCUUAAUACAUAUAAAUUAUGUUUAGGAGUAUUAUAGCUAUAACAUAACAUCUUACUACUUUAGUAUCUAAGUGCUCACAUAAUAUGCAACUUAUGUUUGAAAACAUGUUCAAGGUUGUCUUUGAAAUUAUAUUAGCACGAAUGAUGCAAUCCAACACAUGUAAGACAAAUCUAAAACCUUUAUCAUAAGUAAAUAAGUUAUGAUAAUCUCUUUUCAAAAUUAGAAACUAUAUCUCUUAGCAUUUGUGUUCAUUAGCCUUAUUGUUUUAAGCUUUUCUUUUCAAACUAAGUCCUAGCACAAAGCUUAUAUAGUUGGUCAUGGAUACAAUAGCUAUGAACCACACAUCAUGCUUAUUUAGGUUCCAAAUCAGUCAUGUACAUGAGCCACUAAGUUCAGAACUAGUAAAACAUGUAUUACUUCAAAGUUUCUUUUCUAAACUUUAAGUUUUCAUUACAAAUCUCUUACUAAAACGUGUUAAUCACUUCAUACUACACAAGAAAACCUUACAUAACAUGCUAUACUCCUUUAUAGGUAUGUAUCUAAGUCAUAACAUCAAGUUAGUAACACAUAUCACAAACAGAAAUCAGCAACUGGUUCUGGGGUACGGCGCAGCUGCGCUUCACCCUAGUACAAAUAGGGCACAGCUGCGCCAUGCUUGCACCAGAGGCAGUGACCUGCUCUGUUCUGCAGAGCCUUAACCACCUUGGUUCAUUUCAGUUUAAAAAUGCUACAACCUACCAUUAAAGAGUUCAAACAUGUAAUCAUACUUCACAAACAUAUCAAGGCAUGUUAAUUCACAUUGAUUAACAAAGAGUUCAAUUAAUUCCUAAGAUUUUGACAAAACCCAACUAAGAACACAAUUAGGAUUUUCAUACCUCUGGAAGUAAUUGGGCAGCAAUACACUCACUCCUUACAAGUUCCUUAGCAAUUAAUUCUCAGCAAUUGUAAUGAGGAAGGUGAGGGUCUCAUUUAUAGAAGAAUGGUUACCGAGAUAAUCUGAUUACCUCCCAAAUCAAACCAAAGGAUUUCAAGAAUGUAUAAUGGUUAAGAGAGAGUUGGUGAGAGUUGGUGAUUUACUCUUGAAUCCCACUCCCCAUCCACUUAUUGCUCUAGGUUUGUUAAAUUUGAGAUGAAGAUAUACUAGCUAGCUUUUUCACGUGGAAGAAAGGAACUGAGCUCUCAUUAUGGGACAAAGCAAAUCCCAGCAUUUGCAACAAAUGAAAUGCAACAAUUGGCUUAUACCAUAUAUUCAUAUAAUAUAAACUUUGGUUAUAAAUUAUGUAUACACAAUUCAUUUCACAUAACAUAGGUUAUAAUGAUUUAAAGGGCAUACAAUGUAUUUCCUAAUUACAAUGUAUCAAGUAGUGCACAUACAUAUAAUUCAUGUACAUUUUCUAUUACCACCAAAGACAAUUGUGCAUUGCUUGCACAAUUAAUCAAGUAAAUAAAAUCAUAUUAUAUUUAUUAAUCUCUUACUCAUUAUUUGUUAUUUAUUCAUAAUAAUUAUUAAUUAACACAUUAUCAAUUAAUUUUCCAUAAUUGAAAUUAAUCAAUAUGUUCAAAUCUUGCCACUAUAUUCAAAUACAUUGAAUAUUUAAUUAUUAAUAAUCCUAUCAAUUCCUUGAUAUUAAAGUCUUAGGGUUAGUCCACUAAUUUAAAUAACUAUUAGUGACUCCCUUUAAUCAAUUCAUAACCACAUAAGGUUUAAAUAGACUCAGAAAACCAACUCAUUAAAAAUUAAAUCACAUAUUUAAUUAAAUAAGGAGUUUAAAAUUCACGGUCAUUGCAUCCCUCCACCCUUAUAAAAAUUCCGUCCUCAGAAUUGCAAAAAUAAGAUUACUCAAAUAAAAAUGGAUAAUUCGCUCUCAUUUUCUCUUCUAGCUCCCACGUAGCUUCUUCUACUGCGUGAUUCCUCCAGAGAAUCUUAAUGGAAUGGAAUGUCACGACGCUCCCAAUAAUCCGGCUCUUUCAGCCUGCGGAGUGUAUAGAUGCUGCAUCUUGGUCAGCUUUUCUAGCAGGGAUUGGAGAUCCAUUUGAUAUAUUGCCGUGUACAGGGCGCAGUUCACCCUACAGCUUCAUUACUCAUGCUCCGGGCAUGGAUUAUCUCCCUCUGGCUGGCAUGAGGUGCAUUACUACUUAUCACUCGCUUGUCGUGAUGUGUCAGUUUGACCAGUUCUAGGACUUUCAUCCUUUCGAGGGGCAUUGAGUUAGCGCUUGGCUUCUCGCCAUUUAUUAGGAGAGGACUGAUCUAGGGUGUAUGCCUAUUGGGAUCAGCAUGAGAUAGCUGAGUUUUCUAUGAGCCAUCAGGGUUGUUCUACAGAGUAUUCUGCAUGGAUGAAGACAGAGACUGCAUCGACUGCGGUAGUAUCCACAAUGCAUGGGAUGGAUUUUGACGAUGGGGAGCCCAUGGAGGACACUGAUAUUCCCACAGAGGAGAAGUUGCCUACUAGGUUGCCAGUAGCUAUGAUGGAUUCUCCUAGUACGAGUACCACUGUGAUUCAGCAUUCAACACAGUAUCUGGAGUAGAGUCUACAUCUGAUAACCUUUGAGAGAGAUCAGGCUAGGGCCUUGAUAUUCACAGCUCUUGAUGGGGAGAGACGCCGCUCUAUUAGAGAGGGACGAGGCCAGAUCGGCCAGAGAUGCAUUGAUUGUAGAGCGGGAUGCUGCCCGGGAUGUGGUCGUUAUAGAUAGUACUUCAGUGAGAUCCCUUACAACUGGCAUCCUUGCCGAUAUGAGUGCAUACAUUGAUGAGCAUCAUGCCACCAUGCAGUUAGCCUCGGAUCUGCUAGCUCGUGUAGAUACCAUUGGGCAAGAGCUUGCAGCGUUACCUCCUUCUUCGAAGAGGGAUGCUAUGUUAGAUCUGAUAGUCCGCAUAUAUACAGAUCCGUAAAUAGACUUGUAUUUUCCUGCACAGACUAGCUUAGCCAUUUUUUCAUGUACAACACAUAUGUAUAUAUCAAACAGUAUUAUGUAUGGCAGGGACAUAUAUUUUUAUUCACUUCCCUUUUAUUUGUGCCUUGAUACUUGCUUGAUAUUUUGCCUGCUUCUUCAGGGCUUGUGAUCAUGAUGUAUUCUGAACUCACCCUUGAUAGGUGGACAUUGAGACAUCGCAGGAUCUUUCAGAAUGGAUCAUUGAUCUAUGUGUAUCCCUACCAUCUUUGGUGUCUUGGGACUAGUUUCUAUAUGGAAAUGUGGAGAGGAGUGUGGCUUUUUCUCUCUGAGAUUGACCGCACCACAGAUGGUCACCAGUACUCCUAUUUAGGAGGAGCCCAGUUAGUUCCAUCUCUUAUGGAUUGGUGUUGCUCUUUGAGGCACAACCGCAGCUUAGAUGGUCGCCGAAUCUCCUAUUAUGAGGAGAGGUUAGGUAGUUCCAACCCUUUGUUCUGAAGCCGAUGAAAAGUGGUGAGUUGAAAUUUGAUCCCAUUACCAUUGACAAGUAUUUGUAAUUUGGUAGGGGGUUAGACCAAACCAUAAAUGGCUUCCUACGUAAUCUAAUUGAAGAGGAGAUCAGGUCUGCGUAGUUCGAACCUGGUGUAAGAGGUUCAAGGCUGAAUGUGAAAGGGGUAAAUGGGUGGAGAAGCUUUAUUGAUGAAGAAGGGUGUAUAAGUGUUUUUGUUUUUGUAAAGAAAGGGCAGAAAUGUUUUUGUUUUUUUUUUGCGACCGGGUCAUAUAGAAUAUGGUUGCCUACGUACUCUCGGGUAUCAGGGAGAUCAAGUCAACGUAGUUCGCCCCUCAGGACUAUUUGUGACCGAAGAAGUUGAAUCCCAUGUGCAGAAUGAACUGCGGGGAAAUGAAAGUUUGAUCCCAUGCUUGGGACAAACUGCAGGUGUGAAACGUUUAAUCCUGUCUUCAGGAUAAACUGCAGGUAUGAAAGGUUCAAUCCCUGAUGGGAUAACCGGAGUUGUAUGAUGUGAAACCAGGCUGCUGGUUUGAAAAGUGUGUUUUUUCCCUGAGGGGCAGAUGGGUAAAAAGAAAAUGUUGUAUGUAAUGAGGGUUAAAGAACCUGAAAUGACUGAUGAUCCAAAACCAGGAUGUUUGUUUGAUGGUAACCUCAGACAUAGUACCGUUUCACGGUGUUUGAGUUGAUAAGCUGUGGAAAUUCAUCGCCAUCCAUUUCUUGCAAUCUGAGAGCGCCUCCUGUCAAUACCUCCUUGACAACAAAUGAGCCUUCCCAGUUAGGAGUGAAUUUUCCCUUAGAUUGAUCUUGGUUGUCAAUGAUCUUCUUCAAAACUAAGUCGUGCUGUUUAAAAUGUUGUAGCCAGACUUUUCUAUUGUAGGAUCUUGCGAUCCUUUGUUGAUAUAACUGACCAUGGAAGAUAGUCGCGGUUCGCCUUUCGUCUAUUAGAGACAAUUGGUGAUACCUAUCUUGUACCCAUUGGUCUUCUUCCAGCUGAGCAUCUAUUAACACUCUGAGGGAUUCCAUUUCCACCUCUAUGGGGAGCACUACUUCCAUCCUAUAGAUUAAUGAUUAGGGGGUUGCCCCAGUGGAAGUAUGCAUUGAAGUUCUGUAUGCUAAUAAAGUCAGAGGCAACAAGUCAGGCCAUCCCUUGUGGUUGGCGGACAUUUUUUGCAUGAUUUUCUUGAUGUUUUUUUUAGCUGCUUCAACAGCACCAUUCAUCUUUGGACGGUAGAUGAUGGAGUUAAGGUGUUUGAUGUGGAAUUUACUACAUAACUCCUCCAUCAUUUUGUUGUUGAGGUUCUUAGCAUUGUUUGACACAAUGACCUCUGGUUGUCUAUAAUGACAAACGAUAUUAUUUCGAAUGAAAGCAAUGAUGACUUCUUUAGUAACCCUGGGGAAGGAGGCUGCUUCUACCCACUUGGUGAAGUAAUCGAUCAUGGUGAAUAUGAACUGAUGUCCAUUACUGGCUUUGGGCUCAAUGGGCCCGAUCACGUCCAUUCCCCACAUUGAGAAGGGCCAAGGCGAACUCAUAUUGUGGAGUUCCCUUGGAGGGGCGUGGAUGACAUUUCCAUGAAUUUUGCAUUGAUAACACCUUUUGACAUGAUCAUCACAGUCAGGUUUGAGGGUAAGCCAAUAAUGUCCAGUUCUGAGGAUCUUCUUAACAAGUAGAGGGUCGUUUAUGUGUGGGCUACAUACUCCACCAUGAAUCUCAUCCAUGAGCCUCUGUGUUUGGUCCUUGUCCAAACAUCUGAGAAGACCUAAUCUUGCAUCUCUCUUGUAGAGUCCAUCUCCGCUUAGGUAGAAUUUCAUAGAAAGUCGAUGGAUUCGCUUUCUUUCAGUUUGGCUCGCAUCAGUGGGUGUAGAUCCAUCUUGUAAGUACUCCUUGAUGUGCUGAUACCAAGGGUUAUGGAUGGGAGGUAGCUUAUUCGAUACUUCUCCAAUAUAGUUCCCAUAGGCUGGGUGUGAGACCCUAAAUUUAUAAAUUUUGCAAAGUAUGCAAGUUGUUGUAUUAUAUUCGAUUGGUCGGGGAAUAUUCAUUUUAACAGGGAAUAUUCGUACGACGACACAAUCAUUGGUGGACCCCACAACGGAAUUAUUGUCGGAUUGAGAAAAUGACAAAAAUAUUUUUAUGAAAAUAACGGCGGAAGUUUUACCGUUAACUGUUGAAACACCCAGUGUUAAAAAUACAGUAAUACGCGUGGUUGCAUAGUAGCACCCAGUAUUGAUUAUUGAUGCUUACGUGAGAAGUCACUCAGUUUUAUUCAAUUAUUGCUACAGUAAUUGUUGCAUAGUAUCUCACGUUAUUUGAUUUAAUUAUUGUCGAUAUUUUAUAUAUUAUUAAAUCAAUAAUUGAGAUAACAAAGUUAUUAAUAUUAUAAUUUGCAAUAUUAACGAUGUCUAGAAGUUCUACCAAGGAGAGGUUUGGUCACCUAAUUGCGCGCCUUUAUAUAAAACAGAAUACUUUUAUAAAGUUAUUUGUUUUAUUAGACUAUAAAUAGAAUAUAUUAUAUUUUAUUAUGCAUAGUGUUGCAUAGUAUUUGUAUAGUAAAAUCUUUUUAUAUAAAACAGAAUACUUUUAUAAAGUUAUUCGUUUUAAUAUAUUAUAAAUAGAAUAUAUUAUAUUUAAUUUAAAAAAUUUUGUUUUAUUAGAAUAUUUUAUUAAUACUGCAUAGUAAAUCAAUAUGAACCGUCCGUUUAAAAGUAAAUCAAUCUGGACCGUUCAUGACUUAGUUACUAUUCAGUCCAUUCUCCUAUAAAUAGAAGGUCAUUCCUUUAUUAUUUCUUAUGAAUUCACUGAAACUCUAGAGAGUGAAACUCUAGAGAGAGAAACUAUAGAGAGAAAGAAUAAAAGUAUUCUGCUACUUCACUACUCCUAUAUCCAGUUUCUUCUAAGGUAAUGGAUAUUAUUUGUUGUACUCGUAAGGGGUAUUAUUUCUUUCUUAUUCAUGAAGAGAACUUCUGUUAUUCCAUUCUUUAUUAUUAUGUUGGAAUAACAUGUCUAUGCGAAGUACGGCAUACAUGGUGAAAUUCUUCUGUUAUUCCAUUCUUUAUCAUUCUGUUGGAAUAUCCUGUCGGUGCGUAUUACGUUUGACCUGUUUCCAUUAGUUAUUAUUUUGUUGGAAUAACUUGUUGUGCUGUCUAUCGCAUGCAUGGUGAUUUAUGUUGUUAUUCCAUUCUUUAUAAUUCUGUUGGAAUAUCCUGUCGGUGCGAAUUUUGCCUGACCUGGUUCCGUUCUUUAUUAUUCUAUCAGAAUAUCCUGUCUGUGCGUUUACGCAUGACCUGGUUCCAUUAUUUAUUAUUCUGUUGGGAAUAACCUGCCUAUGCGAAGUACCGCAUGCAUGGUGAAUUCUUCAGUUAUUCCAUUCUUUAUUUCUGUUGGGAAUAACCUGUCUAUGCAAAGUACCGCAUGCAUGGUGAAUUUUUCAGUUAUUCCAUUCUUUGUUAUUCUAUUGGAAUAACCUGUCUAUGUGGAUUACCACAUGCAUGGUGAAUGAUCCUUUGUAUUCAUUUCUUAUUAAAUUGUGGAAAUGAUCUGUCUACGUGGAUGACCGCAUGGCGGGUGAAAAUCCAUUUGCAGUUUCAUAUAUUCUAUUAUACUCAGUUAGUUAAAGUUUUGGCUUCUAUACUCCAUGAAAUUAGUAGAAUAUCCUGGAUAUUUGCGCUUCAUCCAGUAUCUUUUAAUGAAAAUAUUCUUCUGAGCAUUCUUGAAUUUUACUCUACAAAGAAGUAUCAUGUUGACAAUAUGGACGUUAUUGAGUUCAGGAUAAAUUAACUUAUAAAUCUUUAAAAUUUAUUCGUGAACUUGUUUUAUUGAAUUCUUAUAUCAUUGUCAUCAUCCUCAUGCUUAUAUUAUGUUGAAAGUCAUUUGUGGCAUGUAGUGCAUAGAUGGACUUGGUAUGAUUAUGACCAGGGAUUAUUCGGUAUAAUCAUGAUCGUAAUAUUAUAAAUGAUGUGGAAAAAGUCCUCAUUGGCCCGUAGUGCAUGGAUAAUUUGUGGUUGUGAUACUAAUGAAUAUCCUUGGCCGUAGUGCAGGGAAGAUGUGGAUUAUUUAUUGAGCUGAGUCUCAGUGAUAAAAGUGAUGAAAAACCUUUUAAAUCAUAGAAGAUAGUAGAUUUUAUUCUCUACUUGACUCUUUUAAUUGAUUGCUUGUUCUGCUACAGUUAAACUUGAUGUUUGUUAUAUUAUAUAAGUUUAACACUGAUGAAGGCUAACGAUAAUUUAUUCUGCAUUAUCUUAGUCAUAAUAUUUCUUACUAGGUUAGUUGAGCUCAUCCGUUUACUUUCAUUGUUCUCUUCAAGAAAUGAGAACGUAGCAGGAACUAGUCGGGGAACGGAGUGACGGUCCAAAUGAUAGCAUUAGUAGUCCUCACUAUUCUAUGAAAUAGUGUGUUAAUAAAUGUAUUGAGGACUUAUUUUGAGUUUGAAUACUGUCUAGAAGAUAAUAUUUGUAUUAAAACUCACAACUCAUGUUGUAUAUUUAAGAUUGUAUUUAUAUUAUGUACCAUGUUUUUGGUGACUCAGAAUAGGUGAUGUAUACCUAUUUUGGGGGCGUCACUGUUGGUAUCAAAGCUUAGGGAUAUGAUCCUUGGCUGAGAUGUGAGAUAAGAACUAGGAGGGGAGAGACGGGGAAUUCCUUCGCUAGUAUGACCUACCAAAGUUUACUUGUUAUUUAAUGGGUCAGUCAGAGUAUAGGGAUAAUAUGUGAUAUGUCAAUUAACCCUUGUUUUGUUAUAGUGUUUGAAAAUGGCAUCUGAAAAUGUUGAGAUCAGCAAUGAAGCACAUGAGACCGUUGAGUCACCAACGAUCAAUAAUCAGGAUAAUGUGCAUCAGGAAGGCGACAAUCCUCAUGUAAACAAUAACACCGAUCAGAUGAUGAAUGAUGGGAUGUUCAGAGGCUUUAUGCAAUUCAUGAAACAUCAGGUAAGAGAGACUCAUGUUCAAAAUAUAGGUGGAAAUAAUGGCAACCCACAGCUGGUCACUGCUAAGCAGUUCAAGGAGCUGGGACCGCUGGAGUUUUUGGGAAAGCCAGAACCACUUAAGGCGGAGACCUGGUUAAAGUAGAUCACCGAGAUAUUUGAUGUCUUGGGAUGCUCCGAGGAGCAAAAGGUUCCCUUCGCCACCUUUAUUUUGCGUGAAGAGGCAGAUUACUGGUGGGAAUCUGUAAAAUGUACCCAGCCUAACGCACUCAAGAUGUCUUGGGAGAAGUUUCAAGAAUUGUUCAACGAUAAGUACUUUUCUAAAAGUAUUUAUCACAUGAAGGAGGUGGAAUUCAUCAAGCUAGAGCAAAACAAUAUGACCGUGUCGCAGUACGAAGCUAAGUUUGCCGAGUUGUCCCUGUUUUCAUUCCAUUUGGUCGAUAAUGAGGAGCGAAUGACGCGAAUGUUUCUGCGAGGUUUGAAACCCAAAAUACGUCAAUACCUCAUUUCUCACAAACUUUGUUUAUAUUCAGAUAUUGUGAAUAGGGCUCAGUUAUUGGAGCACAAUAAUGAGUUAGCACAACCAAAAGGCAAUAACCAACAACACGAUAAUAAUCGUACCGGUGGCAACGACCAUCGGAACAAUGAUAACCAUCGUGGGGGAAAUUAUCAUGCCAAAAAUGGUAACCACUUCGGUGGUAAUCAUGGCCAAGAUAAUAGGAGUGGAAAUUUCAAGAAGAGAAGAUUUAACGAUGAUGGAAAGACGUCAGCACCAGCAUCUGUUGUUAAGGAAGGAGAAUGACCACCGGUCGUAUGUUUUAAAUGCGGACAGGAGGGACACAUUCGUCCAAAUUGUACGUAGCAAUCCAAAGCAUGUUUCAAUUAUGGAAGAGAAGGUCACCUAGCUCGAUUUUGUCAUGUAGUAAAGUCAAGUCCAGUUGGGAUAAUGAUGCCACGGAUGUCUCAGACAAGUCAAAGUCGGUAGUUUAAGUGAGAGCGUUUGUCGAGGAACCCGAACGAAGUUAUCAUAGGUAAGUUUAUCAUAAACAUUUACGAAGUCUAUACCUUAUUUGAUACCGGUUCUACCCAUUCUUUUAUCUCUCUUGAUUGCGCUCAACGUUUAAAUUUGACUCCGGAGAAAUUAGACUUUGACUUAUCGGUUGAAACUUCGUUAAGAGAAACCUUCGUUACCUCCACUGUUUAUAAAUCUUGUUUGAUUCAAAUCGACACUUUCACGUUACCUGUCAAUCUUAUCUCUUUGAAAAUACUUGUCUUUGAUGUGAUUUUAGGAAUCGAUUGGUUAACUACUCAUCAUGCAUUUCGUAAGGUUGUUAGCUUUCAUAUUCCUAACCAACCUGUUAUGCGAAUUCUAAAGUCAAUCAUUGUCAUAUCAAGCCAUAAGUAAAGAGCCCCGAUCCUUUCAUUGUUGACUUCCUUGUGUGUAAUGCACCGAAGCCAGACUUUCUAUAGGCGACGUUGUGAAUGACAAUGACAAGUUGAUAGGUAUCAAUGUGAUGUACUAUCCAAGUCUUGGACGAGAGUCACAGUUUUGAAUGAUAUUUCUAUUGUUAAUAAAUUUCCUGACGUAUUCUUGAAGACUUCUUAGCCUACCCCUAGAGCGUGAAAUCGAAUUUUGUAUUGACCCCAGUACAAAACCCAUUUCUUAAACCCUCAAAUAUUUUCUUCACCUUAAACGAACGUAUAAUGCGCCAAAGACGUUGGCUCGAGUUGUUGAAGAUUACGAUUGUACCAUUCAAUACCAUCGUGGGGAAGCGAACGUGGUAGCUGACGUGUUGAGUAGAAGAUCGUAUGUGUUUACGAGUGCGAUGUUGUUAACACAAAGACUCAUUUCGUAUAACUUACAAAUAAUGAAGAUAGAGUUAAAGACUCUAGGGACCCACGUGAAGAUAACGAAUAUACGAGUAGAAUCGACUUUAAUCGAUAAAGUUAAAGGCCGCUCAAGCUACACACCCGGAACUGAUGAAUGUGAAGAAAAAGGUUCAAGAAGGCGUUAUCUCAACCCUCGAUUUUAUUGGUCUAUUUGAAGUCCUCGAUGGAGUAGGAACUAUGGCUUUUACACUCGCUUUACCCCCAAGUAUGUCGCGUGUUCAUAACGUUUUUCACGUAACAAUGUUACGUAAAUAUGUGGACGACCCGGACCACAUUAUUGAAUUAAAACUAGACGAGAUAGCAGAAGAUUUAACGUAUGAGGAGAUACGUGUUAAAAUCUUAGAUAAGAAGGAUCGUAUUCAACACUCAAAGGUUAUACCUCAAGAGUUAGAAUCUGAAAUGAAGUCAAGGUAUCCUCAUCAUACCAGGUACAUACGUAAAUUUUGAGGGCGAAAUUCCAUAAGGAGGGGAGAUUGUGAGACCCCAAAUUUUACGAAUAAAGAUUUAAUUUUCUCGAAAUAUUUUUUUGAAUAUUAUGGUGUGGAUUUGAGAUAAUGUUAUAGUUGUGGAUAGUAUUUAUAAAUUUUGCAAAUUAUGCAAGCUGAUGUAUUAUAUUCGAUUGGUCGGGGAAUAUUCGUUUUAACAGGGAAUAUUCGUACGAUGGCACAAUCAUUGGUGGACCCCACAACGAAAUUAUUGUCGGAUUGAGAAAACGACAAAAAUAUUUUUAUGAAAAUAACGGCGGAAGUUUUACAGUUAAAUGUUGAAACACCCGGUGUUAAAAAUACAGUAAUACGCGUGGUUGCAUACUAGCACACAGUAUUGAUUAUUGAUGCUUACGUGAGAAGUCACUCAGUUUUGUUCAAUUAUUACUACAGUAAUUGUUGCAUAAUAUCUCACGUUAUUUGAUUUAAUUAUUGUCGAUAUUUUAUAUAUUAUUAAAUCAAUAAUUGAGAUAACAAAGUUAUUAAUAUUAUUAUUUGCAAUAUUAACGAUGUCUAGAAGUUCUGCCAAGGAGAGGUUUGGUCACCUAAUUGCGCGCCAAUAGGGAGAAAUCCUUAUUGGAAAGCCCCCUCUUUCCUGGGAACGACCUGGUCGAUUAAUAUUGUGAAUUAUAAUAAUGAUGAUAAAUGUUGUUAAAUAUAUUGAGGUGUCUUUUUAUGAAGUCACAGAAGUUUAUAUAUAUAUAUAUAAAUUAUGUUUUAUUAGUAUUAUUAAUGUAAUAAAAUAGAAAAGCUUUUUAUAUAAAACAGAAUACUUUUAUAAAGUUAUUUGUUUUAUUAGACUAUAAAUAGAAUAUAUUAUAUUCUAUUAUGCAUAGUGUUUUGCAUAGUAAAAUAUUUUUAUAUAAAACAGAAUACUUUUAUAAAGCUAUUUGUUUUAUUAGACUAUAAAUAGAAUAUCUUAUAUUUUAUUAUGCAUAGUGCCUGCAUAGUGUUUGCAUAGUAAAAUCUUUUUAUAUAAAACAGAAUAUAUAAAGUUAUUCGUUUUAUUAGAUUAUAAAUAGAAUAUAUUUUAUUUUAUUUAAAUGAUUUUGUUUUAUUAGAAUAUUUUAUUAAUACUGCAUAGUAAAUCAAUAUGGACCGUCCGUUUAAAAGUAAAUCAAUCUGGACCGUUCAUGAAUUAGUUACUAUUCAGUCCAUUCUCCUAUAAAUAGAAGCUCAUUCCUUCAUUAUUUCUUACGAAUUCACUGAAACUUUAGAGAGAGAAACUAUAGAGAAAAAAAAAAGUAUUCUGCUACUUCACUACUCCUAUAUCCAGUUUCUUCGAAGAUAAGGGAUAUUAUUUAUUGUACUCGUAAGGGGUAUUAUUUCUUUCGUAUUCAUGAAGAGAACUUCUGUUAUUCCAUUCUUUAUUAUUAUGUUGGAAUAACAUGUCUAUGCGAAGUACCGCAUACAUGGUGAAAUUCUUUUAGUAUUCCAUUCUUUAUCAUUCUGUUGGAAUAUCUUGUCGGUGCGUAUUACGCCUGACCUGGUUCCAUUAGUUAUUAUUCUGUUGGAAUAACCUGUCUGUGUGGCCUAUCGUAUGCAUGGUGAUUUCUGUUGUUAUUCCAUUCUUUAUUAUUCAGUUGGAAUAUCCUGUCGGUGCGAAUUUCGCCUGACCUGGUUCCGUUCUUUAUUAUUCUGUCGGAAUAUCCUGUCUGUGCGUUUACGCAUGACCUUGUUCCAUUAUUUAUUAUUCUGUUGGGAAUAACCUGUCUAUGUGAAGUACCACAUGCAUGGUGAAUUCUUCAGUAAUUCCAUUCUUUAUUAUUCUGUUGGGAAUAACCUGUCUAUGCGAAGUACCGCAUGCAUGGUGAAUUCUUUAGUUAUUCCAUUCUUUAUUAUUCUGUUGGAAUAACUUGUCUAUGUGGAUUACCACAUGCAUGGUGAAUGAUCCUUUGUAUUCAUUCCUUAUUAAAUUGUGGAAAUGAUCUGUCUACGUGGAUUACCGCAUGGCGGGCGAAAAUCCAUUUGCAGUUUCAUAUAUUCUAUUAUACUCAGUUGGUUAAAGUUUUGGCUUCUAUACUCCAUGAAAUUAGUAGAAUAUCCUGGAUAUUUGCGCUUCAUCCAGUAUCUUUUCAUGAAAAUAUUCUUCUGAGCAUGCUUGAAUUUUACUCCACAAAGCAGUAUCAUGUUGACAAUUUGGACAUUAUUGAAUUCAGGAUAAAUUAACUUAUAAAUCUUUAAAAUUUAUUCUUGAACUUGUUUUAUUGAAUUAUUAUGUCAUUGUCAUCAUCCUCAUGCUUAUAUUGUGAUGAAAGUCAUCUUUGGCUUACGUGCAUAGAUGGACUUGGUAUGAUUAUGACCAGGGAUUAUUCGGUAUAAUCAUGACCGUAAUGUUAUAAAUGAUGUGAAAAAAGUCCUCAUUGGCCCGUAGUGCAUUGAUGGACAGUUUUUGGUAUGAUUAUGGCUAUGGAUUCUCUUCGGCCAAGGGUGCGAAGAUGAAUUGUUUUAUGGCAUAAUCAUGACCAUUGAUGAAUACACGAAUAUCCUUGGCCCGUAGUGCAUGGAUAAUUUGUGGUUGCGAUACUAAUGAAUAUCCUUGGUCGUAGUGCAGGGAUGAUGUGGAUUAUUUAUUGAGCUGAGUCUCGGCGAUAAAAGUGAUGAAAAACCUUUUAAAUCAUAGAAGAUAGUAGAUUUUAUUCUCUACUUGACUCUUUUAAUGGAUUGCUUGUUCCGCUGCAAUUAAACUUGAUGUUUGUUACAUUGUAUCAGUUUAACACUGUUGAAGGCUAACGAUAAUUUAUUCUGCAUUAUCUUAUAUUAAUAUUUCUUAUUGGGCUAGUUUAGCUCACCCUUUUACUUUCAUUGUUCCUUCAGGAAAUGAGAACGUAGUAGGGACUAGUCGGGGAACGGAGUGACGGUCCAGAUGAUAGCAUUAGUAGUCAUUGAGGACUUAUUUUGAGUUUGAAUACUGUCUAGAAGACAAUAUUUGUAUUAAAACUCACAGCUUAUGUUGUAUAUUUAAGAUUGUAUUUGUAUUCUGUACCAUGUAUUUGGCGACUCAGAAUAGGUGAUGUAUACCUAUUUUGGGGGCGUCACACUGGGGCCUUUUGUAGGGCUAAUGUGAUGUUUGGCAUGUUUUCCUUGUCAGGUAUGUGAAUCAAGGAGGCCAAUGUUUCUAGCGCAUCCGCAAAAUCAUUCCUAUUACAAGGAAUGUUUAGAAAAGAGAUUUCUUCAAACUUCAAAGCCAUCUGUAAAACUUGCCAAUGGUAAGGCAGCAAAUUUAGUUCUUUGGUUUGAUAGAUUCCCGUGGAUUGUUUGAUUACCAACUCAGAAUCCCCAAAGAUAGUUAACCGCCUUAUACCCAUUGAAUGGGCAAGUUUUAGCCCCAUGAUACAGCCUUCAUACUCAUCUAUGUUGUUGGUGUUGACAAACUGCAAUUUGACGGUGAUGGGAUACUGCUCCCCCAUACCGGACACUAGAACUGCUCCAGCUCCAAAGCCUAUGUUAACAGCUCCAUCAAAAUACAUUUUCCACGUACGACAUGUAUCGUACUGAUGAUAUUGCUGAACUGCCAUUACCCCUUCAUUGGGGAAGCAUGUUUCCAAGGGUUUGAAGUCCCCUGCAGGUGUGGCAGCCAGUCAAUCCACAAUUCCUUGACCUCUGAUAGACUUUUACAUCAUGUAGACGAUUUCAAAUUGCUGUAGGAUCAACUGCCAUCUGGACAGCCGACAAUUUAACAUGGGUUUACUGAACACUUACUUGAGAGGAUCCACGCGGGGUAUAAGAUGGGUUGUGUGACCAUGGAGGUAAUGUUGUAACCUCAUGGAAGCCCAUGCUAAAGCACAAUAAGUUUUCUCAAUCAGAGUGUACUUGUGUUCACUGAUGCUGAAUCUUUUGUUGAGGUAAUAGAUAGCUCAUUCUUGGCCUCUAUCGUCUUUUUGUCCCAGCAUGCAUCCCAUGGCAUUGUCGUUGACUGAAAGGUACAUGAAUAGGGGAACACCAUCCUUGGGAGGUACCACCAUCCUUGGGAGGUACCAAAAUGGGAGCUUUAACUAGCUGCUCUUUGAUUGUAAGGAAGGCUUUUUUACACUCAUCGUUCCAUUUCAUGGAUGAGUUCUUCCUUAACAACUUGAAGAGGGGUUCACAGGUUGUUGUGAGUUAAAAGAUGAACCUGCUAAUGAAGUUGAUUCUUCCCACAGACCCCCGUAUUUCCUUCUCUGUCUAAGGAAUGGGCAUUUCAGUCAUGGCCUGGAUUUUGGUGGGAUCCAACUCAAUCCCUUUGUGGAUGAAUAGAAAUCCUAGCAACUUGCCUAAUUUAACGCCAAAGGCGCAUUUGGCUGGAUUUAACUUCAAGUUGUACUUACACAACCUGUUGAAGAGCUUUCUGAGAUGGUCUAGGUGGUCUUCCUCCCUUCGGGACUUGACAAUGAUGUCAUCCACGUAGAUCUCUAUCUCUUUGUGCAUUAAAUCGUGGAAAAGAGCCAUCAUAGCUCGUUAAUAGUUUGCUCCGACAUUAAUGAGGUCGAAGGACAACCGUCUAUAGCAGAAGGUUCCCCAAGGCGUGAUGAAAGCAGUUUUCUCACGAUCCUCCUCAGCGACCAUAAUUUGAUGGUACCCCGCAAAGCCAUUAGCGAAGGAGUACAUGCCGUAUUGAGCAGUAUUGUCAAUAAGAAUGUGGAUAAAGGGCACGAGAAAGCUAUCUUUAAGGCAAGAUUUGUUCAAAUCCCGGUAAUCCACACAAACUUGCACCUUUCCUCCUGGUUUAGGCACGGGAACUAUGUUGGAUAUCCAUUCAGGAUAUGUAGACACCAUGAUGAUACCAGCUUGAAAAAAUUGUUUCACAAUUUCUUCUUUCACCUUUAAAGUCCACUCGGGUUUCAAUCGCCUGAGCUUCUAGCUGACUGGCUUAAAUCCCUCUUUAAUGGGAAGGCGAUGAAGGACAAUGUCAGUGGACAAACCCACCAUGUCUUCGUGAGACCAUGCAAACACAUCCUGGAAUUGGGUUAAUAGUGCAACCAUGGCAUUCCUUUGGUUUGGAGUAAGGUCUGAACCAAUCUGGAUCAUCCUAGGGCUUUCUAAGGUUUUGAGAUUGAAAGAAAUGGUUUGAUCAAGGUUGGGUUUAGGUUUGUCUUCGACCCAUUCUUUGAUCUCCGGAGGUAUCUCAAUGUCCUCUUGUAUUUCCAUCAAGUCUGAGUCCAACUUUUCAUCAAAGUUACAAUCCUUGUGGAGAAAAGGCAUCUUACCAACAAGUACAGGCACAUCUAAAUUCAGAGUCCUGAAACAAAAUGUGCUUUCACUUAAUAUAUGAAACUGUUUAAUCAUACAAAAUGUGAGCAUAUACUGGCAAAAUAACUGCUAAUACUGUACAAAAAGGUAAUCAGUUAAUAUUAUCUACAGGGCAAAGGGGCUUUUUACCCGUUUUACCCUUGUUGACCAAUGCAUGGAGUGCUACUCCAAUUGUCAAGGGCAAAGUUAUGAUGGACCGCAGUGAAGGAGGGGCUGUCAUCGUCCUCCUUUUCUCGAAUAAUGACCAUAACAUCUGGAAAAUCAUCAUCUGGGGUGUAUCUAUUGGUAUGUUCAUCAUGGACAAUGAUGCGUAUGCCUGACAUCAUUAGAGCGAUGUCUUGUUUAUAUUUCUGUUCUUUCUCUUCCACUUCAUGAUCAAGAAUCAGCACUUCUUUUGCUUUAACCGGUACUAGUUUGGGAAAUAACAUAGCCAUAACAUGGGAUGGAACCUUUACCGGAGACUGUAUAGGCUCAGGAGUUGCAGGUGGAGAUAAUCGUCGUGUGGCAGAAGCUUGAGGAAUCCGCUUGUACUUAUGAGUAUUCCUAUGACUGGAACUGGCAGAAUAUCUUAGUCCGGCUGUCCCGGUUUGACUGGACAUUUGAAUUGGGUGCUUAAUACCCUGAUGAUUUUUACCCAGCCCUUGUCCAGGCUAAUGACCCAAUGAUAUCAUUUCUUGUGUAGCUGCCAUCACUUCGGCAGAAAUCUUGGUUACGGGAAGUGGCGCUCCAAUAGGAUGGUAUUGCGUGUUGCUCACUUCCAAAGUAUAAAACUGGUCAGCUCAACUUCUGAAUUGAAGCUGAUGAGUGGUAUGUCUCCUUAUUUAGGACAUUCCGGCUUAGCGUUGACAGUUACUAAGCUAUUGUUGACAAUGUAUUUAAGUUAUUGAUGAAGUGUAGAAGGGAUGAAUCUAGCCAUGUGGAUCCAUGGUCUCCCCAAUAGCAGGUUGUAUCUUGAAUCUAUCUUCAGGACAUGAAAAGAUACGUAAAAUUUAUGGGGGCCAAUCUCAAUUGGCAACUCAAUCUCUCUGACAGAAUUUUUUCGGGAUCUAUCAAAAGCUUUGAUAACCGUAUGACUACUUCGGAUCCGUUUGAGAUUGACGUUCAUCUUCACCAAAGUGGCAUAAGGAUAGAUAUUCAGAGACGAACCUUUGUCUAUCAAAACUCCAGCUAACAUAUACCAGAGGAUAAAACUGCAAUGUGCAAUGGCUUGCAAUGUCCGGUCCCUUCGGGUGGUGUGUCAUCAUUAGUGAAAGAUAUCACAUUGUUGUUAAAAAUGUGAUCAACCAAAUGUUGAAAUUUUUCCACAUCCACUGAUUUUGGCAAGUAGUCUUCUUCCAAAACCUUUAGUAAGAUCUUCCUCUGAUCCUCGGAAGAGAAAACCAAGUCUAGUAUUGAGAUUUGAUGUGGACCUUCUCUUAAGCUUAAAACCACCUUGGCUUCAUUAUGGCCCAUAGUGCGGAGGAAUUUCUCAAUCUUCUCUAUGGGAAUCUUCCCCUUUGCUUUUAUGGUAGGCUUCAUCACCCUCUUAGGAAGAUACAGUGGAUUUUCCUUCGACACUAUAGCAGUAGUAUGAGACGUGGAUCCUUCAGCUUCUCCAUAAUUCCAUGGGACUUUUUGUAAGCUGAUAACAGGAUACUGUGGUCUGAAUGGUAAGCAAAUUGGCUCUGGUGCAGCCACUUUCAAAGGAUUUUCACUACCUUUGAGUUGAAUUGCUUGUAUGGGAAAUGGCCCGACAGUCUCAUCAGUCUCAGAGGAUAUAACUGCUACUAGCCCCUUCCACUUAGUAGGACAGGUAUUUCCACUCUCGAGUAGCACAGUGUCAUCGUCUGCCAAUUGAAGGACACCGCUGUCAAUUAGAUUCUGAAUAAGGUGGCGGAGUGCCCAACAUUCUUCUGUGUUGUGACCGUGAGAAUGUGAAUGAUAUUGACAUACUCCAUCAGAGUUGAACCGUCUUGAACAGGGAUUAAUUGGAGGUAGAAGGGAGGUGAUUCUUCUUUCAUUAAUUAGCAUCUGAAAUAUUUCCUCCAUAGGUUGGCCCAGGUAUGUAAAUUCCCUUCUAUUGGCAAAAUCCCGACGGGCUUUAGCACUUUCUCUCUUCGCAACCUUGUCCUCCAGUGCUUCACUUUCUGAAGGUGAUGAUGGAGAAUUCAUAAUAGAAGGAAGGAGACAGGCAUGCUCCUGGCUGACUAACUGGCAUGUGACUUGAUCCUGAUGGAUCAUCAGUUCUGCCAAUUGUUCAACUUGCUUAGAAAGAGCUUUCAUCUUUUGUUCCACAGCAAAUUGGAACUUUGCGUAAUCCCAUCUAUCAACAUCGUCUUUGAUGGUCUGGGAUGAUUUAUCAUUAAAAUUGGAACUUUGUCCACUGCUCCAACUAAUCAUAUUGACCUCUUCUUCUUUGUGUUGAGGAAGAGGGUUGUCUUGCAUAUGAGGUUGAUCUGGUUUGGUAAGCACGAUUUCACCGUUGUCUAUUAAAUCUUGGAUCUUGUGUUCCAAGGCCCAACAAUCUUGAGUAUCAUGUCCAGGUGCCCCGAAAUGAUAAGCACACUUCCGAGUAGCAUUGAAACCCCUCCCAUUAGGGUUGGCUGGUGGAAGAAGAUGUGUGAUUUUCUUCUGAGUAGUCAGAAGAGUAAGAAUAUUCUCGAGCGAGUCUCCUAAGGGUGUGAACGUUUGAGGGCAUUUUACUUCUCCACCUUUAUGUUUGGUUUGUAAUAUACAAUAGCGCAAUCAAAUUGCACAAAAUAAGCGGAAGCAUGGAAAAUCAGAGUUUUAAAAUUUUACAAACCAUAUACCCGGAUCAUCAUUUAUGCACACUUCUUAAUUAAACAAAAAGAUAAAGAACAAGAAUCAUACCCUUGAAGAUCCGAGAUUCCUCAGGUACAAGUUCACCUCCAAUCCUUUUCGCGUUCAACUUGAAUCCACCGGUUUGGUUCAUUCCUUUGAUCAAUGUUAACCACCCAUGUAAUACCCGAGAAUUUCCCGUAUUAUUAAAUGAAUAUAUUAUUGGAAAUAAAAUUUCCGUGAAUAUAAGUGUUAUUAUUUUGAGAGUUGGAUAAUUCAAUUGAUUUGUAUUAGAUCAAUGUGUAUUACGAUGUGUGAAGUGACAAUGGGAUUUGUGAAAUGCCUUGUGUGGCAUAAUGUGAAACGAAGAAAUCCGUUAAGCAAAUUAAAACGAGUAUCUAGAAAAUUAAUAGUGUUGAUCAUGUGAUUUCAUGUGUGUAAUCAAUACACUCGUAGACUUGUAAUAUUACUCUUGUGGACAUUAAUUCAUGUCGUGCAAGACGAGUAUGAUAAUAGGGGUUGACACUGACUUAAGCUAAACUAGUCAGGGCACGGCGCAGCUGAGCCCGUCCCAGCAGUACAAACUGGCGCAGCUGCGCUAGUGGUCAGUUGGAGAAAAAUUAAUUCUUCUACCUUGGAAAAUUAAAUGAACAAUUAUGUGGCGUGUGUGACAUUAAUAAACCAUGAAAUAAAGUGCACAAUUAAGUAAUAUUAAUUGUUAAUUGUUAUAUUAAUUAAUUGUUAAUGGUUGUGGUAGAAUAUUAAAUUCUUAGUAAUUAACUAAUAAUGUACGAUAACUAUUAUUUGUAAUAUAUUAUAAAGAUGAAUAAUGAUUAUGGAAAUCCAUAAAUACAUUAAUCAACGAUGAUGGGAUUAAUUAAUAUUGAUGUUAAUUAAUCAAGGAAGUGAAUAAAUUAUUUAUAAGUAAGUUAGUAAUAUAAUAAUAGUAUAUUGACAGUUAUAUGCAUAUGAGCAAUAAUAGAAACAUAUUAUAUAGUGUGGUGUGACUAUAUAUUAAGAUCUAUGAAACUAUAUUAUAUUAAGUGGUGAUUAAUCAAGGGAAGGAAUAAAUUUAUUUAUUUAACAUAAAUAAAUAAGUUAUUAAUAUAAUAAGGUUAUAAUAUGGUUAUAUGAGUGGUAGAGAUAACUAUGGUACUACCCGGAUAAUAAUAUCUGACUGCAUUAUUUUAUUGCGUAUAUUUAAUGUACAUGGACUAUAUGAUGUGAAUGUAUAAUUUAUCCCUAAAAUUCCUAAUAUGGUAACAAUUGUACAUUAAGAUUUCAUUGUGGAAAAUUAAGUAGACCAAACCAAGCCUAGAUAUCACGAAUGCUGGGAUUUUCUCUCUUGUCCCAUAAUAAGUGUCACCAAGUACAAUGAACAGUAACUUGAAGCUAUAUUAUGUAAACUUUCUAGCUGCUAAAUCAUAGGAGAUCAUUGCUAAGCUAAGUGACUGGUAAGGGUUGUUAAACUACUCUUCAUGAACCUAUGUGUCUUGCCAUUGCACCAUGGGCUCUAAAAUUGUGUAAAGCCAAUGACUAGUCCAUGCUUUCUCUAUAAAUUAAGCUUGAGUUCAGAUUUUUGUGUUGCUAAGAGUUGUCUAAGUGAAGCAUUCAAGUGGAUGAGCAACUGUAGAAGCUUAUUCAGUGUGUGGGAAGUCCAAUUUAAGCUUAAGAAGGUAUAAUUUUUAUCAAUGUUCUUGAGAUGGGUUUGUUUGAUUCUUGAAAUUUCUUGAAUUCAUUUGUUAAUUGAUAUGAGUAAACAUGUUAUAAGGUGUUUAGGAAGUUUACUAGCAUGUAUGAACACUAUAGGAAUGAUUUGGGACAUGUUUGAUGUCAAGGAUAUCAAGUUGGCCAAGACUCUGCAAAACAGAGUCUGAUUCUGCACCUGAAUCUGGCACGGCGCAGCUGCGCCAUUAUUGAACUAAGGCGCAGCACAGCUGCGCCAGUUACUGAAUUCAGUUGGAACUUCUGUUUUGAAAUCUGCUAUGUGUUGAUCGACCAUUAUGGCUUAAACUAGGAUGAAAGCAUGUUUAAGGUGUAUGCAUAAGUAUAUGAAUCUAAGUUGGGCAUGUUUUAAUAAAAUUUCAUGAUUAAUGAAGACAUAUGGUUUAAAUGGAGAUUUGGACUUUAAGUUUUGAAAACAAACUAUAUUAGAGAUCAUGUUCUGCAAAUUUUGAACCUAGUAAGCUAUACAUAACUGAUUUUACACUUAGAUAAGCAUGCUAGAAUGUACGUAGUCCCUUUGUUCUACCUUAUUAAGCCUUGUGUUAGAAAUAUUUUCACGAAAAAGCUUAGCCUAGUGAGCUAAAAUGCAUGACCACUACAUGAUGUAUAUUCUAACUUUGCAAGCAUGUUGGUAUGGUUUAGAAAUGCAUGAAUAAACCUUUAGAUUGUGUUUAUAUGAUUAGUAAGCAAGAAUGAACAUGUUGAACCUACUAGUGACCUUUGAACAUGAAUAUUGACAAACUAUCUUGAAAGAUAGAAUCUGACCUUUAUAAGCAUGUUGGUGAUACUCUUAGACUCACUCAUGUAGUAUAACCAUAGAUAUACCAUGCUUAUGUAUCACAUUUCAAAUAAAACAUGAACAAAGCCUAUUUUCAACUAAAGUGGUGUUAGUUUCACAUAUGCGUUAUGAAUACUCACAAGCAUGUUUAAUAUGAGUUUUGUAAUUAACUUGUGUGUUUGAAGAGCAAGAAUGAUAGACUUUGUAGUUUUAUGACCUUGAAUGGCCUCAAAUGGUUGAAAUGAUCAAUUUAGAAAUAUGUUAUAAAAGGGAACCUAGAUUUACUUGAGAAGCAUGAAAAGACCCUUAACAUGGCAAGUAUAUCAUGUACGAAUGUUUUGAGCAAGCCGAACAGAAACCACAAGGCAGCAACUAAGUCUAGGCUUGGCCAUAGGACGACACAGCUGUGCCGGUCCUAGGCUUAGCCAUAGCGCAGCUGCGCCAGUCUGGAAUCUUGUGUUCUGCAUUCUGUUUUUAACUGAUGUUAAAGCAUGCCUAUAGGAUUACUUUUAACUUAUCUUACACGACCAAUAUGCUAUGAAAUAUGUUACGAAACAUGCUAUGUGAUAGAGACAAAUGUUGAUCAAUACUUCCAAAUGUUGAGUCCGAAGAAUGUCUUCAAGAAAUUAGGCAAUCAAGUCGUCGUGGUAUUUGUGAUGACUUACAAACUGAUUUUGUACCAUAUGUGCAUACUUGAAUCGUGUCAAGCUUGUUUAAAGACUGUGUUAGCUAAUGAAUAUCUUGAUCAUAUAAUACACUAUAAAUAGGAUUCGAAAGUGUUGAGUUAUUAACGUGGAUAAAUUACGCUUAAGGCAAGUUCCCUAUACUUACUCUAAUUAUUAUUGAGCGAGUUUCCUUGAACUUCACUCUUGAUUGUGCAAGUUUCUUGAACCCUACUUUUAAACUUAUCUUGUGAAUGUAAGUUAUCCCGCUUAUUCGUUCAAUUGAACUAGUAUGCUUAAAUUCUUGUGAAAGUUAUUAUUCAUGUUAAACUUAAUAUUGUUCUUGAAUUUUGUGUAAGAGUCGAUGCCAUCUGAUUCGGCUAGAAUAUAUGCAUGCUUAUAAAAGUUGUCCAAACCAAUUGAUUGGUGCAAAAAUCUUGAAAACUGAGUUGGACAACCCUUUUGGUAAGGGGAGUGUAUGUCGUUGGAAACCCCAACACAUGAAUGAAUAUUAUUGUGGUGUUAUGCAUAACGUAAAGUAUUGUAGACUGAUCAUCUAUAGUACUUGAUAUUUUUGGGUUAUCAGUUUAAUAUUGGUAACUCUAGUGGAGGUUCCAUAGUCCUUAGUGACUGCUCAGUAUAAAUUGUUUAUCCAGUUGGAUACUUUGUUAGUCAUUGAAUUCAUAUAUAUCUGUUGAUUUAUAUUGAAUUUUCGUUCUUAUUCCAACAAUUGUUGAUAUUCCUUAUCCAUGAUGUUAUUCUGACACUUUGAAAUACCCUAGAAAUGGCACGUCGAUAUUUCAAACCUUGUGAUAUUAUAUCCUAUACCCUUGUUGUAUAUUACUUGCUGGGUAAUUUGUGCUCAUCCUUGCUUAUUAUAAACCUUUAAGUUAAGGAGGAACAGGGAGGUGUCUCUGGUACAGACAAGGGCAAGAGCAAGGAUACCGACUAGCUUGUCCCUUUUAUAUUUAAGAUUAUUAUGUUGUAUUAAGACUAUGUUUAAACUUAAGUAGGAUUAUGUAAUAGGUCUUUAUUCGAUACUAUUAUGUAAUCUAUUAAGUAUUGUAGGUUGCGAGACUUGGGGGAAUAAUUAUAAUAAAUCAUUGUAUAUUAUUUUAAAUUAGAUUUUCCGUUGUGAAUGUGUUAUUUUAGUUAUUAUGGUAUUACUUUGAGCACGUGACAAACCGAAUUCGAUUGACCAAGUGGAGGUCCGAAUUUGGGGGCGUCACAGGUUGGUAUCAAAGCUAUAGUUAUAAACCUUAGGAAUGAGAGUCCUUAGAUUAUAACUUAAGAAAACCUAGAAGUUAGGAAGGAGAUAAAACUCAUGUAGAGUUUUCCUUGAGAGACUUAGUGUGUUAUGAAAUGUACCUUCAUUCUAUAUAAUGAACUUAUGUUUAUUUAACAUUUUAAUAGAUUUGUUGUUUGUGUUGUCUUAUGUUGGUGAUUGUAGGAUGACUGACAUGAAGGACCUAGCCGAGUAAUAGAGGAGGAGCCGCGUGAUAUCCAUGUAGUCUAUGAAGCGCCAUUGAUAGCGGAGCCUAUUUCAGUAGUGGCCCCUUUUGAUGAUGAUGAUGAGGAAGAGGUGGAGUCUGAUACGGAGGAGAAGCCUUUGGAGGAGGAGCCCGAGCCUAUGAUGGACUCCGAUGAGGCUACUUUUGAGGAUCGGAUGUUAGGAGAUUAUGAAGAACAGAUCUUAGAGUUAGGAUGUAGAGUGGAGGAGCUAGAGGCUGAGGCUAGGGAGAGGGAGUCUGCAUUCCAGAAGUUGAGGGAUGAGGACCAUCAGAGGCAACUAGUGAUGCAAGAGAUGGAGGUGGAAAUCGCUUACCGUAAGGAGGCAGGGAUCCAGAUGGGAGCUUUGUUUCACCGAGCAGUGACGAGGAAUGUUGAGGUGGCAGGAAAGCUAGAGGAAUUAGAGAAGAAGGUUUUGAGUGAGAGGGCGGAGAAGGAGGCUCUCCGAACUCAAUUAGAGAUAGAGGUAAUGGAUAGGAUUCACUUCGAGGAGAAGUGGGAGGAAGCCAAUGAUAGGGCAGAUGAUCUAGAAGAUGAGGUGCGAUGCAAGAGGAAGAAGAUCAACAAGUUGGGCUAUGCUCUACGCACGGCCAUGGAGAGAUUGUUCGAUGGGGUAAAUCACUUCCUAGCUGAGCAAGGACAGACCCGGCAUACCAUAAGUCGGGAUAUGGUGGUACACAUCACACAGAAGGAAUAUCAUAGCGCUAUUGAGAGUGGGAUGUUAGAUUGAGUCUAGAGGGAAAAAGCUCAGUAGUGUAGUAUUUUUAUUUAUGUGUUAUUAAUAUGUUGUUGUAAUCUCAAUCUUUUGUGUAAGAUGUGAGAUAGUGGUAGACCCCCAAAUUUUUGAAAAGUGUUAGAGGGGUAGUAAGUUAGUAUGUCCUCGUCUUUUGUGAUAAUAGGGGAUAUGUGAUAUCAUUUAUAGCAUUAUGCUAGAAAAGAGCAUGCGAUGUAACCAUUUGGCAUAUGAAUAUAAAUGAUAUUAAUUCAGAAACGUGUUAUAAACCUGUAGUUCUUUUCUAUUGAGAAAUGUCUAAGUAUUAUAAUUAGAUAAUAAAAUGAAAAUUUUGUGAUGCAGAAAAUGCCGCCCAGACGUAGAAUAACUAUCCCAGAAGAGUCAGUUAAUGAUGAGAGAGGUCCUGUAGAUACAAUACAGAGACUGGUAGAUUUAUUGGGAAACGAACCUGUACCACCCGUUUCCCAAGCUAUCCCAGUAAAAACCUUCAAAGAUUUUAAGAGCGUAGGACCCCCGGAGUUCACGGGAACCACUGACCCGAUAGUUGCGCAAACCUAGAUCAAGGAGAUCGAGAAGGCCUUCACUAUAGCUCGCGUGGGUGAAGACCAGAAGAUUGUAUUUUCCACAUACAUGAUGAGGGGCGAAGAGAACUAUUGGUGGGAAACUAAUCAAUAGAGAGCAGGGGAAGGAACGAUAACAUGGGAGAGGUUUUCUACGUUGUUCUUCAAGACCUAUUUCCCGAAGAGUAUGAAGAAUAGGAUGGAAGUAAAAUUCCUAGAGUUAAAACAAGGUGAUAUGACGGUGGCGCAAUACGCAGCUAAGUUCAAUGAACUACCGCGAUUUGCAGAGCACCAAUUUAUGGAUGAGGAGAGGAAGGCGAGAUGUUUUGAGCAAGGGUUGAAGCCGUGGUUGUAUAAUAAGGUAUCAGUCUUCCAGAUUGAUUCCUUUACAACGUUGUUGGAGAAGGCAAUCAUUGCAGAAGGUGGCAGUGAGGCCUUAAGUCUAUAUCAUAAGGAGAAGAAGAACAAGAAUGGUGGUAGUGAGCAUCGUGGAGGGAGCAAGAACGGAGGAAGUAACUCCGAAAAAAGGAAAUGGGAAAAUAACAACAAUAGAAACAAUAACCAAGGUGGGAGUCACCAGGGAAACUUCAAGAAGAGGACCGAAGCUUGCAACAAAUGUAGAAGAAGUCAUCAGGGAGAAUGAUGGAAGAGGAAAAGCACUUGCUAUAAUUGCGGCCAAAAGGGUCACAUAUCGCCAAAUUUCCCAAAACCGAAGAAGAUCAGAGGAUGUUUUACUUGUGGAUCAACAGAGCACCAGAUAAAGGAUUGCCCGAAGAAAGGAAGCGGUGGAGCUGGCGGAAGUCAGGGAGGAGGAAGUAAGUUGAUGAUUGGUGGACCUGCACAACCCAACCGAUCGACCGCUCGAACCUUUAACAUGACCAUCCAAGAUGCCGUAGCUGCAAAGGACGUGGUGUCAGGUAUAAUCCAAAUCAAUAAUAUAAAUGCUUAUAUAUUAUUUGAUUCGGGUGCCACGUGUUCGUUUGUAUCUGAAGAAUUUGCUAAUAAUGUAAAAUCCCAAAUUUUACGAAUAAAGAUUUAAUUUUCUCAAAAUAUUUUUUUCAAAAUUAUGGUGUGGAUUUGAGAUAAUGUUAUAGUUGUGGGUAAUAUUUAUACAUUUUAAAAAGUAUGCAAGUUGUUGUAUAAUAUUCGAUUGGUCGGGGAAUAUUCUUUUUAUCAGAGAAUAUUCGUACGACGACACAAUCAUUGGUGGACCCCGUAACGGAAUUAUUAUCGGAUUGAGAAAACGACAAAAAUAUUUUAUGAAAAUAACGGCGGAAGUUUUACCGUUAACUGUUGAAACACCCGGUGUUAAAAGUACAGUAAUACGCGUGGUUGCAUAGUAGCACACGAUAUUGAUUAUUGAUGCUUACGUGAGAAGUCACUCAGUUUUGUUCAAUUAUUGCUAUAGUAAUUGUUGCAUAGUAUCUCACGUUAUUUGAUUCAAUUAUUGUCGAUAUUUUAUAUAUUAUUAAAUCAAUAAUUGAGAUAAAAAAAAGUUAUUAAUAUUAUUAUUUGCAAUAUUAACAAUGUCUAGAAGUUCUGCCAAGGAGAGGUUUGGUCACCUAAUUGCGCGCCAAUAGGGAGAAAUCCUUAUUGAAAAGCCCCCUCUUUUCUAGGAAUAACCUGAUCGAUUAAUAUUGUGAAUUAUAAUAAAUGUGAUAAGUUUUGUUUUAUUAUUAUUAUAAACGUAAUAAAACAAAUUUUUUUUAUAUAAAACAGAAUACUUUUAUAAAGUUAUUCGUUUUAUUAGACUAUAAAUAGAAUAUAUAAUAUUCUACUAUGCAUAGUGUUUGCAUAGUGCCUGCAUAGUAUUUGAAUAGUAAAAUCUUUUUAUAUAAAAUAGAAUACUUUUAUAAAGUUAUUCGUUUUAUUAGACUAUAAAUAGAAUAUAUAAUAUUCUAUUAUGCAUAGUAUUUGCAUAGUACCUGCAUUGUGCUUGCAUAGUAAAAUCUUUUAAUAUAAAACAGACUUUUAUAAAGUUAUUUGUUUUAUUAGAGUAUAAAUAGAAUAUAUUAUAUUUUAUUUAAAAGAUUUUGUUUUAUUAGAAUAUUUUAUUAAUACUGCAUAGUAAAUUAAUAUGGACCGUUCGUUUAAAAGUAAAUCAAUCUGGACCGUUCAUGAAUUAGUUACUAUUCAGUCCAUUCUCCUAUAAAUAGAAGCUCUUUCCUUCAUUAUUUCUUACGAAUUCACUGAAACUCUAGAGAGAGAAACUAUAGAGAGAAAAAAGAAAAGUAUUCUGAUACUUCACUACUCCUAUAUCCAGUUUCUUCUAAGGUAAGGGAUAUUAUUUGUUGUACCCGUAAGGGGUAUUAUUCUUUCGUAUUCAUGAAGAGAAUUAUUUUCUUUCAAUACUCGUAAGAGGUAUUAUUCUGUCGUAUUCAUGAAGAGAGUUAUUUUCUUUCAAUACUCGUAAGGGUUGUUAUUCCAUUCUUUAUUAUUAUGUUGGAAUAACUUGUCUAUGCGAAGUACCGCAUACAUGGUGAAAUUCUUCUGUUAUUCCAUUCUUUAUUAUUCUGUUGGACUAACCUGUCUGUGCGGAUUACGCAUGACCUGGUUCAAUUCUUUAUUAUUCUGUUGGAAUAACAUGUUUUUGCGGUCUAUCGCAUGCAUGGUGAUUUCUUUUGUUAUUCCAUUCUUUAUUAUUCUGUUGGAAUAAUUUGUCUAUGUGGAUUAUCACAUGCAUGGUGAAUGAUCCUUUGUAUUCAUUCCUUAUUAAAUUGUGGAAAUGAUCUGUCUAAGUGGAUUACCGCAUGGCGGACGAAAAUCCAUUAGCAGUUUUAUAUAUUCUCUUAUACUCAGUUGGUUAAAGCUUUGACUUCUAUACUCCAUGAAAUUAGUGUAAUAUCCUUGAUAUUUGCGCUUCAUCCAUUAUCUUUUCAUGGAAAUAUUCUUCUGAGCAUUCUUGAAUUUUACUCCACAAAGAAGUAUCAUGUUGACAAUUUAGACGUUAUUGGUUUCGGGAUAAAUUAAUUCUUGAACAUGGUUUAUUGAAUUCCUAUAUCAUUGUCAUCAUCCUCAUGUUUAUAUUAUGUUGAAAGUCAUCUAUGACCUGUAGUGCAUAGAUGGACUUGGUAUGAUUAUGACCAGGGAUUAAUCGGUAUAAUCAUGACCGUAAUGUUACAAAUGAUGUGGUAAAAGUCCUCAUUGGCCCGUAGUGCAUUGAUGGACAGUUGCUGACAUGAUCAUGACAAUUGAUGAAUACACAAUAUCCUUGGACCGUAGUGCAUGGAUAAUUUGUGGUUGUGAUACUAAUGAAUAUCCUUGGCCGUAGUGCAGGGAUGAUGUGGUUUAUUUAUUAAGCUGAGUCUCAGCAAUAAAACUGAUGAAAAACCUUUUAAAUCAUAGAUGAUUGUAGAUUUAUUCUCUACUUGACUCUUUUAAUGGAUUGCUUGUUCCGCUGCAGUUAAACUUGAUGUUUGUUAUAUUGUAUCAGUUUAACACUGUUGAAGGCUAACGAUAAUUCAUUCUGCAUUAUCUUAGUCAUAAUAUUUCUUACUGGGCUAGUUGAGCUCACCCUUUACUUUCAUUGUUCUCUUCAGGAAAUGAGAACGUAAUAGGGACUAGUCGGGGAACGGAGUGACGGUCCAAAUGAUAGCAUUAGUAGUCCUCACUAUUCUAUGAAAUAGUGUGUUAAUAACUGUAUUGAGGACUUAUUUUGAGUUUGAAUACUGUCUAGAAGACAAUAUUUGUAUUAAAACUCACAGCUCAUGUUGUAUAUUUAAGAUUGUAUUUUUAUUCUGUACCAUGUAUUUGGCGACCCAGAAUAGGUGAUGUAUACCUAUUUUGGGGGCGUCACAGUUGGUAUCAAAGCUUAGGGAUAUGAUCCCUGGCUGAGAUUUGAGAUAAGAACUAGGAGGGGAGAGACGGGGAAUUCUUUCGCUAGUAUGACCUACUUAAGUUUAUUUGAUAUUUAAUUGGUCGGUCAGAGUAUGGGGAUAAUAUGUGAUAUGUUAACUAACCCUUGUUUUGUGGCAGUAUUUGAAAAUGACAUUCGAGAAUGUUGAGAAUAUCAAUGGAGCACAGGAGACCGUUGAGUCUCCACAGAUCAAUAAUCAGGAUAAUGUGCAGGAGGAAGGUGACAAUCCUCAUGCAAAUAACAACACUGACCAAAUGAUGAAUGAUGGAAUGUUCAGAGGCUUUAUGCAAUUCAUGUAACAUCAGGCAAGAGCGGCUCCUGUCCAAAAUACAGGUGGAAACACUGGCAACUCUCGGACGGUCAUCGCUAAGCAGUUCAAGGAACUGGGACCACCAGAGUUUUUUGGAGAGCCAAAACCACUUACGGCGGAGACAUGGAUAAAGCAGAUCUGCAAGAUAUUUGAUAUCCUGGGAUGCUCCUAGGAGCAAAAGGUUCCCUUUUCCACCUUCAUGUUGCAAGCAGAGGCAAAUUACUGGUGGGAAUCUGUAAAGCGUACUCAACCUGCCGCACUGAAGAUGACUUGUGAGAAGUUCCAAGAACCGUUCAACGACAAGGACUUUCCCAAAAGUAUUUGUCGCAUGAAAGAGGUAGAGUUCAUUAAACUGGAGCAAAACAACAUGACUGUGUCGCAGUACGAAGCCAAGUUUACCGAGUUAUCCCGAUUUGCAUCUCAUUUGGUUGAUAAUGAGGAGAGAAUGACACGAAUGUUUCUAAGAGGUUUAAAACCCGAGAUACGUCAAUAUCUUAUCUCUCAUAAAAUGUGUUUGUAUUCAAAUGUUGUUAAUAGGGCUCAGUUAUUGGAGCGCGAUAAUGAGACAACCCAACCAAAAGAGAUCAGCCGGCAAAAUGAUAAUACCAGUGAUAACAGUCAUCGAAGCAGUGACAAUAAGCGUGGAGGGAAUCAACAUGCCAGAAAUUGUAACCAAAACAAUAAGAAUGGACAUUUCAAGAAGAGGAGAUUCAACAAUGAUGGAAAAACGUCAGCAUCAGCACCCGUUGUUAAGGAAGGAGAACGACCAGCUAUCAUAUGUUUCAAAUGCGGACAGGAGGGACACAUCCGUCCAAACUGUACGCAGCAAUCCAAAGCGUGUUUCAAUUGCGGAAGAGAAGGUCACCUAGCUCGAUUUUUUCCUGUAGCAAAAUCAAGUCCAGCUGGGACGGUGGCACCAAUGGCGGAUACGGACAAAACAAAGUCGGUGAUUUCUGGGAUAACAUUUUUUGUGACUUCCCAAAAUACGAGUAACCCGAACAAAGUUAGCAUAGGUUAGUUAAUUAUAAAUUCUUGCGAAGUCUAUACCUUAUUAGAUAUCGGUUCUACCCAUUCUUUUAUCUCUCUUGAUUGCGCUCAACGUUUAAAUUUGACUCCGGAGAAAUUAGACUUUGACUUAUCGGUUGAAACUUCGUUAAGAGAAACCUUCGUUACCUCCACUGUUUAUAAAUCUUGUUUGAUUCAAAUCGACACUUUCACGUUACCUGUCAAUCUUAUCUCUUUGAAAAUACCUGUCUUUGAUGUGAUUUUAGGAAUCGAUUGGUUAACUACUCAUCAAGUUUUUCGUAAGGUUGUUAGCUUUCAUAUUCCUAACCAACCUGUUAUGCGAAUUCAAGCAACCAAACUACUAAAGUCAAUCAUUGCCAUAUCAAGCCAUAAGUAAAGAGCCCCGGUCCUUUCGUUGUUGACUUCCUUGUGUGGAAUGCACCUAAGCCAGACUUUCCGUAGGGGACGUUGUGAAUAAUGGUGGCAAGUUGAUAGAUAUCAAUGUGACGUGCUAUCCAAGUCUUGGAUGAGGGUCACAGUUUUGAAUGAUAUUUCUAUUGUUAAUAAAUUUCCUGACGUAUUCUUGAAGACUUCUUAGCUUACCCCUAGAGCGUGAAAUCGAAUUUUGUAUUGACCCUAGUACAAAACCCAUUUCUUAAACCCUUAAAUAUUUCUUCAACCAAAACGAACGUAUAAUGCACCAAAGAUGUCGGCUUGAGCUGUUGAAGAUUAUGAUCAUACCAUCCAACACCAUCCUGAAAAAGCAAAUGUGGUAGCUGACGCAUUGAGUAGAAGAUCAUAUGCGAGUAUGAGUGCGAUAUUGUCAACGCAAAGGCCCAUUUUGUGUGACUUGCAAAGGAUGGAGAUAGAGUUAAAGACUCCAGGGACCCAUAUGAUGAUGGCGAAUAUACGAGUAGAAUCGAAAAGACGCUCAAGCUACACACCCGAAUUUGAUGACUGUGAAGAAGAAGGUUCAAGAGGGCGUUAUUCUAGAAGCAAGAAUCGACGAAGAGAGGAAAUCUCAACCUUCGAUUUAAUUGGCCCAUUUGAAAUCUUCGAUCGAGUAGGAACUAUGGCUUAUAGACUCGUUUUACCACCAAGUAUGUCGCGUGUUCAUAAUGUUUUUAACGUAUCGAUGUUACGUAAUUAUGUGGACGACCCGAACUACAUUAUUAAUUUAGAACUGGACGAGAUAGCGGAAGAUUUAACAUAUGAAGAUGUACCUGUUAAAAUCUUGAAAUAUAUUUUACACUCAAAGGUUAUACCUCAAGAGUUAGAAUCUGACGAAGUGUCCUCAUUUGUUCGGCAUACCAGGUACGUACGUAAAUUUUGAAGGCAAAAUUUCAUAAGGAGGGGAGAUUGUAAAAUCCCAAAUUUUACAAAUAAAGAUUUAAUUUUCUCAAAAUAUUUUUUUCAAAGUUAUGGUGUGGAUUUGAGAUAAUGUUAUAGUUGUGGGUAAUAUUUAUACAUUUUGAAAAGUAUGCAAGUUGUUGUAUAAUAUUCAAUUGGUCGGGGAAUAUUCUUUUUGUUGGGGAAUAUCCGUACGACGGCACAAUUAUUGUUGGACCCCGCAACGGAAUUAUUGUUGGAUUGAGAAAACGACAAAAAUAUUUUAUGAAAAUAACGGCGGAAGUUUUACCGUUAACUGUUGAAAUACCCGGUAUUAAAAGUAUAGUAAUACGCGUGGUUGCAUAGUAGCACACGGUAUUGAUUAUUGAUGUUUACGUGAGAAGUCACUCAGUUUUGUUCUAUUAUUGCUAUAGUAAUUAUUUCAUAGUAUCUCACGUUAUUUGAUUUAAUUAUUGUCGAUAUUUUAUAUAUUAUUAAAUCAAUAAUUGAGAUAACAAAGUUAUUAAUAUUAUUAUUUGCAAUAUUAACGAUGUCUAGAAGUUCUGCCAAGGAGUGGUUUGGUCACCAAUUGCGCGCCAAUAGGGAGAAAUCCUUAUUGGAAAGCCCCCUCUUUCCUGGGCACAACCUGGUCGAUUAAUAUUGUGAAUUAUAAUAAAGGUGAUAAGUUUUGUUUUAUUAUUAUUAUAAAUGUAAUAAAACAGAAAACUUUUUAUAUAAAACAGAAUACUUUUAUAAAGUUAUUCGUUUUAUUAGAUUAUAAAUAGAAUAUAUUAUAUUUUAUUUAAAAGAUUUUGUUUUAUUAGAAUAUUUUAUAGUAAACCAAUCUGGACCGUCCGUUUAAAAGUAAAUCAAUCUGGACCGUUCAGGAAUUAGUUACUAUUCAGUCCAUUCUCCUAUAAAUAGAAGCUCAUUCCUUCAUUAUUUCUUACGAAUUCACUGAAACUCUAGAGAGAGAAACUAUAGAGAGAAAGAAGAAAAGUAUUCUGCUACUUCACUACUCCUAUAUCCAGUUUCUUCUAAGGUAAGGGAUAUUAUUUGUUGUACCCGUAAGGAGUAUUAUUCUUUCGUAUUCAUAAAAAGAAUUAUUUUCUUUCAAUACUCGUAAGAGUUGUUAUUCCAUUCUUUAUUAUUAUGUUGAAAUAACUUGUCAAAAUUCUUCUGUUAUUCCAUUCAUUAUUAUUCUAUUGGAAUAACCUGUCUGUGCGGUCUAUCGCAUGCCUGGUGAAUUCUGUUAUUAUUCCAUUCUUUAUUAUUCUGUUGGAACAUCCUAUCUGUGCGGAUUACGCAUGACUUGGUUCCAUUCUUUAUUAUUCUGUUGGAACAUCUUGUCUGUGCGGAUUACGCAUGACCUAGUUCCAUUCUUUAUUAUUCUGUUGGAACAUCGUGUCUGUGCGAUUUAUGCAUGACCUGGUUCCGUUCUUUAUUAUUCUGUUGGAACAUCAUGUCUGUGCGUUUACGCAUGACCUGGUUUCAUUCUUUAUUAUUCUGUUAGAACAUCCUGUCUGUGUGGUUUACGCAUGACCUGAUUUCAUUCUGUUGGAACAUCCUGUCUGUGCGUUUACGCAUGACCUGCUUCUGUUCUUUAUUAUUCUGUUGGAACAUCCUGUCUGUGCGGAUUACGCAUGACCUAGUUCUAUUCUUUAUUAUUCUGUUGGAAUAACCUGUAUGUGCGGUCUAUCGCAUGCAUUCUUUAUUAUUCUGUUAUUCCAUUCUUUAUUAUUCUGUUGGAAUAACCUGUCUAUGUGGAUUAUCACAUGCAUGGUGAAUGAUCUUUUGUAUUCAUUCCUUAUUAAAUUAUGGAAAUUAUUUGUCUAAGUGGAUUACCGCAUGGCGGACGAAAAUCCAUUAGCUAUUUUAUAUAUUCUCUUAUACUCAGUUGGUUAAAGCUUUGACUUCUAUACUCCAUGAAAUUAGUGUAAUAUCCUUGAUAUUUGCGCUUCAUCCAUUAUCUUUUCAUGGAAAUAUUCUUCUGAGCAUUCUUGAAUUUUACUCCACAAAGAAGUAUCAUGUUUACAAUUUGGACGUUAUUGGUUCCGAGAUAAAUUAAUUCUUGAACUUGGUUUAUUGAAUUCUUAUAUCAUUGUCAUCAUCCUCAUGUUUAUAUUAUGUUAAAAGUCAUCUAUGACCUGUAGUGCAUAGAUGAACUUGGUAUGAUUAUGACCAGAGAUUAAUCGGUAUAAUCAUGACCGUAAUGUUACAAAUGAUGUGGUAAAAGUCCUCAUUGGCCCGUAGUGCAUUAAUGGACAGUUGCUGACAUGAUCAUGACAAUUGAUGAAUACACAAAUAUCCUUGGCCCGUAGUGCAUGGAUAAUUUGUGGUUGUGAUACUAAUGAAUAUCCUUGGUCGUAGUGCAGGGAUGAUGUGGUUUAUUUAUUAAGCUGAGUCUCAGCAAUAAAACUGAUGAAAAAUCUUUUAAAUCAUAGAUGAUAGUAGAUUUUAUUCUCUACUUGACUCUUUUAAUGGAUUGCUUGUUCCGCUGCAGUUAAACUUGAUGUUUGUUAUAUUGUAUCAGUUUAACACUAUUGAAGGCUAACGAUAAUUUAUUCUGCAUUAUCUUAGUCAUAAUAUUUCUUACAGGGCUAGUUGAGCUCACCCUUUUACUUUCAUUGUUCUCUUCAGGAAAUGAGAACGUAGCAGGGACUAGUCGGGGAACGGAGUGACGGUCCAAAUGAUAGCAUUAGUAGUCCUCACUAUUCUAUGAAAUAGUGUGAUAAUAAAUGUAUUGAGGACUUAUUUUGAGUUUGAAUACUGUCUAGAAGACAAUAUUUGUAUUAAAACUCACAGCUCAUGUUGUAUAUUUAAGAUUGUAUUUGUAUUCUGUACCAUGUAUUUGGCGACUCAGAAUAGGUGAUGUAUACCUAUUUUGGGGGCAUCACAAAUAAACUUAGUACACCCCGAGAACGAUUAGAAGAUCCUUAAAACAUAGAAGUUGCGAAUAAGGAAAUAAUCCCUGUAGAAUACGUCUAUCGAAAUUAUCGCGCAAACAUUAGAGAACAUGAACUGAGCGUCGACCUGAUUCCUAUUAGAUUAGGGGAAUUCGACGUAAUACUGAGGAUGGAUUUAUUAUAUAACCAUGCAGCAAUAAUUAACUGUCAGAACAAAUGUGUGAACCUUCAGACUCCGCUUAAGUCUAAGUUAGUGUUUUAGUGUAGCUCAUCGCUUAAGCAAUCGUGUUGCGUUACGAUGAUGCAGGUCAGGAAAUUGUUAAAGAAAGGAUGUAUAGGUUAUUUAGCUUACAUCAUGGAUACUCGAAAAAAGGGAUUAGAGAUUAAAGAUAUACCCAUAGUGAGUGAAUUUCAGGAUGUGUUUCCGGACGAUCUGCCUGGCCUUCCACCAGACAGAGAAAUCGAAUUCGUAAUAGACUUAGCACUGGGAAUGACACCAAUUUCAAAAGCUUCAUAUCUUAUGGCACCAGUAGAAAUGAAGGAAUUGAUGAUACAAAUUCAAGAGUUAUUGGAUAAGGGUUACAUUUGACCGAGUGUGUCUCCUUGGGGAGCACCAGUGUUAUUCGUUAAGAAAAAUGACGGAUCGAUGAGGCUCUGUAUCGAUUAUCAAGAAUUGAACAGAGUAACGAUCAAGAACAGAUAUCCAUUACCAAGGAUAGACGACUUAUUUGAUCAACUGAAGGGAGCGAAAUGUUUCUCGAAGAUCAACCUACGGACAGGAUAUCAUCAACUGAAGGUGCAGGAUGAAGAUAUACCAAACACUGCGUUUAGAACCCGUUAUGGACCUUACGAGUUUUUGGUAAUGUCAUUUGGUUUAACUAAUUCUCUGGUCAUGGACUUGAUGAAUCGAGUUUUCAAGCCAUACUUCGAUAAAUUCAUAGUAGUUUUCAUCGACGACAUUUUGAUCUACUCGAAGACGGAGGAAGAACACGCCGAACAUCUAAGGAUUGUUUUGGAGGCACUACGAAAGGAGGAGAUGUAUGCGAAGUUUUCUAAGUGCGAAUUUUGGAUGAAGAAGGUGCAAUUCUUAGGCCAUGUGGUGGAUGAGAAUGGAAUCUCAGUAGACCCCAAAAAGGUCAAAAUGGUAAGUAAUUGGAAACAACAGAGAACUCUGAUGGAGGGGAGAAGUUUCUUAGGGUUAGCUGGGUACUAUCAAAGAUUUAUCCAGUAUUUUUCUAAGAUAGCGACCCCGUUAACUAAUUUGACAAGGAAGAUGGUGAAAUUUGUAUGGAACGACAAAUGCGAAGAGAGUUUUUAAGAGUUGAAGAAGAGAUUAAGCGAGGCGCCUGUAUUAUCAUUACUAGAUGAUAUGGUAGGAUUUGUGGUGUAUAGUGAUGCAUCGCAUUGAGGACUGGGCUAUGUGCUAAUGCAACACAGUAAAGUCAUUACGUAUGCAUCACGACAGUUAAAGGAUUACAAAAAUGAUACCCUACUCAUGAUCCAGAGUUAGCGGCCAUAGUUUUUGUGUUAAAGAUAUGGAGACAUUAUUUGUACGGAGAAAAAUGUGAGAUAUACACGGACCACAAAAGUCUGAAAUAUAUCUUCACGCAGAAGGACUUGAAUAUGCGUCAAAGGAGGUGGUUAGAAUUAAUCAAAGAUUAUGAUUGUGAUAUUCUUUAUCACCCGGGGAAGGCAAACGUAGUUGUCGACGCUCUGACCAGGAAGGGAAGGGAGAAAUUGUUUCAACUGACAACUCAGGAAGAGUUAAUAAGAGAUAUGGAGAAGUUGGAAAUAGAGGUGAAGGGACCCGAGAGGUCUGAAGAGAAGUUAUUAAUUUGUAAUGGAAGCUUGUCCGAUAUUGUUGGAUAGAGUAAAGGAAGCACAUGAGAAAGAUGGAGAAUGUAAGAAAAUCAGGAAAAGGAUCACGGAAAAUGAGGUAGAAAAAUUUCGGAUAGAUAAAGAUGGUAUCUUAAGAUUCGAAGGGAGAGUGUGGGUACCGGAAGUGGCUGAGUUAAGAGAGGAGAUUUUGCACGAGGCACACAAUACGACAUAUUCCGUUCAUCCGGGAGGCACAAAGAUGUAUCGGGACUUGAAGCAACAUUUUUGGUGGCCAAAUCUGAAACGAGAAAUUGAGGAGUACGUUAGUAGAUGUCUUACAUGUCAACGUGUAAAAGCAAAGCAUCAAUGGCUGAGUGGUUUACUAAAACCGUUGGAAAUACCAGAGUGGAAAUGGGAGCAUAUCACGAUGGAUUUCGUGGUAGGACUUCCAGUCACACAGAAAGGUUUGGAUGCCAUUUGGGUUAUCUUGGAUCGACUUACGAAGACCUCACAUUUUCUACCGAUCAAGAUCCGCUACAGUUUGAAUUAAUUAGCGAGUCUAUAUGUAAAGGAAAUUUUUUCACGACAUGGAGUAUCGGUGUCGAUUGUUUCUAACCGAGACCCGCAUUUCACGUCAAAAUUCUGGAAAAGCUUGCAAGAGAGGAUGGGAACACAGUUACGGUUAAGUACUGCUUAUCAUCCUCAGACAGACGGACAAAGUGAGCGAACAAUACAAACGCUAGAGGACAUGCUUAGGACUUACGUGAUGGACUUCAAGGGAAAUUGGGACGACCACCUACCCUUAGUCGAAUUUGCAUAUAAUAAUAGUUACCAUGCGAGUAUCGGCAUGCCACCGUAUGAAGCUCUUUACAAAAGGAAGUGCAGAAUGCCAUUAUGUUGGGACGAAGUCGGAGAACGAUGAAUACUCAGACCAGAGUUAGUACAACAAACCGCAGACGUGGUUGUAGUAAUAAGAGCCAGAUUAGUAGCAGCUCAAGAUCGCCAGAAGAAGUACGUAGACUUGCAUCGGCAAGACCGAGACUUUGAAGUUGGCAGUUUUAUAUUCUUAAAAGUAUCUCCAUGGAAGGGAAAGAUCUAUUUCGGAAAGAAAGGAAAACUGAGUUCAAGAUUCAUAGGACCGUUCGAGAUACUAAAGCGAGUGGGCGAAGUAGCAUAUAAAGUUGCAUUACCACCUAAGUUGGAGCACAUCCAUAACGUGUUUCACAUAUCCGUGUUGUGUCCGUACAAGCCCGACUACAAACACGUGAUUUCUUACGAACCCAUUCAAGUGGAGAAGAACUUAGCAUACGAAGAAAUUCUUGUCCAAAUUCUUGAUAGGAAAGAGCAAACCUUAAGGAAUAAAGUUAUUUCUUCUGUAAAAGUGCUUUGGCAUAACCACGAUGUCGAGGAGUCAAUGUAGGAGCUAGAAGAUAGGAUGAUGAAGGAUUACCCCCAUCUAUUUGUGUAACCUUGUAGCAAUUCUGGGACGAAAUUUUUAUAAGGGGGGAGGAUGUAAUACCCGAGAAUUUCCCGUAUUAUUAAAUGAAUAUAUUAAUGGAAAUAAAAUUUUUGGGAAUAUAAGUGUUAUUAUUUUAAGAGUCGGUUAAUUCAAUUGAUUCGUAUUAGAUCAAUGUGUAUUACGAUGUGUGAAGUGACAAUAGGAUUUCUGAAAUGCCUUGUGUGGCAUAAUGUGAAACAAAGAAAUCCGUUAAGCAAAUUAAAAUGAGAAUCUAGAAAAUUAAUAGUGUUGAUCAUGUGAUUUCAUGUGUGUAAUCAAUACGCUCGUAGACUUGUAAUAUUACUCUUGUGGAUAUUAAUUCAUGUCGUGUAAGACGAGUAUGACAAUAGGGGUUGACACUGGCUUAAGCUAAACCAGUCUUGGCACUGUCAGGGCAUGGCGCAGCUGCGCCGUCCCAACAGUAAACUGGCGCAGCUGCGCCAGUGGUCAGUUGGAGAAAAAAUAAUUCUUCUACCUUGGAAAAUUAAAUGAACAAUUAUGUGGCAUGUGUGACAUUAAUAAACUAUGAAAUAAAGUGCGCAAUUAAGUAAUAUUAAUUGUUAAUUGUUAUAUUAAUUAUUUGUUAAUGGUUGUGGUAGAAUAUUGAAUUCUUAGUAAUUAACUAAUAAUGUGUGAUUACUAUUAUUUGUAAUAUAUUAUAAAGAUGAAUAAUGAUUAUGAAAAUCCAUAAAUACAUUAGUCAACGAUGAUGAGAUUAAUUAAUAUUGAUGUUAAUUAAUCAAGGAAGUGAAUAAAUUAUUUAUAAGUAAGUUAGUAAUAUAAUAAUAUUAUAUUGACAGUUAUAUGCAUAUGAGCAAUAAUAGAACCAUAUUAUAUAGUGUGGUGUGACUAUAUAUUAAGAUCUAUGAAACUAUAUUAUAUUAAGUGGUGAUUAAUCAAAGGAAGGAAUAAAUUUCUUUAUUUAACAUAAAUAAAUAAGUUAUUAAUAUAAUAAGGUUAUAAUAUGGUUAUAUGAGUGGUAGAGAUAACUAUGGUACUACCCGGAUAAUAAUAUCUGACUGCAUUAUUUUAUUGCGUAUAUUUAAUGUACAUGGACUAUAUGAUGUGAAUGUAUAAUUUAUCCCUAAAAUUCCUAAUAUGGUAACAAUUGUACAUUAAGAUUUCAUUGUGGAAAAUUAAGUAGACCAAACCAAGCCUAGAUAUCACGAAUGCUGGGAUUUUCUCUCUUGUCCCAUAAUAAGUGUCACCAAGUACAAUGAACAGUAACUUGAAGCUAUAUUAUGUAAACUUUCUAGCUGCUAAAUCAUAGGAGAUCAUUGCUAAGCUAAGUAACUGGUAAGGGUUGUUAAACUACUCUUCAUGAACCUAUGUGUCUUGCCAUUGCACCAUGGGCUCUAAAAUUGUGUAAAGCCAAUGACUAGUCCAUGUUUUCUCUAUAAAUUAAGCUUGAGUUCAGAUUUUUGUGUUGCUAAGAGUUGUCUAAGUGAAGCAUUCAAGUGGCUGAGCAACUGUAGAAGCUUAUUCAGUGUGUGUGAAGUCCAAUUUAAGCUUAAGAAGGUAUAAUUUUUAUCAAUGUUCUUGAGAUGGGUUUGUUUGAUUCUUGAAAUUUCUUGAAUUCAUUUGUUAAUUGAUAUGAGUAAACAUGUUAUAAGGUGUUUAGGAAGUUUACUAGCAUGUAUGAACACUAUAGGAAUGAUUUGGGACAUGUUUGAUGUCAAGGAUAUCAAGUUGGCCAAGACUCUGCAAAACAGAGUUUGCUUCUGCACCUGAAUCUGGCACGGCGCAGCUGCGCCAUUAUUGAACUAAGGCGCAGUGCAGCUGCGCUACUUACUGAACUCAGUUGGAACUUCUGUUUUGAAAUCUGUUAUGUGUUGAUCGACCAUUAUGGCUUAAACUAGCAUGAAAGAAUGUUUAAGGUGUAUAUAUAAGUAUAUGAAUCUAAGUUGGACAUGUUUUAAUAGACUUUCAUGAUUAAUGAAGACAUAUGGUUUAAAUGGAGAUUUGGACUUUAAGUUUUGAAAACAAACUAUGUUAGAGAUCAUGUUCUGCAAAUUUUGAACCUAGUAAGCUAUACAUAACUGAUUUUACACUUAGAUGAGAAUGUACGUAGUCCCUUUGUUCAUAACUACCUUAUUAAGCCUUGUGUUAGAAAUGUUUUCAAGAAAAAGCUUAGCCUAGUGAGCUAAAAUGCAUGACCACUAUAUGAUGUAUAUUCUAACUUUGCAAGCAUGUUGGUAUGGUUUAGAAAUACAUGAAUAAACCUUUAUAUUGUGUUUAUAUGAUUAGUAAGCAAGAAUGAACAUGUUGAUCCUACUAAUGACCUUUGAACAUGAAUAUUGACAAACUAUCUUUAAAGAUAGAAUCUGACCUUUAUAAGCAUGUUGGUGAUACUCUUAGACUCACUCAUGUAGUAUAACCAUAGAUAUACCAUGCUUGUGUAUCACAUUUCAAAUAAAGCAUGAACGAAGCCUAUUUUCAACUAAAGUGGUGUUAGUUUCACAUAUGCGUUAUGAAUACUCACAAACAUGUCUAAUAUGAGUUUUGUAACUAACUUGUGUGUUUGAAGAGCAAGCAUGAUAGACUUUGUAGUUUCAUGACCUUGAAUGGCCUCAAAUGGUUGAAAUGAUCAAUUUAGAAAUAUGUUAUAAAAAGGAACCUAGAUUUACUUAAGAAGCAUGAAAAGACCCUUAACAUGGCAAGUAUAUCAUGUAUGAUUGUUUUGAGCAAGCCAAAUAGAAACCACAAGGCAGCAGCUAAGUCUUGGCUUGGCCAGAGGACGGCGCAGCUGCGCCGGUCCUAGGCUUAGCCAUGGGGCAGCUGCGCCAGUCUGGAAUCUUGAGUUCUGCAUUCUGUUUUGAACUGAUAUUGAAGCAUGCCUAUAGGAUUACUUUAACUUAUCUUACAUGACCAAUAUGCUAUGAAAUAUGUUAAGAAGCAUGCUAUGUGAUAGAGACAAAUGUUGAUCAUAACUUCCAAAUGUUGAGUCCAAAGAAUGUCUUCAAGAAAUUGGGCAAUCAAGCCGUUGUGGUAUUUGUGAUGACUUAUAAACUAAUUUUGUACCAUAUGUGUAUACUUGAAUCAUGUCAAGCUUGUUUAAAGACUGUGUUAGCAAAUGAAUAUCUUGAUCAUAUAAUACGCUAUAAAUAGGAUUCGAAAGUGUUGAGUUAUUAACGUGGAUAAACUACGCUUAAGGCAAGUUCCCUAAACUUACUCUAAUUAUUAUUGAGCGAGUUUCCUUGAACUUCACCCUUGUUUGUGCAAGUUUCUUGAACCCUACUUUUAAACUUAUCUUGUGAAUGUAAGUUAUCCCGCUUAUUCGUUCAAUCGAACUAGUAUGCUUAAAUUCUUGUGAAAGUUAUUAUUCAUGUUGAACUUAAUAUUGUUCUUGAAUAUUGUGAAAGAGUCGAUGCCAUUUGAUUCGGCUAGACUAUAUGCAUGCUUAUAAAAGUUGUCCAAACCAAUUGAUUGGUGCAAAAAUCUUGAAAACUUAGUUGGACAACCCUUUUUGUAAGGGGAGUGUAUGUCGUUGGAAACCCCAACACAUGAAUGAAUAUUAUUGUGGUGUUAUGCAUAACGUAAAGUAUUGUAGACUGAUCAUCUAUAGUACUUGAUAUUUUUGGGUUAUCAAUUUAAUAUUGGUAACUCUAGUGGAGGUUCAAUAGUCCUUAGUGACUGCUCAGUAUAAAUUGUUUAUCCAGUUGGAUACAUUGUUAGUCAUUGAAUUCAUAUAUAUCUGUUGAUUUAUAUUGAAUUGUCGUUCUUAUUCCAAGAAUUAUUGAUAUUCCUUAUCCAUGAUGUUAUUCUAACACUUUGAACUAUCCUAGAAAUGGCACUUCGAUAUUUCAAACCUUGUGAUAUUAUAUCUUAUACCCUUGUUGUAUAUUACUUGCUGGGCAAUUUGUGCUCAUCCUUGCUUAUUUAAAACCUUUCAGUUAAGGAGGAACAUGGAGGUGUCUCUAGUACAGACAAGGUCAAGGGCAAGGCUACUGACUAGCUUGUCCCUUUUAUGUUUAAGAUUAUUAUGUUGUAUUAAGACUAUGUUUAAACUUAAGUAGGAUUAUGUAAUAGGUCUUUAUUCGAUACUAUUAUGUAAUCUAUUAAGUAUUGUAGGUUGCGAGACUUGGGGGAAUAAUUAUAAUAAAUCAUUGUAUAUUAUUCUAAAUUAGAUUUUCCAUUGUGAAUUUGUUAUUUUAGUUAUUAUGGUAUUACUUUGAGCACAUGAUGAACCGAAUUCAAUUGACCAAGUGGAGGUCCGAAUUUGGGGGCGUCACAACCCAAGUGUUUGGCCUCUAGAGGUGAUCCACCAAGGAAGAAGAAAGAUUCAAGAAGAUGGGUGUUUUGCAAAACCCUAGUUUUUCUAUCUCUCAUAGAAAAGGAGCGUACUCUCCAACAAUUGGAAUCACGUAUAUUGAUAUCUGAUAUUAGACUCCUCUUAUAAAGAUAUCAGUUAACCCUUCUAAUCUAAUUAGAAAAUAGGAUAUUAUUUAAUUAAUUAAAUUCCUUUAAUUAAUUAAGCUCCCUAAUCUUAUUAGGGAUAAUUAAUUAAACUCUUUUAAUUAAUUUAACAUCCUAAUCUUAUUAGGAAUGUAUGAGAGUACUUUUAUUAAUUAAUUCCCAAACUCUUUUAGGAAUUAAAUAAUAAUAAUAGUAAUAAUAAUAAGACUCCUCUUAUUAAUUUAAAUUUAAUAUUUCUAAAAUAUUAAAUAAUAAAUAUUAAGCUAUUUAUUUAUUCUAUCACCAUAGAUUAAAUUAAAUAUACUUAACUUUUUAUUACGAUUAUGCCAUUAAUUUCUUAAAUAAUUAUUCUUCCUUUUAUGGUGUGACCCUUAAGGUUCUCCAUAUUAAACCGAUUGUGAAUAAAUCAAUUAGAACAAUUCUAAUUUUAUUUAAAUAAAUAAAUUAAAUAAUUAAUUUAUUUAAAUAAAUAAUAUUUAUUCUACAAUAGGGAUAAGCCUCCCUAGCGAUCAACGACUUUCCAGAUAAUAUAGAUUUCAACAUUAAUCAUAAAAGAACCUUUGAGUAAAUAGUUACCGUACAAUUCAAUCCUUCCGCUAUACAAUAUCCCAAUUAAAUAUAAGACAUGGAAUUACUGUCAAGUCUUAUUUUAUUUAAUUAUAUGUAUUUCUAUUCUUAAAUGCACAACUCCAAAUAAUGCAAAUUAGAAACUCCUUUCUAAUUUCUUUCUGCCUUGGCCAAGGACCACUGGGUUGCCAUUUAUCGAAUCACAUAGGACAUUUCUCUUCUUUUACCAGAAGCGGUAGAUUCUUUAUUGAUCAUACAUUAUCUCCAUGUACAACUUAUUAUACCCAAGCAUAUCCUUUGAUAUACCCUAAGGGUCUUAAGGAAUAAGUUAAAGUAUAACUCAUCAUACACAAGAUACUAUGAUGAUCUCAAGUCCAAGGAUCACUUGUACUAAUAUCACUACAGGAAUUCUUAUUGACAAGCAAGUAAAACUCCAUUAGGUAUUCCUUAACGAUCCACGUUCAGUGAACUUAUUCUCUAAUAAGCACCUACAUACUUGCUUUAGUGUCUCCACACAAAUGAUCAUGAGAUCAAUCAUCCUCAUCCAAUGAGCAAGCAAUGUAUGUACCAAUCUAUUCGGAUUCACUAAUCCCCAAUUUAGUAAUCCAACGAUUGGGAACUAUUUUAGUUUUAAGCUUUCUAAGAAUUUAGAUCUCAUUAGAAUGAUCAUCAUCAUUAUUCUAAAAGCAUUGCUUAAAACUAUGGGUUUAUCACAUAUUAUAAAACAACAUCAUGUAGAUAAUUAAAAGCCUUUAAUAAAUUCAUACUUUUUAUUAAUAAAUGAAUAAGAUUGUUACAAAGUAUAUGCUUUAUCAUCAAACAUGAUUGGCUUGUGUGCAUACUACUUUUAAUCUCCCACUUGCACUAAAGCCAAUCGCCAUGGUAUCUCAUACCCUUCUUGUCUAAGUGACGAUUAUCCUGCUGUUGGAUAAGCUUAAUUUAGUUAAUGUAUAAGUAAUGCUAUUCUUGAGACUCCACUAUCUCUAUAGUGAUUUCCCAUCUUUCAAUGAUUUCUAUAAUCAAAUGAAUGUGCCACAACACAUGUUUAGAUCCAAGAUGAGACUUAGGAACUAUUCCUAGUUCUGUAAUGAACUUUUCAUCCAAACAAUCAACUUGUAGCUUCAUUUAUAGCUAUACACUUUGUCUUUAUCACUAAACUAGCAACUCUUUGCUGUUUGGAACCUUUUCAAUUCACUGCACCACCGUUCAAGGUAACGCUUUACCUUAAAGUGUAUUUUCUGUCGUCUUGGUCUGUCUGAUAAAACUCGAGUCUGUUAAGCCCUCUAGUUUUAAUUCAGACCCACCAUGUAUAUGAUCACAUCAUUAGUGUCGGUUAAGUACUUUAAGAUGUUUUUCACUGACUCAUAGUGAACUUCUCCAGAAUAUGACUGAUCAACAUCAGGUCUCAUAUAUUUCAUUAUAUACAUGAUUUUCACUCAUGCGAUCUCUCUUUUCAGGAGUCUAUGGGGACUAUUAAGAGAGAUACACUCCAUGGCUCAUCAACAUGAGACAUCUCUUGGAGUUUUCCAUGAUAAAAAACUUUAGCAUCAAAUGAAUAUACGUUCCUUGGGUUAAGUCGAGCAUCCUCUUAAAUCUAUCUAUAUAGAUUUGUAUCCCCAAUUAAGAUACUCUUCCUAAAUCAUUCAUGAAGGAAUAUUUAGAAUAAUUUAUCUUUACUAAUUGUAGCAUUGGUAUGUUAUUCCUUAUCUGUAAUAUAUCAACAUAUAAUACUAGAAAUGUCACGACGCUCCCACUGACCCUUUUGUACCCACUAAGUUCAUUCUUGUUUAUGAUAAAAUCAAACCUUUUUGAUUGUCUCAUCAAAAUGAAUGUUCCAUAUUUGAGAAGCUUGCUUCAAUUCAUUUCUCUAAGUGUCUACAACUCUUACCUUAUCGUAUGUAACUGGAUCAUCAUCUUCUAUGAUGUGUACCUCAUCAUCAUCAUCAUUUAUGAUGAAUCUAUACCUCCUAGGUAUCUUCGGUACUAUUCCAGAUUUACGAUUCGGUUGUGGUACAAUAGGUCUAUCUACAGGUUCCUCUUAUUUGACUUACAGUGUUUUGUGGUUCUUGAACUCUUCAAGAUCUAUUAUUCUCCCACUAGCCCCUUCAAUGAUAAACAUCUUUAUCUUAGAAGGUAGCAUGUUUCGCAACAAACACCUUUUGCUAAUUAGGAUUAUAGAAUAUAUACCCUAAACUUAAUUUAGGAUGUCCCACACAUCUAUACUUGACAAAUCUUAUCUCAAGCGUAUCCUUUGAAACCUUUUCACAUAAGUUGGACAAUCCCUUAUCUUAACAUACUUAAGAUUAGGAAUCCUCCUUGUCCAUAACUCUUAUAGAGUCUUGGGGCCAAAUUUUGAGGUUACCUUUUCAUAGAUAUGCAGCCAUUUCUAGGACAUGAUCCUAGAGGGAUACAGGAAUGUCGCUAAAAUCAUUAUGGACCGUACCAUGUCCAACAAGGUAUGAUUUUUCCUUUCAGACACAUCUAUCAAUUAUUAUGUAUCAGGAGGCGUCCAUUAUGAGAAAACCAUUUGAGAUGAUUUAGAAACUCAUUGCACAAGUAUUUAUUCCUUGAUCUAAUCAAAGAAUCUUAAUACUUUGCUAAUUUGUUUCACUUCUGAAUUCUUUGAAACUUUCAAAUAAUUCAUACUUGUAUUUCAUCAAAUACACACAUUCAACUCUUUAAAUGAUCAUCUCCUUUUCUUAUACUAGUUUUUUUAAUUUGAAAAAUAAUUUUUACGUAAGUCAAGUACACAAAAUCCAUUAAGUAAUAUUUCAGUUUUAUACAAAACAUUAUUAUUAUAAAUAGAACAACAAUUGUUCCUAAAUAUAAUACCAAAGUGUCAGGAAUAAGCAUGUGAAUGAUAUUCCUAUUUACAUAUGAUUUGAUUAUGAUAUAUACAUAUGAAUGAAUAUGCAAGUAUGCUUGCAUUAAGAAAAUUUGUAAAGUCCUUUGAUAGAUAAUAGAAACAUAUGUACAAGGACUUAGAAUGAAUUGAUCAAAUGUGUUAGUCCUUAAAAAGAAAUGAUAUACAAGGACUAUAAAUAUAGUAAGAUCAAGCAUGUUAGGUUGAUCUUAUAAUGUAAUAGAUAGGCUUGUCUGAUCGUUGAGCACUGCACCAGAAAUCGUAGUCUGCCAAGAGAGUCAAGGAAAACUCGAGAGCUAUCAAGGCAGAAUCGUAGUCUGCAAGAUAGUAGAUCUCGGAGUUCGUAGACUUCCAGGAGAGACGAGGAAGGAUCAUAGUGUGUCGAGGAGAACUUCCUCAGGUCCGUAGUCUGCUGAGGAAGUCAUGUUCAUAAUCGUAGAGACAACCUGCCUAUGAGCCGACCGAGCAUCUGCCAAAGCCAGUCAAGAAUCGUAGACUACACUCGCAGUCGUAAAGUCUAUUAAUGUCAAAGCCAAUUCAAGAAUCGUAGACUGCACUCAGAAUCGUAGAGUCUACUGAUCGUAUCAAAGGCAGAGAUCGUAGUCGAGCAAGAUCAGAUGAAGACAACAAGCACAACAAUAGAAAUCGUAGUAUCAAGAUCUGAUCUCAAAGUCGUAGUGUCUGCACAGCCGAAGCUGAAUUGUAGAGUGCAGAGAUAAGAUCUUAACAGAUGUGCUCACAAGGCCACAGUAGAAUCGUAGAGCAAACACGAUUCUCAACAAUUGAGCACUCCCAGAAUAUCCAAAGGAAUGAAGCCUCUGGUUGAAGCACUGCACUGGAGAAGGAAGAAGUGUUCCACAUUGAAGAUCUAAUGAUCACUCUUCAAGAUCGUAGUGUUAACUCCACAAGUCAAGAAGCGACAAUCAACAAGACACUACGAUCAAGUCUAAGAAGUUGUGCAUCAGAAUCGUAGAGCUCGAACAAAUAGAGAUUAAGGCAUUGGCAAUGGCUCAAUCUGAAGAUUAAUAUUCGGACAAAAGCUCAUUGAGAGCAUCGAUGCAAGGACAACCUCUGAUUGAGAAAUCAGAAGGGUGAAAUAAAUUUGACUACCUGCUCGAGACAAGAAAGUGACAAUUCUGAUAAGGUAGGUGAAACAGUAGACUGCAGUGUCGGAAAGUCAAAAAAAGGUGUUAUGUCACAUCUGCAGUCUGCACCAAAUAACUCGAGAUCUGUGAGGCAAUUUGAAUAGCUUUUAACGACUACUUUCAAAUGGGAAGAUUGGGAAGGAGUAUAAAUCAACAGAGCUUCAAAGAUCAAGUGUUGCUGAUGAUUGUGAAGUUGCAGAAUCAUUGAGUUGGUGAAUGCUAUUGUUAACUCUACGAGUUCCACCAAAGAUCAAUAGUACAAGUUGCAGUGACAGUGAGACUACCGAGGUGGAAGUGAAGCAGCUUUGAAGAAGGACUCAUACAGAUCAAAGCUUCACUCAACAAAGAUGAGAAUGCCACUAAAGAUGGCAGCUAAGCUGAGAGCCGAGAAGGCCAAAAAGAUAGUAUUCAGGAAAGUGGUUGAGUACAAAAAAGAUCAAGAGAGCCACUCUAUAGAUCACCAUGAACCUAAAGUUGAAACUGAACAAGUACAGAACCAUGUCUACAAAACAUUCAAGAAGGGUUCAGGGAUUACUAAGUGCCAGAAGAAGUCUACCAAAAGCUCAGGGACUUAGCAAAUCCAGAUGGUGAUGGUGCACAGCUGACAUCAGAUGAAGAUGAGCUGAAAAGAGUAAAGAUCAGCUGCACCAAAGAAGAUGUGGUCCAUACUCAAAGCAGAAUGCAAAGAGGACCACACCAAGCUGCUAAGUACAAAAGAUGUUCAGAGCUUAAUGACAUCUUAGCAGCUCAGCGUCAACAACAUCAACAACUAUAACAACAAGAAGCCAGGGCCUGAGGGGUCCUUGUCCAGAGGGACUAAAUGGAGAUUCCAAGCCUGCUGGGCUUGAAGAGUUCCUAGGGAACUAGAGAAGUUCCAAGGCUGUUGGCCUUGAAGAUUUCUUAGUGAACUAAAGUCCCAAGGCUGCUGGCCUUGAAGGAAUCUUAGUGAUUCAGGGUGCUGCCCUUCCUUAGUGGAAAUCCUAUUAGUUGAAAGCAGAAGAGUGGAUUAGGAGCUUGAGUCUCUGAACCACUUAAAACCCCUUGUGUCUUUUAAUUUAUGUCAUUUACAUUAUGUACCUUAACUGCUAUAACUGCGAUGUAUGUGCAAACUGCUUACUACUAAGUUAACUCUACGAACAAUGUAUGACUGACUAUUAAUAUAUCAAUGAAGGGGAUCUUUUACUUAUUCCGCUGUGCUUGAAAAGAUUCUCAUGUUUGUCAUCUACUACUUAAUGAGCAAUACAACUUAAAAGAGAAAAAGUAUUUUGUAAAUCAAAGGAUCUAUUCAACCCCCCCCCCCCUUCUAGAUCUAUAUUGUGCCUACUAGGAACUAACAAUUGGUAUCAGACCAGGUUCUCAUGCUAUAUUCAAAAGCUAAUCGCUUUGAGUCUGAUCCUAGGCACAAAAAUUGUUCUAAACUUAGUUUAGUAGUACGUCACUUGUGAUAUGCAGAUGAGCUCACACGUUGGAAAUUUUGUGUACAGGUAAAUGUGCAUAUACACCUGAAGCUGCUCAGAUUGGUCCAUGUUCUUGAUUGCCAUAUCAACAAGACCAAUCCUUGCUCGCGGUCAAUCUUGUAGUCUAGAGACCAGGCUAGAAAGCUCAAGAGACAUCAACAGAAAAGAUUCAAACAUCCACCAGCCUGAAAAGAUGAAAAGGCCAUAUAUGCUAAGUAAUGCUUAUCCAGAGAAGAAAGAAGAACAUCUCAAACAUGUGUCUGGCCAACCUGCAGCUGGAUGUAAACCUUGUGAACUCAAGGAUGUCAAAGAAUUAGAAAUGUAGACACUCUCUUAGCUUGUAUCUUCAAGACCACGACUAAUUGACUGAAGAUCAACUGGAGCAACUAGCUGUCAGGAGCAAAUGAGAAAUUAUGCACAUCAAUGCCUAAUCUCAGUAUGUCAAAUUUAAAUGACUGUUAAAGAACUAACAGUAGAAAGGUGUGGUUCCUCCCUAGUAUAACUAUGUACAUCAUGUUGCACCUCCUUAUGAACUAUAAUAGUAUUCUUUCAAGGAAUCAUAAUCUACCUAAAAAGGUGAAGAGAGAAAGUACACUGAGGGUGGAAACUCAAAUGCCUAUAAACCUUCUCUCCAUCCAAGUUUUAGGUUGAAGAUGACAUCGUGAAAGAAAUCUGAAAUGAGUCAUAAGAGCAUCACAGGUUAAAUUAAUUUUAUGUGAAGUAAUCUUUGAUGAUGGGGUAGUAUGUAUGUAUAACCUAUGUUCUAAGUGUUUAAUAACACAUAGAGUAUCAUCAGUUCUACAAGAGUAUCUUAAAGAUUCGUAGAAACUGAUCACCUCCAUGAAUCAACCAGAUACAAAUAAAUCGUAGAGUUGAUUAUCACUCUGAACAUUUAAACCCUGCGAACAUAACCUAGCAAAUGAUGAAACCAUAAAAGAAAAAGAGUGUUUUAUUAAAAUAGCAAAUCUUACACACACUCACCAUCAUACAUCUGAAAAUGCAUUAUCUAAAUUAGUUACAUGCAUGAAUAUGACUAUUGGUUAUCAAUAUGAUGAUUAUCCAAAUAUAUGAGGAAUAGGGGUUUAGAAAACUAACCUAGCAGGACCCAUUUAAUCAUGGGUACCAAAAAUAGAAAUUUAUAACCUGCAUGUGACGCCCCCAAAAUAGGUAUACAUCACCUAUUUUGAGUCGUCAAUAACAUGGUACAGAAACAACUACAACUUUAUUAAUACAACAUAAAAACUGUGAGUUUAAAUACAAAUAUUGCCAUCUAGACAAUAUUCACACCCAAAUAAGCCCUCAUUACAAUUAUUGGUACAUUAUUUUACAAAAAUGGUGAGGACUACUAAACAACUUUCUAGAACCUUCAUUCCAUACCCCGACUAGUACUCGCUACAUUCUCGCCUCCUGAGAAGAAAAAUGGAAUAAAAAGGAAAAGUGUGAGCUCAACUAGCCCAGUAAAGAAUAUUAUGACUAAGAUAAUAUAGAACAAAUUAUCGUUAGUCUUCAACAGGGAAAAAUCUGAUAAAAUAUAAUAGACAAUAAGUUUCUGAUCAAUAUUCACAGCGGAAAUAAUAAUUCAUAGAUAAGUUACAUAGAGAAUGAAAUCUACUAUAAUCUAUGAAUUUAAAAGUCCAUCAUCAUUAUUUUAUCCCUAUAACAUCAAUCAAUAUACAUCUUGAAUCAAAUAUUCAUCUUUGCACUACAGGCCAAAGAUAUUCAUCAGUUGGUCAUGUUCAUCUCAACACCUGUUCAUCUUUGCACUACGGGCCAAAGAUAUUUAUAAGAAAAUCAACCAUCUUUGCACUACAGGCCAAAUAUAUUCAGUAACACCAUCAUUUAGGACUGAGGAUGAUGAAAAAUAUUUUAAAGAAAAUGAAUCCAGUGAAACAAAAAAACAAAUAUUAAGGAUUCGUACUUUAAAUAAUUCGAGUUCAAAAAUACUUCAUAAAUAAUCAUAGUGAAGUAAAAUUCAAGAAUGAUCAAAAUAUGGAUACAAUCAAAGCUAGUUUCCAUAAUAGAUAUUUUGGACAAAAAACAAAAAUUUAAUUUUUUUAUGAAUAGUGUCGUAUUCGUGAAUAGUGCCAUAUACGUGAAUAGUGCUGUAUACGUGAAUAGUAACCCUAACACUAAAAAACAAGAAUUUCACAAGAAAAAUCUUACCAAUAUUCCGGCAUAAUGAUAUUAGAAGAAAUAAUAUCAUUUUUAAAAAAAAUAAUAUCCCUUACCAACACUCAAAGUAUCAAAAUACUAACAAGAAUACGCUCGAUAAUAUAGAGAGAGAAAACUUCAGUUUCUGGUGUGAUUUUCAAUUCUAACCUAAGCACCCUAUUUAUAGGAAAAUGCUUAGAACACCAAAGCAGAAAAUUUAAUAAAAUAAUAAUAUUUUCUAAAAUUUUUCCUACGCACACCAAGAAGAUUGAAUUUAGCAUGCUUAACAUUCAUGUGGGGCCCACCCAAGUGUAAAAAAACAUUUUUCAUAAAAUAAUUAUUUUAAACUCCAAAAAUCAAUCAUUCUGGAACUUCAGAAUUUCAAUAAUUCAUAAUAAAUUGCCCUUUUAUCAUAAAAAUUCGAACCUUACAUCCUUUCUAUAGGAAAUUCCAUUCUCUACAACUUUGCAGAAGAAAGUUUUUCCAAACUCCAAACAGAAAUUGACCGAAAUCCACAAACGGACGAUUUUACAAGCUAUAAUCAAAUUUCAAUCAAUAAAUGGGCCCACAGACAUGUUUAACAUGUUUUAAACAACUUUUGCAACAAAAAUACUAUUCCUCCUCAUAUAUUCAUAUAUCCCACAUUCAUUGUAAAAAUAUCACCAUUAUUAUAUUAUUAAAAUAUAAUAAUAUAUUUAAAUAAAUUAUUUUAUCAGAAAAGAUAAAAUAUCAAUUUUUCAACAAUUGUCACUUUAAAAUUUUCUCCAUCUAUAUCCACAUAAAAUGAAUAUUUUCCUUAUCAUAUAAAUCAAUAAUUAAUUAUUCACAAAUAAUAUUAUAGAAUUACAAUACUGGCAACCAGGCCGUUCCUAGGAAAGAGGGGCUUUCCAAUAAGGAUUUCUCCUUACUGGCGCACAAUUAGGUGACCAAACCUCUCCUUAGACAUAACUUUCUAGACAUUGCCAAUAAUGUUAUCUAAUAAUAUUAUUCAAAUAAUAUGAAUUAUUGAUCUGAUAAUGAAAAUACUGUGUAGUGACAAUUAUUGAAACAACAAUAAAAUAUCAACACAACAAUUAUUGAAUCAAUAAAAUAUUAAACAGUAAUUACUGUAAUAAUUAUUGAGUAGUGCCUUCUUACGUAAGAAUCAAUAAUUGGUGCAAUCCCGUGUGCUAUUGUGUUUUAACCACCGGGUACUUUAACAGUAUUAACGGUAACAACUAAGCCGUUAUUUAUAACAACUUAUAAUUAUUGUUUUCUUCAUUCAAUCGCUUUUCGUUAUUGGGCCCACACAAGGAUGCGCCGUCGUACGAAUAUUCCCCGACAGUAAGAAUAUUCCACGACCAAACGAAUAUUCCCCGACAACAAUAAAUAUUUUAUAACCACUUGCUUAUUUGAAAUAUUUGCGCAAUUUACCCAUAACUAACCACAUUAAUCAAAUCAACCCUUACUAUUUCAAAAUAAUAAAUAGAGGAAAUUCAAUUUUAUUUAUAAUAAGUUGGGGUCUUACAACCUCCCCUCCUUAUGAAAUUUCGUCCUCGAAAUUGACGUGCAUACCUAGUGUUUCGAAAAGGUGAGGAUACCUCGCUUUCAUUUCCGUUUCCAACUCCCAGGUCAUUACCUUAAUAGCAUGGUUCCUCCACAAAACUUUAACUUGUGGUAUAACCUUUGUUCGUAGGACAUGCUCCUUCCUAUCCAAGAUCUUGACAGGUACCUCUUCGUACGUUAAGUCUUCGGCUAUCUCAUCUGGUUCUAACUCAAUAAGGUGGUUCGGGUCUUUCACAUAUUUACGAAGCACAGAUAUGUGAAACACAUUAUGAACACGAGACAUACUUGGAGGUAACGCGAGUCUAUAGGCUAUAUUUCCUACUCGGUCAAGAAUCUGAAAUGGACCAAUAAAUCGUAGAUUGAGCUUUCCUCUCUUCCCGAAUCUUGUAACUCCCUUCCAUGGAGAUACACACAAUAAUACAUGAUCCUCA
rnacentral:lncRNA from 1 species